GUGCUCUUGCCUGAUUAAUCGUGGAGUCAAAUUUUUGGCGCUCGUUCUUUAUGUUGUCAUAAUUUUCUUCAUGGGCCUUUUGUAAGACUUCAUUUGUGAGAUCACGUUCUUGUUCUAUCUUUUGUGCAUAGAGAACACGCUGAUCAAAUAACGCUUUGUUCAGCAUGGCAAUCUGUGCUUUCUCCAUAAUUUUGCCUAAGUCAGAAUGCUCUUUCUGUACCGCUUUGUCCAGCAGGGCACGCUGAAGGGAUAUGUACUCGUCAUUUUGAUAUUCCUCUUCUCUCUUGCUGAUUGCAGGUUUGGUACGCUCAAGCUGUAUCUUUAAAUCCAUAUCGUAUAGGUCCUCCUCGGACUCUUCUAGGGAGAUUGGCAAUCCAUAAUUUGGGGAGAAUUUAUAGGUUUUGGAUUUAUUGCAUGGAGAAGAAAGGCUAUUGUAACGGUAAAAUUAUGUAUUUAAUUUUGUGCCAUAUGUUGUUUGUUUGGUCUGAUAUAAUUUUUUUUCUCAAACAAUAUUAUUUGAACAUUUACUGUCAUGGAGAAGAAAAGCUAUUGUAAUGGUAAAUUUAAUUAUAUUGCCCUUUUUUUGUUUAUUCUGUCCUUUUCGAUCUAUAUAUUUUAAUUUGCUUUUAGUUUUAUCGGCUGAUACUUGCUGCAUCAUAUUUUGAGAUCUAUCAGUUGUGUUUCAGGUAUAUCUUAAUUUACCCGCAAGGAUGUGAUGUCUGCAAUCACCUCUCACUCUUUCUUUGUGUUGCCAACCAUGAUAAGCUACUCCCAGGUAGAUGCAUAAUUUGAUGCAUUGUAUUCGACUCACUUCAGUUUGUGACUCCUCUAUAUAUCUUCAAUAUGAUUUGCUUUUGUUCAGGAUGGAAUCACUUUGCGCAAUUUACAAUAGCUGUAAUUAAUAGAGACCCUAAGAAAUCCAAGUAUUCUGGUGAGUUCAAUGAACUAAUAUCUGGCUUCCCUAGUGCCUACAGCUAAAAUAGCUAGCUUUUGUUUGCCUUCUACAACUUUAGUUUACGUAAAGUAGCAUUUCAGAUACACUGCAUCGGUUUCGGAAGAAAGAGCAUGAUUGGGGGUGGAAAAAGUUUAUGGAACUGUCAAAAUUACAUGAUGGCUUUAUUGUUGAGGAUGUUCUUACCAUCAAAGCCCAAGUUCAAGUUAUCAGGUAUCUGUUUUCUUUGCAUCUUACUCUUACAUUCAAUGCUAGCAUCAAUUAUUUUCAAGUGGGAUAGUGGGAAGUAUCUGUUUACUUAGCAUAACCAUGUCUGCUUCUGCAUUCUAAUAUUUGAGGGAGAAGACAGACCGUCCAUUUCGUUCCCUUGAUGGCCAGUACCGAAGGGAACUAAUUAGGGUGUAUCUAUCAAAUGUGGAAAAAAUUUGCCGGCGCUUUAAUGAUGAAAGAAGAAGCAAGCUUAGCAGGUUAAUUGAGGAUAAACUGGGGUGGUCCAGGUUAGAUAAACUUAUGAUUUAUGAACGGUGCAUUAGUGUUUUAUGACCAGUCUCAAUUCCAAGCCAUUUUUUAUUUUUGAUUUUUUUUGGUGUAUUGCAGUUUCUGUGGAUUCUGGCUAGCAAUGGAUCCAAGUGUGCGUCGGCACAUGACAAGGGAAAAGACUGAAACUAUAUUGAAAAAUCUAGUGAAACAAUUCUUUAUACAGAAAGAAAUUACAUCAACCUUGGUAAUUGACUCACUAUAUAGCGGACUUAAGGCACUAGAAUACCAGAGCAGGAACAAAAAGGGGAUACCUAAACUAACAGAGACAGAUGCUCAGAGCACUCCAAUGGUGCAUAUUGAUCAGGACAUGUUUGUUUUGGCUGAUGAUGUGAUACUUUUGCUUGAAAGAGCUGCGUUGGACACACUACCACACCAACCAUUGCCCACACAAGAUGAUGAAGGAUCACAGUACCACACAAAGGUAUGCAUGUUUCUUUGAUCCCUUACACAUUGCUUUAUAAGGUAACGUCUAUCCUAGAUGAUUCCAUCUUGUGGGCAGUUGACUAGAACAACUAUUUGCAGAUGUACGUUUUUUUUUACAUGUUCAAUAUCAAACUGAAAGCAUUUUCAUCAUGGUGUGCAUUUUUUUGUUGUGCAAAGGCCCACAAAUUUUGAAAUUUUAUUCAUAUUACAUUCAAAAUUACUUUCACAUAAUGAAUUCACAUAAUGCCUUUCAGCCGUGAAGCUAUGGAGGAAAUAAAUGUUUAUUUGUACCAUUUUGCUUUGGAAUUGGGCCUGAACCUAUGAGUCAUUUAUGAUUAUUAUCUUCCGUAGUUACAAAAUGAGAUAUACUUAUUCAGCAUCCAUGUUUCCCUAUCCUAACAAAUCCCCUUAUUGUAUGUAGGAUGGCAAGUCAAGCAACAAGUUCGACAAAGAUUCUAUUGAGCGUGAUGAUAGAUGGCUUACAGAGCUAGGCUGGAAGACACUGGAACUUUUUGCCUUAGCUCAUAUAUUCAGGUAAGCAAACUUUUCUAGUUGUUUGUUCCAAUAUUUUGCUUCAUGAAUAGAUAUUAGGUCAGCCACACAUUGUUGAUUCAUGGUUCACUUGAGGUGCAUGCCUUUUUUAUGUUGCUUAUUUUAAUACUUCCCUCCAUUCCAAAUUAUAAUAUUCCUAGAUACAUUGCUUUUACUAAUGUACUUUUACUAAUGUAGAUACAUUGUAAAAGCAAUGUAUCUAGAAAAGCCACUGAGGGAGUGCUAGUGAAGAGUUGCGGAAAUUUUAUGUCCAGUUUGUUUUGUGUCUAAUUGUUUCAUCAGGUUUUGGAAAAAAUAUGUUUUAAAAUUCUUUUACUUGGAGAAACAUAAAUCUUCUGUUGAAAUUCAUAAUUCAAAUCCCACUUCGAUUAUGGUUAUUUUACAUGCUCUUCCUACUCUUGAAACAGUCGAAUAGAAGUGGCAUACCAAGAGGCGAUGGCUUUGAAGCGCCAAGAGGAACUCAUUCUUGAAGAAGCAUCUGAGCGAGCUGGAAUUGAACUUAAGGCAAAGCGUAGUGCUGCUGAUAAGAAAAGGCGUGGCAAGAACAUGUGAAGUGUUAUAUUUUCGAAAAAAAAAGAAACACAGCAAUAUAGGCCUUGUUUAGUUCCGAAAAAAAUUCGGAUUUCGCUACUGUAGCACUUUCGUUUUUAUUUAGCAAAUAUUGUCCAAUCAUGAACUAACUAGGAUCAAAAGAUUCGCCUCGCGAUUUACAGACAAACUGUGUAAUUAGUUUUGUUUUCGUCUAUAUUUAAUGCUUCAUGCAUGUGCUGCAAGAUUCGAUGUGACGAGAAAUCUUGAAAACUUUUUGGAUUUUGGGGUGAACUAAACAAGGCCAUAAUUCAUCAGAUAUGCUAUGCUAUUGCAAUAUGCUGUAAUCCCUCAUUUACCGUGAAUAGACUUAUGCCACCGUUCUUAGAUUCUAAUCUCGUGCAUUCUCUUUGAGAAUAUAGUAAGAACGAGAACAAGAAAGAUUGAAUUGAUUGAUCUCGGGUCGGGUCAGUAAAGCGUAUCCUUGAACGGAUACGUGGCUGUAUCUAAUCAUAUUCACUAAUCUGUAUGGGUCCUGAUCGGAGGGAAGAGAUCAUCCUCCUGUGGUUAGUUCUUAACAUCCCUUUUGAUCAACUUGACAUUAAUCGAUUGCAUUCAAUCUUCCAAAAACCUUACAAGAAAGAUAUGGUGCAAUAAUGUUGAUACGCCAUUAAGCUUCUCAUAAAAAAACCCAUUUCAAAAAUAGGGAGAAACAAUAUUACACAUUUAUGGAUUUCUAUUGUUGUCAGAGCAACUCCAACAGCUUGGCUAUUCUUGUUGUGGAGGUUAUUUUAGAAUUUGCAUAACAAAAAGUAGACUCCAACAGAUGUGAUAUCUAGUUUUGUAAAAUAGAAAGUUGGUUAUUCCUUGAUUUUCGCUGGCCAUAUAUAGCCAACCACUGACACAAGCUAUAUGAUUUUGUAAAAUAGCAAGGCGGUUGCAGAUCUCUUUUUUAAAAAAACUUUUGUACUUUACAAAAUGGCUAAACAAUAUAAUUUGGCUACUAAUUUUAGCCAAGCUCUUGGAGUUGCUCUAAUAAACUUAUGAGAAACUUUAUUGGGAAAAAACACACAAGCAAGUUUAAACAACAGUACAUGUCUUAGAUAUUCCCUAAAAACUCGUAGAGAUAAAGUGAAUAUAAUGCAUUCUUGAGUUAAUAUUGUCUCAGCAAAACCUUAUUAUGCUAGUACAUGUUAUUACUUUUAGAGAGCAUUUACCCAUGUGUUUACAAGUCUCGAAGUCAUGGCAUACUAAUACUAUGAACAAGUUUUUUAGAGCGUACUAUGCGGUAAUGACUUCAUGAAUAAAUCUGCAAGAAUAUUGCAAGACUAUUGUAAAAUGUUAAUUUUUCACUUGAUUAUAAUUCAUGGGAAUGAUAGAAUAACUUAACAUAUUUGCACAUGUGUAACACAAACAACAUUAUACGUACAUAAUUUCUGGCGAUUAAAUAGAGCCAAUACCACUUCAUUGUAAGUAGUUAAUCAUUCUCAGGAAGCCAUACGUGUGAUGUUUUAUAUAGUGCAAUAAUUUUAGAAUGAUUUAUCAAUAUUGCCACUAGAGUCUACUUAGAUGACUUUCAUGAGAUGGUUGUUCCUCCAUAUAAAAAUACAAAGGAUGUUUGGGAUCCUUAUGGAGAUUUAACAUACAUCCAGCAUUAGUAUAUCUAAUCAUGGUUGGGUCUUGGUUUCUUUGGAAAGAUAAUCCAGGAUCUUUAUUUCCCUCCAUGUUCCUAAAGAAAGUCGUUUUGGACAUCGAUAUGGUUCUUAAAAUCAACUUUAACCAUUACUUUUUGCUAUAAAAUAUAUCAAUAUAUACCUUUAUAAAACUAUAUUCCGAGAUGAAUCUACUUACAUUACUUUCAUAUGUUUGACUUAAGAUGACAUCAAAACGACUUUCUUUAGGAACAUGGAUAGAGUAUAUGUUUAGCUCUCAUCCAAUAAUGUUUUAUUGGAGCGGCACUAUGUCUAGCUAGUAAAUUCACUACAAAUGCAAUACCAAGAUUGAUGCAAUUUGCAAGAUACAAAGUGCUACAAUGACAUUGAGAUAUGAAACCUCGGGUCCUAGUAUAUCAAUGUCCUUAUCCCUUGGUCUAAUUAGAUAUUUCUCCAUGUAUAGAAAUUGAACAGCUUGAUUUAGAUGGAUAUGAUUUGUCCAUACUAAAUUUUGUUAGUAUAUUUUCCACAUAUAACUAGAUUGGUGCACUAAAAAUCAUGAGGGGAAGUGCUCAAUUUGUGAACGUAAGGAAAUGGCACUAGGCUAGGGCCAUAUAGUUGUUUUUGGUGGUUGUAUGACAAUAUGAUCAAAUGAACUAGGCAGCCAGCGGACACCGAAAGUGGAGAUCAUUUACAGGCAGACAUGCAAAGUGGAGCCAUUUGCUGGAAAACACUAUCGUUGCUGACAAUUAUGCUACUGCACACCAUGCCUCUUGUUUUAUUCAUUUCCACCAGUUGAGAGAGAUGGUGAGGAAAUGUCAUUCUUCCCCCUGCCUCUUUCUUCUUCCUCUCUCUUUCUUUUUUUCCCUAUGUGGUGUUGCGAGCAGGCAGAGGCGGCUCCGGUGGAUAGUUCCGACCACGUGAGGGCGCGCCGACGGCGGAGCUUCUCCGGAGGGACACACAGGGCCAGGACGCACUAGAGGGACAUGAAGGGCUGGGCUGCACCAUAGGUGAUGCUGCGUCGAUGGCAACAAUGACGACGCUCUGGUGCGGUAGGUGCUCAAAGGGAGCGUGAGAGCAUUGUGCCAUGCCCCAUGCUUGGGUGUGCGAGCUCCAUUUGUCGCAUGUUUGCCACGUGAGGUAGCAUGCAGCCACGAUCGACCACGCCAUGGUCGGCGGUGACCUCGUCGACAACAACAAAUUGAUGAUGGAUGAGUAAAAAAAUAGCACUUGGGCAAUGGGCGAGCCCCUAACAAGUUUGGCCCAGGCAAGUGAAAGGUCCUAAUAUGGCUAGAGGGGGGUGAAGAGCCUAUUUAAAAAUUCUACAAAGUACUAGAGCAAAUGGUUAGUACAACAAAUGGUGUAAUGUAAAUUUGCUCUAGCUCUACAAGAGAUGCAAAUCAUUAUCCAAGCAAGUCUAGUUACUAUAAUCUCUAUGUUCAAACAAUGACUAAGUCUCUACUUACACUAGAGAGCUACCUAAAGUUUCUAAACAAGAUAGAAAGCUACACUAGUUUGCAGAAAUGUAAAAGAGUGAAAUGUAGUCUGUAUACCGUCGAGUAGAGGGGAUGAACCAAUCAUAAUGAUAUAAAAUCCAAUUACCGGGAAAAAUCCAAUGAGCACAAUGGAGACACAAGAUUUUUCUCCUGAGGUUCACAGAGAGAGACCUAAACUCUCUCUACCCCUCAAACUCCACCUUCUUUGCAAAUGUGCCAACACCACCAUGUGUAAACCAUCAUGUGCAUGUGUGUUAGCAUUUUUAAAAUUAUUUUCUUCAAAGGAGUUAAGUUAGCUCACUAGGUUCUAAAUGCAUGCACAAGAACAAUGACACCUAGUGGCACUCGAUAAACCAUGUAUCCAAAAAAAUUUCCCUUUUAUAGUAUGGCUAUCUAUCCUAAGUGUGAUCACACUCUCUACGGUGUUUCGAUCACCAAAACAAAACCAUAAGCAAUACCUUUGCCUUGAUCUCCAUAAAGUUUUGUUUUUCUCUUCCUUAUUUUCAAGUUGAGCACUUGAUCAUCUUGUGGUCACCACCAUUGUCACCAUGAUCCUCUAGCUCCACCACUCAGUGUGGGAAUUUAUCAUUUCAUGUCUACACAUUUAGCACAAUAAUUAGUCCUUAUGUUUUAUUAAUUAUCAAAACCAAACUGGAGCUUUUAGCGAGCCUUCUCAGCAAGUUCAUGAGCAACAAGGGCCCCACAUGAGCGAGCUCAAGCCCCAGCCUCCACGGCAAUGGCGGCAACAACAAGUAUGGGGAGAGAUGCAUUCACCAAAGAUGAGGACCUUUGACAUUUCUAGAUAGGAAAUCAUAGGCGUCCAUGACGCAUUUGUGGAUAAGAGGAAUUGAGGGAGAUGGAGUAGGGUGGGAGAAUUUGGCUAGCGGCAACAGGGGUCCAUGGGGCCAUAUGUUGCAUUCAUUGUGCGCUCACCCACGACCACCACUGCUAUUGUGCGCUUGCCUGAGGGCACCAUGCACGCUCGCAAGGAGAUGAAGGAGCAAGAAAAAAAGAAAUGGAGAGAGGAAAAAUAAAGAGUGAAAGGUUCUAAUAUGGCCAGAAGAAGGGUGAAUAGCGUAUUAAAAAAUUCUACAAAACACUAGAGCAAAGGAUUAGUAAAACAAAUGGUGAAAUAUAAUUUUACUCUAGCUCUACAAGGGUUGGAAGCCACCUAUCAAAUAAUUCUAGUUUUUAUGAUCUGUAGUGAAGCCAAGGCUAUGUCGCUAUGAGCUCUCAUAACUAGCUACACUAAAGAGCUCAACUAGGUGGAAGAACUAAGCUAGCACAAGCAAGACAAGCUCUCAAACUAAAUACAGCAAAGAGCUUGUUACAACUAGUUUGUGGGAAUGUAAAAAAAGAGAUUGUGAUCUUUAUACCGAUAUGUACAAGGGAUGAACCAAUCAAUAUGAAUAUCAAUCAAUCGUUGGGAGAAUACCAAGGAGGCAAGAGACAAUUGAUUUUUCUUCUGAGGUUCAUGUGCUUGCCGACACACUAGUCUCUAUUGUGUCGACCAACACUUGGUGAUUUAGUGGCUAAGAGGUGUUGCACAAGUCUCGUCCACACAAUUAGACACUGUAAGAACCUACCCACAAGUGAGGUAGCUCAAUGACGCAUGCAAUUCACUAGAGUUGCCUUUGGUGCUCCACUGGGAAAGGCACAAGAAGCCCUCACAAGAUCAUCAGAGCUAGAAACAGACAAUCACCAACACAUGCUAGACCUCUUCUGCUGCUCCAAGUUGUCAAGAACUCUGCAUCCACAAUGAUCCCCAAGUGCCACUAGAUACAAUCACUCAUACAAAUACACUUGGAAUCACUCUCAAUCUCAUAAAAAUAGUGAAACUAUGAAGAAGAUGAGUGAAAGGUCUUUGCUUAGGCUCAUAAAGAUGUCAAGAACAUCAAAGUUCUAAGAGAGUGAUCCCAAAGCUAGCCAAACAUUAUUUAUAAGUCCUCAAAAGAAUAGAGUUGUUGGCUCUCUGUUCUCACAAAACUCGGGGCGAUCGGACGCAGACCCCAGCGUCUGGUGCUCGAAUUGCUGCCACAUGUCAACUCCCUUUGAAUGUCACGUAUUAGAUCUCAAGGGUUAAGUUCACACCGAACUCGCUUCAGUAAAUGACCAGACGCUGGAUAUUAUGGUUCGACUGCUACUCAGAGAGGUUCUAGAACACGAUUUCCACUACUGGACGCAUCCGGUGCUUCCUUAGCUUGCAUGUUCUUGCCAUGUCAGCUUGACCAGACAAUGAAUAGUAUUUCCCUAGUGUUCGGUUGCUUGCGUCUGAUACUCUCAAAAAGUGAUCGGACACAUAGGUCCCUGCGUUUUGUACUCAAACCUAGGUUGUAGCCUAUAUGCACUACAAGACAGUAUUGACCGAACGCACACCCAACAUCCAGUGAUCGUGGUGCCAGCAUUCGGUGAGUGUUUCUUAGUGAGAAACACUUCCGCGACUUCAUUGAAUCUUGCCGAGCUCCACUCUUCUCUACCUCUUCAACCCUUGCUCAAAUGUGUGACCACCAAGCGUACCACCCUGUACAUAUGUGUUAGCAUAUUUUCACAAAUAUUUUUCAUGAGUUAUGUUAGCACACUAGGUUCUAAAUAUAUGCACAUGAACAAUGAUACCUAGUGGCACUCGAUAGACCAUUUAGCCAAAGAAUUCCCCUCUUUAUAGUAUGACCAUCUAUCCUAAAUAUAAUCACACCCUCUAUGGUGUCUUGAUCAUCAAAACCAAAAUCCUAUUUAUACCUUUACCUUGAUUUCCAUAGGAUUUUGUUUUCUCUUUAUUUUUUUCAAGUUGAACACUUGAUCAUCUUGUGGUCAUCACCACCAUCACCUGGAUCCUUUAGCUCCACCACUUGGCAUGAGACUUAUCAUUCUAUGUCUACACACUUAGCAUAAUGAUUAGUACCUAGGUUUCAUCAAUUAUCAAAACUAAACUAAUGGUUUAAAAGAGGCAUGGGCAAGAAUGACAUUUCCCCACCUUCCUCUCUUUCAACUAGUGGCAAUGAAUAGAAUAAGGGGUGUGGUGUCCAGUAGCAUAAUUGUUAGCAAUGAGAGUGUCUUCUAGCGAAUGGCUCCACUUUGGAUAUCCGCUAGCAACUGGCCUCCACUUUCAAUUUCCAUUAGCAAAUGUUACCAAUGAACUAAUGUUAUUUACUAGUAUAUAAGGUAUUUAGUCUAUUGGGUGCAAGGAAGGCUUGGACAAAGACAACAUGAAGAUCAAAUGAUCAACACUUCAAAAAAGGACAAGGAAUUAUUGUUAAAGACUUGGAAAACAUGUAAGAAGUUCAAGGCAUUAAGUAGAAAGGAGCCUUGAAAAAAGAUGCAAACAUAAUGCAGCCAAACUGACAUUGCCCAUACUCACACCGAUGGCGCCUUGGUAGAGGCACCAGAGCUUAAGCUCGGGCGAAGAUAGUUCUACAGAGGAUUUACAGUAUGACUAGAAUUCUCUAGUGUUACAUAAUGGGAAGCAUAGGAGAAAGCAGUGCAGCCCUAGAAGAUUUUGCAAAGAAGUUGGAGGCCUCAAUGAAGGCACCAGAAAAGUUCAAUGUUAGGCACCUAAGAAAAAAGCUUUUGGUUCUCAAAACAGAGCUCACCUUCUAGUUCUCAAAAUAGAGCUCCCAGAGUCAUAGGAAAACUCUGGUGAUCCUAAAGAGACCCACCGUAGUUUAGGCUACUCCAAUUGUCAUAGCUGCUAGUCCAACUAUUACCUGACAUAGCAGGCACCAAAUUCCUUAGUGGCCUCACUAAAGCUUUCUGAUGGGCACUACAUGAAGAUAGUCCUUUGGCCAACAAAUCUUUAAGGGGUGAAGGCUAUAUAUAUACCCUCUACGACCAGUCAAUUAAAUGUUGUUUGAGUUAUGGAUUGUUACUAGCAAGUUAAGGCUUAUUUCUAGCUCUCUAACCACCAAAGGUGUUUAGGAAAAAGAUUAGACAAUUAGGGUAGUGCUUUUGCAAAGUGCUUAGGCUAGUUAGAUGAUCAUAUUAGUGUUUUGCUUUAAGCUUAGACUUAGUGUUACUGAGUUUUGCAUACCUCUUGUCACUCGGUGCCUAUACACACCAUUGGAUACUGAGGGCUUUAUAAUCUUGCGAUAUCACACCAAUUAUGUUUGUGGUGUGUCCGUCUAGGUUGUACCAAAGGGAAUGAGACCUCGUAACAUUUGAGCCAAAAGCUUGAUAGUGAAGAUGGUGAAGAGUAGUCCGGGAGAAAUCCGUAUAUGGAAACCCACUUGUGCGUGGAGAUUGUGGGCUCAUGGGAUCCUAAGAGUUAACUAAUUGGGAGCUUGGCCCUUGUGAAAGGAUCCAACAAGGAUUAAGGGGGCGUGAGCUUCUCAAUACCUCGAGUAAAAAUAUAGUCAUGAAUGAGAGUUUGCAUCUCUAUCUCAUUUCAGCUUUUGUACUUUCAUGUUUUUCUAGGUUGUAUAUUUUACAUUUCUAGUUUUGCUUGGUAGGUUAGUGAUAGAACUGAAACCAAGGACACAAAAAAAUUUUACAUCAAAGAUGGUAGUACUUAGCAAAACCACAAUACACAUCUAAACUGAUAUCUUGUAUAGGUUUUCAUAAGUAGAAAAUAGAGCCCUUGUUUUAUGUUGUCUCAUUCACCUCACCUUUUAGGCAUUACGAUCCCUUACAAUCAACUUCAACAAAUUUUGGUUUGGUCCAAAUCCCUCGUCUCAAAAUCUAUCUUUAAAGGAUCACAUGCUUCUUGAUAACACGUGGUUUUCCAAUGAUAUUUAAGUCAUCCACAUAUGCAUAUGUAAUGCAAAUUUCCAUUUGAGAUUUCUUUACGAAAAUACAUGGGUAAUCAUCAUUAUUGGUAUGUUGCUUUAAUAAAAUGAAUCCAAUUAGUCGGCUGUCUUACCUUCGUCCUAAAUCUUUAAAACAUAUAGUGACUUAUUCAAUUUUACAUAAUAUAUGGUGCGAUUUGCAUUAGGGUCGAAAUAUAGAUUCUAACAAGGACCUUCAUAUUAAUGUCCAAAUCAAGUGAACUAUAUAAAUAUGCCAUCAAUGCAUCCAUUAAUGAUAUAGAUAAAUGAUUUUGAACGGAUAAAUGUAUUGAAUAUAGGAAUGUUAUUCCACUCAUAACCAGAGAAUAGGUUUGAUUGAAAUCAAUGUCGAAUUCUAGGUGAACCCUUGUACUAUUAGUCUCGCUUUAUAUCUUAUACCAUCCCAUUAUUUUCAUUCCAUUUCCACAUAACAACUAUUUCAAUCCCACGAAUACGGAACACCCUAAAAAUCACUUUCCUAAUUAGCAAAUAAUUUCCCUUUUUUUAUUCAUUUUUUCUUGAUUUAACAUAGGCCAAAUAAUAUGUUUUUAUGAAACUAAAAUUAAAUAUAAAGCUUAUAAAUAUUUUUCAUGCAUACAAAAUAGUUUUGUACCAAAUUCAACUUUAAACUCGGUAAAAAGAAAAGGAGUUUCUUUACUAUUUUCUCUUUUUUGUUUUUGAAACCAACAAUUAAUCUAGCUCAACUUGUUUUUUUAGCUUAACGUAUUCACUAGCCAUCUUUUUGGUUUUUCCUCUACUCCUUAGGGUCCUGCUGUACAUAGUGGUCCAACAAGCUAGCUAGUUUAUCUGCAUGUGUAUCUUUUGUUUUUUCUCGCACUCUUCAACUUGGUCUUCUUUCCUGGUCACUCCUAUGCUCUCCACCUAAGCCCAGCAGCGGCCCAACAAACUAGCCAGUUAAAAAAAAUUAAGUCGGUCGCUAGUAGCCUGGCCACACCUGUAAGCCUCCUCGCCACUUAUUUUCCACCUCUUGCGGUUAUUUCAAGCGACAGUGGUGAUAUCAUUAUAAUGGGUUCUUAUAUGUAUUGAAAAUGCAACAACAAUGACAGAGUAACCCAUAGUGUAUCUCCCUCCUCCGCUGAUAUAUAUAUAUAUAUAUAUAUAUAUAUAUAUAUAUAUAUAUAUAUAUAUAUAUAUAUAUAUAUAUAUAUAUAUAUAUAUAUAUAUAUAUAUAUAUAUAUAGCCAUAGCUUCGUGCCGCGUUGCUUCUUUUCUUAAAACCCUAGUAGUGCUGUCACCAUAGCACUCCACCGCUUCCCAUGUUUAAAUAGUCAUGUAUGUGUCUUGUUAACAGCUUCAUUCUCAAAAGGAUUUGGAAGUUCUUGCUGACUACUGAGUGGUGAUUGAUUUCCUCCGGUAAAAUUGUUUUCUUCACUAAUCAAAAGCCUCAAUGUCUGUGAACUUGGUGGCUCUUGAUUUGAAGAUAUUGUGUCGCCAAAUCAUAGUUUUGAGUUAUUCUAACUAUUUCCCCUCUUGUAGCAUGAAUAAUUUUUAGCAAUGCGUAAGAGAAUGAUGUUGUUUUCCUGUCUACUAAGUCUUUUGACUAUAGAUUGCUUAAAGAUUUUAAUGAUAUAGACUAGAUUCUAGAUAAUAUCUGUAAAAUCUAGCUAUAGCUAAAUAAGAUAUGUUUGGAUCUUGGAUUAUAAGUGAUUGAGAUGUUUUAUGCCUAUUAUCUUUAAAUAGUAGACCAGAUGCCGGUAACUGAAUUCUCAUAAUUUGGUGAUUAGGUUAUAUAAGAGUCCCCUUGAAUUCAUAUGUUUAGAUCUCCUUUUUAUUUCUUUCAGCUCAAUACCAUAAUUUAGGAGAUCUAAAUAAGCUCUCUCAUCGAUGAUGAUUUACUCUACAAUUUUAUGCACUAAAUAACUUGUUGCACGGGAUAACAUUUUAGCUCCAAUAUGUGUUCUCUUAUUGACAUUCAUUCCACAACAAUUUAAGCUAACACGUGUUGUGCUCUACAACUACAACCACGUGACAUUAACGCCCUACAACCGUUUUAACGGCCUUUUACCACACGGUCUAACAUAUUGUUUGGUUAGUUCUAUAGUAACAUAAAUGUAAAGAAAAUUAGUUCCAUCGUAUCUCUGAUUGGUAACGUCCGCAAGUUUAAAUCAUUUAUGUUUGCGUUGCCAAUAGUAGAGUCAAACAGCUGUGUUUGUAUCAAUAUACAUUAAUCUAUUUUUCUCUGGAUAUAUAGCUAUUCAUCGUUGACUCGUUGCAAAAGAAGUAAUCUACCACCAUAAACAACUUCUAAAGAUACAACCAUCAUCAUAAAUCAUGGCCAAACCGUGAGAUAGAUAAUUAUCGAUGGCCGCAAAUGACUGCCAAAAUGUAAAAAACCGUGGAAUAUUAGCCAAGACAAAGAAACGAGCCAAACGUAGAGGGACGGAAGGAGAAGGAAAGCAGAGCACAGGAGAGAGGAGAGGGAAGGGGAGCUAAACCUAAACCCGAUCCGAUUAUUCAACAGCCACCCUCCCCCGACUCCAUUUCACCACACCUCUUCCCCCCCUCGCCCCCCUCUCCGACUCGACUAGGGCGCUCGCGCACGCCGCCGCCCCCCCUCCGCCGCCGCCGCCGACGACGACGACGACGACGGGCGGAAGGGAAAGAGGGAGAGCUCUCGAUCUCCGGCGCGGGCCGUGGGGGCGCACGCACGGCGCGCGUGGCGGCCUCCCCGGUCGGGGGUCAGAUCCGAGCUGAAUCGGGGAGAUUUCCCGGCCAGGUGAGCAUUGCGGCGCGGCUCCUCCCGAUCUAGAGACGGCUCGUUCGGUCUGGUAGGCUGCGUUCCCUCGCGAGAACGGGUCCGGCGCGCGCUUGGAUUGGAUUGGAUUGGGCUGGGGUAGUCGGGCCCUGUUCCAGACUCCCAGUCAAUUCGUUCGUUCAUUCUGUGGUGGUUUCGGAGGCAGCUGCAGUAUAUUAUUCUUGCGGUUUCGGAAAGUAAUCCAGCUCCGAUUUAUGAUUUAUUAUGUAUGGGUUGAUCCCGCGGAGGCUUUCAGUUUUUAUUUAUGUAUAUGGUUUGAUCCCCUGGAGGCUUUCAGCUCUUUUGACGCUAGAUUUAUUAUUGCUUUCGGAUAAGACCAGUUACUUCCUCUUGAAAUUUGAGGAGGUUUUGCGGUCAGGAAUGGCGUUACGGGGAUUAGAAAGCGUUCCUGAUAUCGUGCGACAUGACUUCACUCUUUUGGAUGUCACUUUUGCUUCGAGGUUAUGUGAUUCCAGGGGUUCGAUUGCCAUUUCCUUAUGGUUGUCCCAUUGUCUGCAAUGCCUGCUUGGAACCAUGCAUGCUUCUGCGGCCACUAGGCACGAGAUGCACGCGGGAUGAGUUAUGUAGAGUGGCUAGUUAGCAAUUGUUUAUACUGUCGUUUUUUAGGGCAAAAACUGUGGGGGAGAUCCCCACAGCACAUUUCUAAUUUUAAUUAAGCAAUUGUUUGUACUGUCUACAAGGCUUAUUACUUUUGGCAUCUUUCUCUGUAGACUCACUUUUGGAUUCCUCUUCUUUUGUAUCUCUGGUCGUCUAGUGAAACGGAUACUUACCAUUCUUGUUUCUUGAAACGGCAGGAACGAAAACGACAAGUGCAACGAAGCUGUACUUGUUCAGGUGACAGGAUAAUGGCUGGCACUUUGACUGAGGACAAUGGUGCGGAUGCUAGAUCCUCAUCAACUGAAGAGAUGCCAAGUGAUCAACAGAGUCAUUCUGGGGAUUCUUUAGCUGAGUGGAGGUCGAGUGAGCAAGUUGAGAAUGGAACACCAUCCACUUCACCAGCGUACUCAGACACUGAUGAUGACGACUGUGGUAUGUUUUCCAACUCUUCUCACAUUUGUCAGCAUCUCUUCCUUGCAAAUGCUUUUAGCUAGAUCUUUGUAAUCUUCCUUCUGAUGUUAUGAUAAUAUGUGGACCAGCUAGAUUUAUCUAUGCCUAGGUAAUUUGUUCCAUGAGGAGUCUCAACUAAUUUGGUUAAGGUACUACUUAACCCAUUUAGGUAUGAUUCAGUGCAGUCUAAAUGUCUAAUUAAUUGCCCAUGCAAUAAGAUGCUACCUUUAGAUACUUGUAUUGCCUUUAGGAUGUUUAGUUUUUCACUGCAGUUGUUUGGGUCAUUUUUUUAGGUUUACGAUAACUAACUUCUUGAGGAAUCAGGAGCAUUGCUGGAGUAUUACCAAUGGAUCAUUCAUUGGUUUCGCAUGGGCAAGAACAACAAAUGUAGAGAUGUACUAAAAAGAUGAUAGCUGUGAUACUUGUCAUGAUUGGUCUAAAUAUAGGGAGACUGUCCUGACUUGUGACUUGUUUGGUCGUGGGAUCUGUCUGUGGUAGAUAAAUCUUGAUCACGAAAUGCCUUUUCUUACCAAUUUAAAUAGUCCUGCUGCAGGAGACUUUGAAGUCCAGUUGAUUUUUUUCCCAGCAGCAAGCUAAGUACAAUCCACUGAACUAUUGUGGCAGAGUUAGGUCUGUAGUAUCAAGUUGCUUUGUCAAGCCAACUUAAUCCUCUGCACUACAACUAUAAGCUAGUGUAACAUAAAAGGCUGCAUUGUGAGUUGCAGUACCAAAAGCUAUGUCUAGUGUGCAAGAGAUUUCCAGCAAUCCCAAUAUUCAGUUAUUUAGAUCAAGUACACUCAAGCCUGAGGUCCCUUUUGGGCCUAAGUAGUUAAGCUGCUUUGAAACUUGUCACAUGUAACUUUUUUAGAGCACCAGAAGUUGCAUUCAAGAACAUUUAUCAUUGUAGUUCACUGUUCUAAAAGGUUGGCGCUUAGGUGCUUGUACUUGUACUAGAAAACUAUAGGGUUUCAUUAUAUAACAACUACCUACAGUCACAAAUAAGUAACAUUUUUGUGUUUUCCCAAGUCAACUAUUGCAAACUUAAACUUUCUGUUAUUAUGCACAACAAAAAAUUAUUGGAAAUACAUAUUUUUCAAAACAAAUCUACUUAUAUCACUUCCAAACAUUCAAAGGCACCCCUUAUUUGUAACGGGAGCGAGUAUUCAGCUUCUUGUGUUUUGCGUGAACAUUGUUGAGUUGGACAUGUUCUUUUCUUAAAAUUGGCUUGUAAUUAUGAGAUGAUGAUUACCUAGUUUUUAUCCUACUGGAUGACAUGUUUCUGAUAAGCUGGUUUAUAUGAUCUGUGCAUUUCAACCUUUUGCAAUAUUAAAUAUUUUGGCAUCUGGUGCUUGACCUAGUAAUUCCAUUGUCUAUUUGUCUUGUAUAGGACCUAGGCCUUCUGAGCUAUAUGGGAAGUUUACAUGGAGAAUUGAUAAUUUCUCCCAAAUCAACAAGAGAGAGCUAAGAAGUAAUUCCUUUGAUGUUGGUGGAUUUAAGUGGUAUGGUCUUAUUGCCAUUAAUUGGAUCAUUUCCUUUUUAGAUUUUUGGUUCCACAAACAUGUUUCUACUGUGCACCUGGGCUUCUUACUUGCCUGCUAUUUGUGAUUUGGCUAUUGCUCCCACUGUACCUGAAAGAAAAUCAUUCUAUAUCGUCUCAAGUCAAAUAUCUAUUGAUCAAGUUUGUAGAGAAGUGUAUCUACAUUUGUGACACCAAAUAGGCAUACCACGAAAAUAUAUGUCAUGAUAUAUCUUAGAACACUUAUUUGGUACUAUAAAUAUAGGUAUUUUUCUGUUGUAUAAAUUUGGUCAAACUUAAGAUGAUUUGGUCUAGGAAAAAAAUAGAAUGACUUUCUUUUAUGGAUGGAGGGAGUAGUUUUUACUUUUUAGUGUCUUUGCAAGGAGAUAGCUGUUAAUUAGAGACGGUGUAAACACAAUCACUGUGUUUAAUUUUCAGCACAGUUUCUACUGUUUGCAUGUUUUAUUUGAACUAUAAAUUCUGAAGGUUGACCAUCCAUUUGAAAAGUGAUCGAACAGCUUAUGUUGAAAAGAAACUAGUACCAAGCACAGGUAACCUUGUGAGCUGCCUGAUUGUUGAAUAGGCUCAUUGGGUGUCACAGACUGCAGCUGUCAACAGUUGAACUCACUGGCAGCUGUUCAAUUAAGCUGUAAUUUGUGUUCUGCCUUCUCAUGGUGAUAUGCAUUUUGCCAGCAAAUCGUAAUCUUAGCAUUUGUAUUCAUGGAGAAGGAAUACCAUUGUUAUAGUUAAAGUAGCAUUUUCUCUAUUGUUGUCCAUUUCUGUUGACAUGUUUCCUAUGUGAAUAUUUUUCUUGGAGUCCUGAGCAUACAGUGUUCUGUUUCCUUCUCAGUUUCUGUUUACAAAGUUCGUUUUCAUGUUACCUUAGUUCUUACAUACUGAAGAACAAAAAGAAGAACUGUUCUUUGUCUUAUUUUUAUAUUUGAUUACACAUGGAAUAAGCCAAUUGGGGGACAUGAGCGGUUAUGCAUAUAAUUUUGUUGCCAUUUUUUGUUUGGUACAUCUUUUUCAAUUUGAUAUUUUAAUUUGCUUAUGUUUUUUAUGCUUAUAUAGUUUCUGCAUCAUAUUUUGAGAUCUAUCAGGUGAUUUUCAGGUAUAUCUUAAUUUACCCACAAGGAUGUGAUGUCUGCAAUCACCUCUCACUCUUUCUUUGUGUUGCCAACCAUGAUAAGCUACUCCCAGGUAGAUGCAUAAUUUGAUUGUAUUUGACUCACUUCAGUCUGUGACUACUCUAUAUAUCUUCAAUAUGAUUUGCUUUUACUCAGGAUGGAGUCACUUUGCGCAAUUUACAAUAGCUGUAAUUAAUAGAGACCCUAAGAAAUCGAAGUAUUCUGGUGAGUCCAAUGAACUACUAUCUCGCUUUCCUAGUGCCUAGAGCUAAAAAAGCAAGCUUUUGCUUGCCAUCUGCAAGUGUAGUUUAUGGAAAGUAGCAUUUCAGAUACACUGCAUCGGUUUUGGAAGAAAGAGCAUGAUUGGGGGUGGAAAAAGUUUAUGGAGCUGUCAAAAUUACAUGAUGGCUUUAUUGUUGAGGAUGUUCUUACCAUCAAAGCCCAAGUUCAAGUUAUCAGGUAUCUGUUUUCUUUGCGUCUUGCAUUCAAUGCAAGCAUCAAUUAUUUUCAAGUGGGAGGUAUCUGUUUGCUUUGCAUAACCAUUUCUGCUUCUGCAUUAUAAUAUUCGAGGGAGAAGACAGACCGUCCAUUUCGUUGCCUUGAUGGGCAGUACCGAAGGGAACUAAUUAGGGUGUAUCUAUCAAAUGUGGAACAAAUUUGCCGGCGCUUUAUUGAUGAAAGAAGAAGCAAGCUUAGCAGGUUGAUUGAGGAUAAACUGGGGUGGUCCAGGUUAGAUAAACUUCUAACCGACACAUUAGUGUUUUACAACCAGUCUCAUUUCCAAGCCUUUUUUUUUUAAAAAAAAAUUGUUUGUUUUUGGUGUUUUGCAGUUUCAAUGGAUUCUGGCUAGCAAUGGAUCCAAGUGUGCGUCGACACAUGACAAGGGAAAAGACUGAAACUAUAUUGAAAGUUCUAGUGAAACAAUUCUUUAUAGAGAAAGAAGUUACAUCAACCUUGGUAAUUGACUCACUAUAUAGCGGACUUAAGGCACUUGAAUACCAGAGCAAGAACAAAAAGGCGAUACCUAAACUAACAGAGACAGAUGCUCGGAGCACUCCAAUGGUACUUAUUGAUCAGGACAUGUUUGUUUUGGCUGAUGAUGUGAUACUUCUGCUUGAAAGAGCUGCAUUGGACACACUGCCACACCAACCAUUGCCUACAAAGGAUGAUAAAAGUUCACAAAACCGCACGAAGGUAGGCUUGUUUCUUUGACCCCUUUUUUACACGUUCAAUAUCAAACUUGACAGCAGUUUUAUCAUGGCGUGCAUUUUAUGUUGUGCAGACCGCAAAGGUCCACAGUUUUUCAGAUGUUGUUCAUAUUAAAUUGAAAAUCGUUUCACAAAACGAACUUAACAUUUCCGCACCUUCCAGCCAUGGUGUGUAUCUGCGUUUACUGAUUGAGUUGCUGCUGCUGUUGUGUGUGUUUUCCGGCUUUGUUUUUGCAUUGGUGUUUUCUUCCUUGAUAUAAUGACAGGCAGCUGUUGUGUGUGUUUUCCGGCUUUGUUUUUGCAUUGGUGUUUUCUUCCUUGAUAUAAUGACAGGCAGCUCUUCUGCCUAUUCGAGAAAAAAACACUUCUUUGCUGUAUUGCUCUGAAGUGGGGCCAGGACUUAGGAAUAGUCUAUUAUUUGUAUCUUAACGUGUUAUGAACUGAAAAAGAAGAGUAUUCAUAAUGUCCAUUUCCUUACCCAAUUUAUCUCUCCAUGAAGUUUAUCCUACUGAUGUAUAGAGCCCUAACAGAUGCUCUUGUAUAGGAUGGCAACUCAGGUGAGGAGUUCAGCAAAGAUUCUAUUGAGCGUGAUGAUAGACGGCUUAUAGAGCUAGGCUGGAAGACAUUGGAGCUUUUUGCCUUGGCUCAUAUAUUCAGGUAAGCAAACUUUUCUAGAUGAUUUGUUCCAAUAUUUGGUGCACAAAUGCAUACUCAGAUCAUAUGUUGAUGUCAGCAACAUAAAUUGUUGAUUCUUAGUGAUGCAUGGUUUGUUUGAGAUGCCUUUUUUUUUAUGUUGCUUGUUUUAUGUGUUAGCAGAUAGCUGCAGAAGUUCUAUCUCUUGUUUAUGUAAAGUAAAUUGCUGUAUCAGGUUAUGAUAGUAUGUAUUAACAUUAUUUUUCUUGGGUAAAGAUAAUUCUUCUUGAUGAAAUCUGUGAAUUCAAAUCCCACUCCAGUUAUGGUUAUGCAUAUCUUACUUUAUGAAGUUUUGAAACAGCCGAAUAGAAGUGGCACAUCAAGAGGCUGUGGCUUUGAAGCGCCAAGAGGAACUCAUUCGUGAAGAGGAAGCAGCUGGACUAGCUGAAAUUGAACUUAAGGCAAAGCGUAAUGCUGCUGAAAAGGAAAAACGUGCCAAGAAAAAACAGGUUAGAUUUAUUUUCUGGGGCAAGCAUGUCAUGCCCAUCCUAUUAAUAAUACUAUUUUUCUGCUUUCUUUUCUGGCAUGUUUCAUUUAUUUUGUAUGUGAAAUUAGUGAUUGCUCUGUUCCUAGUCCUAACUGUUCUCUUUAGUUUGUUUUUUGAAUGUACUAUGAUUAGUUAUUUAGCAUCCUUUUUGUAUUUGUUGAGGAGUUUUAUAAUGUUCUGUAUCUCUCUAGGCGAAACAGAAGAAAAAUAGUCGAAAAAGUAAUAAGGGGAAAAGUGGCAAGUCCGACAUCAAUAAGGAAAUACUUAUGGACAGCAGUCCUUCAGAUGAUAGAAUCCUGGAUGAUUUUUCUGGACAAACGGAAGAAAUGUCCUCAAAUGCUGACAACCCUGAAGAAGUUUCUGAUAUAUCUGACAGCAGAGACGAUAAUUCAGAUGUGCUUCAUGUUGAUAUUGAAGACCGUGAAUCUAGUCCUGUUAAUUGGGAGACAGAUGCAGAAACACAAGCUACUGUUCCUGGAAGUAGUGAGGUGCAAAAUGACCAUGCAGGGAAGAGGACCUCUACUGUGGAUGAUAGCUCAUCAACUUGUUCAUCAGACUCGGUCCCUUCAGCUACCGUGAACGGAUCAUAUACAGGAGGUGCCUGGACAAGCGUGAGAUCCUCAUCCAAUAGGUAAAUCUUCUUGAGCUCCUCAAUCUUACUAUAGGUUGGUAUUGGUCAUGCUGUAGUAUUGAUCAUGCUGUAUUGUGAUUCAGGGGAAACAACCGGAGGAAUAAGGAUACUGAAGCACGGGCAGGAUUUGCACAAGGUGGAUCAAGUUCAGCGCAUAAUGGUUUUAUAGGAUCUGGCAGCAAUGCCUCUAGCCACUCAAAGGAAAGACACGAACCUGAGGUAUACAUCUCUUGGAUAUCUCAGAUAAUGGUCGCUAUUCGUCGAUUCGUCGAGGAUUUAUAAUGUGCCAUGAAGCAACCCCCCCCCCCCUAAAUCUUAAGAUAAUCUUGUGUUGUAGUAAAGUCUUCUCUUCCUUUUUUUUUGUCUUCAUCUAUUUGUGUUCAACUUGGUUCAAUAACCAUACAAAUUAAUUCCUUGCAGGAUGAUAAAGUUGUCUUGCAGAGGAAGCAACAUGCACAACGGCACAUUGAUGUCAUUAGCCCCUCUAAGUCAAGAAUGGCGGAGUCUUCAUUUUCUUCUGUGAGCCCUGUUAAGAAGCAACCUAACAUGUCUCAUCAACCAAAAUUUUUGCUAGAAAGCACCAAUAGUUUGAAUCACCGUGCAAGCGAAGUUUCAGGCGCUGUGACUGCCACUACAACAGCAGGUGCCUCUUCAACCCCGGCAGCUCAGUUAGUUUCGAAUAAAGGACCUGUAUCCAGUGCUGCAACCCAGAAUGAGAAGCCAGUUCUAGUUACAAGUAGACCCCUGCAGGUUCUUUUACCAUCCAAAUCUGAAGCGCAGAAACAGGCUUCCGUAACUGGCAGUGCAAAUACUCAGGACAUUUCAGUAUCAAGGCCCUUGAGUGCCCCACAAGUCCCUGCGGCGAAACAAAGUGCACCAGUCACUUCAACAGCUCCGAAUGCACCUCUUCUUUCUCGUUCAAUGAGUGCUGUUGGGCGGUUGGGAAAUGAACCCUCUGCCAGUGCUCCUAGUUUCAUUCCCCGGUCACGAACAUAUCGCAAUGCCAUGAUGGAGAAAAGUUCUGGUGGUGGAAGCAGUUUCACACAUCAGCAAGGUUCGUCCGAGCAAGCAGUUACACCAUUGCAAUCGAUUUUUACAUCGCAACCUUCCAUUCCGUCAUCAGAGACCUUGUCUAGGAAAGAGGAAACAUCAUUGAGACCUGGGUUUACAUUUGGAACUGUAAAGCCCGAGUCACUGAACCCAUAUCAGGGCAGAGAAGAGACCUCACAACAAGCGAGCAGCAGCAGCAGCAGCAGUAGUGAUUGUAUGCCAUCGAAUUCGAACAUCAGAAGCGAGAUUGCGAAGCUCAAUUUGAAUGGAAGAUCACGAAGCAAGCAACUGUUGUCAGAAAUUUCUACCAGAUUUACUCCCUAUCAGCCACAAGGCUUGGUCGCUGAUGAGUUCCCACACCUAGACAUCAUCAACGACUUGUUGGAUGAGGAGCAGAGUGACAGGAGAAGGGUUCUUCAACCUGGUUUUGUUCAACAAUUCUCUAUGCCUAAUGGUGCCAGCACACCUGAGUAUGGUUUGUUUAGUGAGCCAUACCUGUUUGACCAGUCUGAGCAAUACUUUGACGAGGAGCCUCCAAGGUUUUAUAGUCCAUUGAGCAGUGCUCCUCGGAGGCUGAGGGACCGGAGCUAUUCACACUUUGAUCUCCCAUCAUACUCCAGCAGCAGCCAGUUUGAUGAUCUGAUGAUGAGUCAGUGGCCAUACAGCCGCACUGACAUCUCCAUGCCUAGUUUUGAGUCAGACACAAGUGGCUACCCUUAUCAGGCGCAGGAUUUCCCGAGUUCAGCUAAUAGAGCAAGCAGGUACCCAUCGUAUCGCCCUGCCAAUGGGCAUUGAGAGUUUUAAUGGUUGCAUUGAUAAUAAUGUGUGGUCGAGUCCAUGCUGUUCGCUUCUGAGCUGAGUGUAAUUGUAAUAGUUCCCCAUAGCAGUGAUAUAAAGAAUGGUUCCUCAGUUUCCUUGUUAAAUCAAUAGUUACAUCUUUUUCCCCCUUUUCUAUAGUUCAGUUUUGCCCAAUGGUAAUAAAUCUAAGUCGGUUAAAAUGAUCUGGCUAAUCUAGUCAAUGGUGUUCUGAAAUGUGUAUGAUGCAAGCAAAUGGUAGGUGUUUUUAAGCCAUGCCAGUGCUUCAGCUGAUGUUUCAUUGACUGGGAGUAUUUCUUGUUUCUUCCUCUGACGAGUAAAUUCUGGAAAUAGCCCAUGGACAUAAACUAAUUGUUUGCUGCACACUAUGAACUUUUGGAGGUAUAGUUGAUUAUUUCCAUGGAUGGAUAAGCUAUAAAGUAAAAUGCGAUAGGGUCAACUGCAUUUUGUGCCAUUUUUUUUCUCGAACUGUGCCAUCUUUUUUUUUUCUGAACGAUCAUGUCAUCUUUGUUUUUGUACAAUGUACAGAUUCUUUUUUUUUGCUGUAACAAGCACGACGCUUAAUUCAUAAUUUCUGUUCCAAUUUAGAAAGAAUUAUUAUCGCUUGCAUAUCCAAAUCUUGUGUAGGGUGCAAUUGGUGUUGCUGAUGCUUUGUAUGUUCCACAUAAACUGAGAGCAACACCAGCCACCCAGGAAUAGCGGAGAAAUUCCCAUUAUCAGGCUUAAAAUAGUGACUGUAAUUGAUUUUUGUAACUAGAUCGGCAAGACGGGGAAAAUGACCUACAUUGAGCUUGAAGCAAAGGAUCUGCUGCGGAUAUAAAAAGAAUGCGUGGUGAAUCUAAAGAAGAAAAAGUACUGCAGCAGGCUCCUCUUUUGCUAGUAGCAAGUAGAUUAGAGUUAGAGACCUACACUCAGGAGAAGUACCACACUCGUCAAAUUGCCUCUCAAUCCGAUCGACUUCCAUCUCGCAUCUCGUGUUCGUGUCCUCACAAGCAAAUGAAGCAAUGAGGGCCUUGCAUUGUACCUGAGCACAAUAAUAUCAAAUGGAAAUUUUCCUGUAGUGAAAAUUCUUUACAUGCAAUUGGCAUGAACCUAAAUCCCUUAUUGACCACCUAAAACAAUGUGAUUCUCAUAUAAGCAUAUGAACAUCUAGAUGUUAGUAUUGUUCAUACUAGUUAUCGUCAAAUGGUAGAGGUGAUCAACAAUAAGCGGAUGUACGGCUCGGCAAGGAAGAAGAUGGUGGUGGAGAUGGAUCUUUGAUAGAGGAACAGAUGGUCCAUGCAGUUGGCUAUACAAGUUGCUCAGUGUAAGGGCGAUGUGGACUGUACCUGGUGUGCUGGUUCGUUUGUGCUCGUUCUACUGCUUGAUUACGAAUAUGGCAAUGGUUGUGGAGGGUAAGGCCGCCAGAUACUAGUACAAUAAUUUAUAUCAUGUGUUUAGUUGGAAGGCAAAAUGGUAUUUUUGAUAUGUCUAUUACCAAAAAUAUCUGUAUGUCACCAACAAUAUCGAGAAAAGGAUUAAAAUAUCGGAAAUGCUAAAAUAAAAACACAUUGGAUUUGAAGAUGAGCCCGCACACCCGGCUCGCAGUCCCGCAUAUCCUGAAUGGACGCACCUCUCUCUCUUUCUCUUCGGCAGCCUCCUCCCCGCGCCCGCGCCUCACCACCCGUAGCCAUGGCGGAUCUAGCAGUAGUGGCACCAGAUCUACGGCAAGUAGACCUCGUACUUCUGGAUCUGCUUUCUAGGGUUCCGACAAGCUCCCCCUUAUCUACUCCAACGGGCUAUAGAAUGGAUGGCGCGGGGGGGGGGGGGGGAGCAGGUAGGCCAGACGGUGGAGAUGGUCAAUGGCUCGAUGGGCAGUUUAGGAGAGCUAGCGGUGGCAGGAGUGGUCGAACCAGGUUGGGGUGGGGGCGAGGGUGCCAGAGUUAGAGAAGAAGAGUUGUUAUGUUUUUUUACUAAAAUGUUGUGCGGAGUUAUGUGCGCAGAAGCUCUAAAUCGUGCAUGUACAUAAAGUCCUUAAAACAUGCAUAUAGUGAUAUUGACAAGAUUUGGGUUUUUAUUAGGCGGUAGAUAAGGAUAAAAGUUCGAUGCCAUAUACAAAAAUUGGGAACAGAUAAACCAACCAAAGUUCUAUUUAUUUUUUUUAAAAAAGGAGAAAAAUCAACCAAAGAUUAGUUUGAGCCGAGAACCAAAGAGAAUUUUGAUGCUUGGCACGGAGUUACCCAACACAAGUUGGGUACCCAAAAAGCCUAACUCCAUCGAUGGCAAAUCGGGAAAUGACCCAGCGAUCCGCAGCCCGGAGGCCCCGGCUUUGACGUAAAUGCCCCUCCCCCGUCCGGUCUCAUCUCCUCCCCUCUCGCCGCCCCCGUCUUCCACCAUUGCCCCUCGCCUCGUCUCCCCCAAUUUCUUUCCACGCCUCUUCCUCUCUUUGCCCUCGAGCCGCGCUCCCUCUCCCUGCCCCUGCCCCUGCCCCUGCCCCCGCGCGGCCUUCAAAUCCACCCGCUGUUUCCCCGCCCUCCCCUUGGCGCGCAGCUCCGGAGCGCCGGGCGCCGCGGCGCCGUGCGGUGGGUAGGCUCUGCUUCUUGGAUCUCGGGCGGGACUGACUGGCCCGUCGGUCCCGGCGCUCUCGUGGCGAUUCCGAAUUUCCGAUUGCUUCCUUGCUGAUGGCUGUGGCUAGUCCCGCUGCGAUGGCUGUGUGAAGGUUGGAUUGGGUCUGUCGGCGACGGGAUUGGAUCUUGGCGAGGUUUCCAGAAGCCCGAAUUGCUCUGCCGCUGUGUCUGUCGGGACUGAUAUCCGCCGGCGCCGCUGCGAUUUCUUUUCCGGUGAGCUUUCGCUACGCUCCUCCUGCCUUUGUUCCUGGAUCUUGUCCGUGUGAUUUGCUGCUGCUUGUCCAUGGGUUUCGUCACUGAUUCCUUUCAAUUCAACUCAUUUGGUUGAUGCUCUCUGCUCUCUCUCUCUCUCUCUCUCUCUCUCUCUCUCAGGCACUCUGUUUCUUGGCGCGGUGAUAGGCAGCGAUGGCGAGCCACGAGCUGGUCCUUGGGCACGGGCAGGACGCGGAGCUGGCGUUGGGGCCGAACCACCACGACUUCGGCCAGGACCACGGGCUGGGACUCGGCCACAGCCACGAGCUCGACCUCGGCGGCCACGCGCACGACCAUGAGCUCGUCCUGGGCCAGUCGCACGAGCACGACCACCAGCUCGUCCUCGGCCACCACCACGAUGACGACCACCAGCUGGUCCUCGGGCACGACCAUCACCACCACGGCCACCACGUCGGCGAGCUGGCUCUGAGGCAGGGCCAUGAGGGGGACUCUGGGGCACUGGAACUGGAAGUGCAGGGCCACCACCAUGACGAGCUUGACUUGUCGGAGAGCCACGAGCUGACGCUUGCCGAGACGCACCACCUGGGUGUUGAUGAGAAUCUCGAUCAGCUCUCGCUCGAGCAGGCUCAUGAGCUCGCACUGCAGCCACAUGAUCUCUCCCAGGGUCCUCUUGCUGUCGCUCCUGUUGUCCAGUCACGGACCAUGGUUGUGAGCCCUGAGUUCCAGCUCCAAGUGGGGCAGGAGUUUCCCGACGUUAUGAGCUGCCGCAGGGCCAUCCGCAACACCGCCAUCGCCUGCCACUUUGAGAUACAGACGGUGAAGUCUGACAAGUCCCGGUUCACUGCUAAAUGUGCUGCCGAGGCCUGCCCAUGGCGCAUACAUGCAGCAAAGCUCCCCGGUGUGCCCACCUUCUCCAUCAGAACCAUUCAUGACAACCACAGCUGUGUCGGGAUCAACCAUCUUGGCCAUCAGCAGGCAUCUGUUCAGUGGGUUGCAAACACUGUCGAAGAGAGGCUACGUGAGAACCCACAAUGCAAGCCCAAAGAAAUUUUGGAAGAAAUCCACAAGGCCCAUGGGAUCACCCUAUCCUACAAGCAAGCUUGGAGAGGUAAGGAGCGGAUCAUGGCUGCGGUUCGAGGGUCUUUUGAGGAAGGAUACCGUCUCCUGCCUGAGUACUGUAGGCAGGUGGAAAGAACAAAUCCAGGAAGUAUAGCUCGAGUCUAUGGAAACCCAGAUGACAAUUGCUUUCGGCGACUCUUCAUAUCAUUCAAUGCAUCAAUAUUUGGUUUCGUCAAUGCAUGCCGUCCACUCAUUGGGCUUGAUAGGACCCUUCUGAAAAACAAGUAUCUUGGCACCUUGUUCCUUGCCACUGGUUUUGAUGGAGAUGGUGCUCUCUUUCCUUUGGCAUUUGGCGUGGUUGAUGAGGAAACUGAUGAGAACUGGGUGUGGUUCUUGUCUGAGUUGCACGAGUUGCUAGAGAAGAACACAGAGAACAUGCCAAGGCUCACCAUCCUGUCAGAUAGACGGAAGGGCAUUACUGAUGGAGUUGAAUUCAACUUCCCAACUGCAUUCCAUGGGUACUGUAUGCGUCAUGUUAGUGAAACCUUCAAAAAGGAGUUCAACAAUCCAGUGCUUGUCAACCUUCUCUGGGAAGCUGCUCAUGCACUGACUGUGAUAGAGUUUGAAACUAAGCUGCUGGAGAUAGAGGACACAUCAUCAGAAGCUGUUGUCUGGAUAAGGCACCUACCUCCUCGUCUUUGGGCCACCGCUUACUUUGAGGGGACAAGGUACGGUCAUCUAACAGCAAACAUCACGGAGUCGCUAAAUUCCUGGAUACUGGAUGCCUCUGGCCUUCCUAUAAUUCAGAUGAUGGAAUGCAUCCGUCGCCAGCUGAUGACUUGGUUCAACGAGCGUCGCGAAGCAAGCAUGCAGUGGAACACAAUCCUCGUGCCUGCAGCCGAGCGCCGUGUGCAAGAGGCCAUUGAGCGUGCACGGGGCUACCAGGUGGCCCGAGCCAAUGAGGCAGAAUUCGAGGUCAUCUCAGCUCACGAGGGAACAAACAUUGUGGACAUCCGCAACAGGUGCUGUUUGUGCCGGGGGUGGCAGCUCUAUGGUGUGCCGUGUGCUCAUGGUGUGGCGGCACUCCUCUCCUGUAGGCAGAACGUCCACCGCUACACCGAGAGCUGUUUCACGGUGGCAACAUACCGCAAGACUUACUCGCAAACCAUACACCCAAUCCCAGACAAGACCCUCUGGAAUGAAACAGCAGAUCAUGAAGUAGCAGAUCAAGGACAGGCUGAAGAGACCAAGAUGGAGAUGGUCAUCAACCCACCAAAGUCGCUGAGGCCUCCAGGACGUCCGAGGAAGAAGAGGAUACGAGCAGAGGACCGAGGGCGAGUCAAGCGGGUCGUUCACUGCAGCCGCUGCAACCAGACUGGACACUUCAGAACCACAUGUGCUGCUCCAAUAUGAACAAUGGCAUAAUGAUGGUGUAAAAUACGCUGCAACCACUUCAGAACUUCUUUUUUAUUAAUUAUAGCUGCAGUAUUUCUGUGACAAGUUAGUGUCUACUUGUGCAAGCUUCUUGCUUGCAGAUGGUCUUUGGUUAUUAUACUUGGACACUGCUCUUGUUCUAGCAUUAGUAGUUAAAUAAUGUCAAUUUCAAGUUUGUAUCAUAGCACUAUAAUUCUGGAAAUCUUCAAUGUUUUUUUCUUAAAAAAAACCAUCAAAAGAAACUGUGUAAAAUACUGGUCCAAAGAUGGCAUUGUCUUCAAUUUAGCAAACCCCUUGAAUUUUGGCGGCCUGGUAUAAAUAACAAAUAAGGCGAAAGAAUUGCUGCUUGUUCUUCUAAUUUUGUCACCAAAUUUCUUUUGCUCAGAUGUUUCAAAUAGCUGUGGUUACUGUUAUGCUGUAUUUAAUCCAUGACGAGAAAACUUCAGACAAAAAGUAAGCGCAGCAACAUUAGAUUCUGACAAAAUUCCUACAUCGAUGAUACAUGUACAUUAUGCAUGUUACAAUAUAAAAGUUCCUUGUAACAACCAAAAAAAAGGAGAAAACAAAAUCAGCUCAUCAUUUACAAACUACAUCAACGACCAGUACAAAAUCAUUCAUAUGCUCGGCGUCAGUUGAGCUUCCGCUACUUGUGGUGUCUGACUGUCUAACCCGGGAAACUGGCCGAUAUCAUGCCCUUCAACUGCAUUUAGGUCCUCGUGCAGACCAAUCGCAAACUCUUCAGGUCGAUCUCCGUUGCUCACAAAGUAGUCAGCUAUCUGAAUUAUCAUCGCAAAAGAGAAAGCUAUCUGCAUUAGCAACUGAACUAAAAUUUAUUUUCUUUUAGUCAACUAUAAUAAGCUUCUUAUAAGCUACAAAGAUGUGCUGUAGUAUGUUAUAAAAUAGCAAAGGAUAUCUGAAUUUUACAUGGUUUGCGAGUGACAUCCCACUUAAAACAGCCGCUUCUAUGCUUGAACCAGUAAGCCAGUCACCGCAGAUGCCUGCUCGCCCUAGGGGAUCAAAUAUGCAUGAUACUCCUGGAGUGUUCAUCGGCAGAGCUGCACCCCUGUGAUUUCAACACUAAUUUGUACUCAUGUUUUAACUCAGUGGAGAAAUAGAAUUAUAAAAGAUACAAGGAAUGGAUUUGUUAUACCAUAACUGCACUCUUGUGUAAAUUGGUUGCUGAAGAGAUCCUUUUGAUAACCCUAAAGCAUGUUCUACUCCUCCAAGCAUGUCUUCCUUCACCUUUUCUGCCGUGACUUUUGGGAUAUUUUCCUGAAAUUAACAGCUUAACCCAUUUGAGACACCAACUGAUAAAGCUGAAGUAACUUGGAAUCUUUAUUGUCUGUCAAGCAAUCAAUACUGGGGGGGGUGUAACAAAAUGAUACAAGGAAAAUUGAAAAAAUUCAGCAAACAGGACCUGUGGGACUUUGUUUCUUUUUCCAUAAGCAGCAGUACUGAAAAAUGUCCAGCACUCGGGUGUGCCUGUCUGCAUUGGAAAAAGUUUGCGGGUAUUGUUGCCCAUCCAAGAGAGAGAAUCGACAUCUCUCACAAAUGCUCCUUCAAAUGCUCCACGUGAAUCAAUACAUGGAACCGGAAGAGGAGCUUCAAAUGCCGCAAGGAGUGCCCAGACAGAACUGAGCUCUAGUCUCUGAUCAUUGAUUGAAUGAACUUGGUAAGAAAUAGGAAUUAAAGGAUAUAAGUCCCAUGUGUUCAAAAUUAUUGAAAUAGUAAAACCAUGAAACCUUCAUUUGUUUUGUUAGUAAUGGCAGUCCUGAUGUAGAAAGCAGACGGUUGGCACAUUUCCCUGAUCAAUGUGUAACAGAAGGAUCAGCUAGGAAUAUGAUGUCACUUAGAAUGUUUCGGUGAAUGAACAAAUAUGGACGUGUCGCCAAAAAAAAAAGGUUAUCAUACAAAAUGUGAUAAUUAAGCAAUAUUUAUUUACCAUUUGUGCUAAUUUAUUCAAUAAUGUAGGCCAUCAGGGUUGCAUAAAACAUGUAGUAGAGAAAUAAGAUAAUUGGAAAGUCUGAACUUUAGAAAUUUACUGUCUAAAUUCCAAAAACUGAAGAAAAAAUAUGUAAUCAUGCUUUGCCUACAGAAACAGUAUUUUUCCUAUUAAAGAAGUUUGUACUGACCAUUAUGAGCUAUCACAAUGGCAUCAUAUUCACCAUGGGGCUUUUCAUUCUCAAACAAGCGCCACAAGCCAUUGAAGGGCUCAAGUUUGCUUAUCCAACAAGGCCUCAAAACUUUAAUCAUAUCAGUCUGCAAAAUGAGCCAUCAGCCAAGUAAAGAACUGAAUAGAACUCAAAGGUUCAGCAAACCAUUGAGUUAUAACUUCAUGCUACUUGGAUUGAACUCUGAGAACAAAAUCAGGGUAAGUCUCUAGAGCAGGCUAUGGUGUGGAAUGUUUGGUGAAUUCAUGGUGAUGUGCAAGUAACUGGAUAGCAGUUAAUACGGAUAACUUCAUACUACUACACUUCCAUGGAGCUUGAAUAAGGUGGAGCUAAUCAGAUAUACCUCAGGCAGCAUUGCAUCUGCAAGUGGGCGCAUCCCAUUCACACCGAUGUACCUCGGCGUCAACGAAGGUAUGGCCCUGAAACGGCCGCCAGCUUCGAGCUCGCCGACCAAGCCACUCCACUCACGGACCAGCCCUCUGUCGAGCCACUCGUCGACCAUGCUCUGGAACCUCUCGUCGCUCGCGGUGAAGAACUGCGCCGCGUGGUCGAACACCAGCUGCUCGCCGCCGUCGACGAACCUAGUCGCCAUCCUGCCGCCUAGGCCGUGCAUUCCCUGCAUCAGCCAGUAGCGAGCCUGUGCGGUGAGCCUCCCUCCCGCGCUAGUGGCUGGUGUGGAGGGGAGGGGAGGGGAGGCAAAGUGGGGAGCGAUACGAACCGUGUCGAAGACGACGGAGCGGACGCCGCGCGCGGCGAGGGCAGACGCGCAGGAGAGGCCGGAAGCGCCGCCUCCGAUGACGGCGACGGUGGGGUCGGCGGGGACCGGGGUGGAGAACACGACCUGUUCCUGGUGGAAGCUCUUCUUGAUUGCCGAACGCCGCGAGAACCCGGGCUUGCCGCGCCGCCCCCGACGAGGGGCCGUCCUCGGCGGAUUCGCGCCUCCGUUUCCGGAAGCGGCCACCACCCUGGCGAGGUGGGCAGCCGGGAGCGCGGUGGCAGCGGCGGCGAUGGGAGGCGGCGGCAUCACACUGCUCGACGGAAUGCGGGAGCGCUAUUGCGGGAACGGCGAACCUGACCGUUAUCUGUUUAUUACGGGGUUGGAUUUCUCCUCUUCUUCAAUAACAGAUCACAGUGAACCAUCCGAUUGUAAUCUAACGGUCUAAAACAGAUAAAUGAUAUCAUCCAUUCACUCGGUGCCAGAAUAAUUACACUUCUACUUCUAAUACUAGCAUUAUUAACAAUAAAAAUUAUCUCAUAAUAAAAGUACCUUUAGUUUAUAGAUCACCUAAUGCCAGUAAGGUUUACUACUCUCUACUGUGUAAUAAUCAUUAUGUAUUGCUAAUACUUUUGAUGGGUAUAUUUGAAAUUUCAUAGUUGUAUUGAUAUUUCUCCCACGUUUCUAAAUGUGUAUUUAUUUUAAGAUGGAGAGCAUUUUUUUGAUAGGAUGGAGAGCAUUUUUUCAGUAUAUUUGAAAUUUCAUAGUAGUAUUGAUAUUUCUCCCACGUUUCUAAAAGUGUAUUUAUUUUAGGAUGGAGAGCAUUUUUAUAGGAUGGAGAGAAUUCUUUUGCUAGCUUUCUUUGGUCUUGAGUCAUGACUCCUGUCUUUGCCACCUGGUUCAAAUUGUCCUCAAUUCGACUUGGAUGCUUAUUUCUUUUUUUAUAACUAAUAAAAAUCACAUAAUUUCUCUUAGUUUAACCUGUAUUCUUUUUGCAAUGUUAAAUAUAUUUUCCUCUUUAGGAUAUGCUCCAUCAUUGUGCUACAUCUAUUCGCAAAAAAUUUAAGUCUAAAUGUAUUCUUAGUUAAAGUACCUAAAGUUUGACCAAAUAUAUAAAAAUAGUAAUGUUUAUAAUACGAAAUAAGUAUAUCUAGAAAUUUGUUUCACAUGAAUCUAAUGAUAUUUAUCUAGUAUAAUAUAUAUUUAGAUUUUUAAUAAAAAUUUAGUUAAACUUAUCAUACUUUAAUGUCUAAAAUUAUUUUGUUUUUAGAGCGGAGGGAGUAUAUGAUCAACCUCUCUAAUUUAAUACAAUAUAUAGCUUACAGAGUUGAUAUGCUUUGAUCUCUGUUACCACAUUCGGCAUACAUAUGGCACAUCACAAUAUAUUUCUAGGAUUUACUCCCUUUAUCCCUAAAUAUUUGUCACACACGAUUUAUUUGUCGAUAACUUCGACUCGAUUUAUAGAAAAUACGUGUAUAUUUCUAUCUCUAAAUAAAUUUAUUAAUAAAAACUAGAUUCAAAUAUCUAUCUAAUAAUACUAAUGAUGUAUCAUAAAUAUUAUUAUUUUUUAAUAUAUAUUUAGUUGUUACUGGAGAAAGCGAAAACAAUAGAUAUUUAUGGACGGAGGCAGUAUAGUUGAGAAUGUUGUGUUAACUGUAAGACUCUAAAGUUGCCUAGAAGUUAUUUGAGAUGUGGAUGCUAAUUUUAGCUUCUCUAACAUAACAAGCUAGUGGUCGACUUCUUUCGGCGCUUUUUUUUAAUACAAUGAUACGGAAAUCGUGUGAUGAUUUUAACAACAAAGCAUAAUAGAGAUUCUACUGUAGCAGUUGACAAUCUAACUAGCUAAGCUCAAUUAAUAAGCAAAGAAAUGCUUAGCCGUUGGGUUUUCAUUCAUGAUUCAUGACCUAACCCGGAUUGAUGUGCUUCAACAGUCGUGCUGAUCAUCGCAGCUAUAAGCCGAAGAUCCAGCGGCCCAGGGCCACGAGCGCCGGCUCCUCGUCGCCCUCAGCGCGGCGCGGCGCCUCCGGCGUGUCCCAGGGCUCGUCGCGCCGGUUGCCCUGGCUCCAGCGCCAGCUCCACCGCCGAGAGAGAGACGACGCCGACUUGACCACCGCCGCGGCCUCCGGAUCCCACCGCGUCGAGUCGUCGUGCCGGCGGUCAAGGCUCAGCCGCCCGCUGACGUGGUCGAGGUACUCGCCCAGCCACCCGCGGGAGCCCACCGCCUCCGCCAGAGCUGCUUCGCCGGGGGCUGCGGUUGCCGGCGCUGGCCUCGGCCUCGCCGCUGCUGCCGUGGGGCGCACGAUGCGGGACACGAUGGCCUCGACCUCCUCUUCGACGCGGUAGUCGAAGGAGCCGCCGAGCGAGUAUGUGCGCCGCUCGUCGCCGCCCGCGGCGGAGGAGCGUCGGUUGCUGACGCUGCCGAGCUCGACACGGAAGCUCCUGCAGCUCGUCCGCGUGCCGAGGGGCUCCUGGUCGACGGGGAAGGGCGUGAGAAGCGGGGGCGAGACGGUGCUGCGGCAGAUCGGGCAGACCGGGUUGGUGCGGAGCCACGCGUCGAUGCAGGCGGCGUGGAACGCGUGGCGGCACGCUGGGAGCAGCCGGAGCUCGGCGCUGGCGUCGAACGGCGAGAGGCAGACGGCGCAGUCCGGGGAGUUCUUCGGCAGCGCCGCCAGCGCCGACGCCAUGGUGAACAAGGGCAGCGACGCGAUGAACCGCUCCGUGUCGUCGUCCGUGCCUGCUGCCUCCGGCUCCGCCUGCUCCCUCGCCGGAUGCACCUCCCCUGCCUCCUCCUCCUCCGCCACGGCGAUCAUCCUCGCUGCCUCCGCCUCCACAAGCCGCCUCCCCGCCGCACCUGCGUCGGCCUGAUCACCCCUCUCCGCCGGGACGCCCGGCCGCCUCGCCGUCGCCCCUCCCGCGCGUCGUGGAUGCGCAUGCGACGACAACGACGACGAUGCGGACCAGCGGCGGAGGAGGCAGCGGAGCAGCAGGAUCGCCGCGACGGCAAGCACCAGCAAGGCAAAGACGACGAGCAGCGCGGACUUGAGCGAAGGCGACGCCGUCGGAACGGUCGCGCGGUCGGCGGCGGCUGGUAGCGGCGCGGGCGGCGACGCCAUUGUGCCGAGAAGGAAUUGGCGGAAGCGAAUGGGAAUAGGAAUGCCGGAAAGGGACUUAAAUUUCAAACGCCGCGGCUUGAGCCCGCCGCACCGGGCCCGUGCCACAUUUGGUUUGGAAAGUAAAAUUUCAGAUUCCAAUCGAAAAUUACCUACUGCUAAUAUAGCACAAAUUUAGUUCAAUUAAUUCUAGUGGUUCUGCUCACCGCCCACAUUCUGCAGGUAACAAGAAAUAGCUCAUCAUUUACCUCUUGCAUAUGCAGAGGGCUGAAAAAUGUCGAGCACUCAGGUGUGAAGGUCUGUUUGGGGAAAAAAAUUUGCAGGAAUUGUUUCCCACCAAAAUGCUCCUUUCAAAUACAGCAAGGAGUGCCUACACUAAACUAAGUUCUAGUCUCAGAUCAUGGAGCAAGGAAUUGGAGUGCCUACAACAUGUGUUUUGUUAAAUGUUUGACUCAUAAGAUAGGAGUGACAUUGGGAAGUAAAGAUCACACCUGCUGAUGCCUGGAAUGCUGUUGAGAGUUGAGACUGCUAGAUGCAGAAUGUGUUCGGGAGUGGUCUGUUUGACCUCACCAUUGCACUCUUUAUUUUAUUAGUGAAAUGGAACACAGCUCUCAAAACUUUGUUUGAGGAAAAAAGUAUAUCUGUUUAUUUGAACCAAAACUUUUUUUUAAAAAAAAAAACUUCAGUCACCACUUACUUACAUUCUGCUUGUUAAACCAUAGAGCAGCGCUACAAGUUGAAACUAUAUCUAUGAUAUCAUUACAGGCACACAUAACAAGUUGUGUGCUUGUAAAUAGUUACUCCAGUUUAUUACAAGAGCCUAGGCAGGCUGCUAUCACUGUAUGUAUCACACAAACCUCAACUAAAGAUUGAUCAGGACCGAUGUCCAAUUUUAUUAUAAGAGCCUAGCCCACACAAACCUCAACUAAAGAUCGAGGGGGGGGGGGGGGGGGGGGGCGUCUUGUUUAGAUUCAUUUUUUUUGAAUUUUGACACUGUAGCACUUUCGUUUUUAUUUAACAAACAUUGUCUAAUCAUGGAGUAACUAGGCUUAAAAGAUUCGUCUCGCGAUUUACAUGCAAACUGUGCAAUUAGUUUUUGUUUUCAUCUAUAUUUAAUGUUCCAUGCAUAUACCAUAAGAAUCCCUCCAUCAGAACGUGGCACUGCAGAACUUGGCAGAUCCUAGGUACAUAAGGUGGGAAAGAGUGUACUUUUUGUGCUAGUCAGCAUUCUCAGUCACAAUAAAUUGAAGGUGUUGCGGAUGCUAAUGUCAUCCACCACCAGAUGCACCGGCCGCCGGAAACUCAUCAUCAAUGUUGACCUGCGUUGAGGGAGGCUACAGCUAGAUUAUUGUCCUCGAAUAGAAAAAAAAUAAACAAGCUGCAAGGAAAAAGAAGAGUACCGGGAUAGAUCGUAUUAGAUAGAUCCCAUCGAGGCUUUGUUUAGUUGCGAAAUUUUUUUAUUUCGCUAUUGUAGCAUUUUCGUUUUUAUUUGACAAACAUUGUCUAAUCAUGGAGUAACUAGGCUUAAAAGAUUCGUCUCGUGAUUUACAGAUAAACUGUGCAAUUAGUUUUUAUUUUCAUCUAUAUUUAAUACUCCAUGUAUGUGUCGUAAGAUUCGAUGUGACGUGAAAUAUCUUAAAAAGUUUUUGGUUUUUGGUGGGAACUAAACAAGGCACGAGUCCCCAAAGCAAAUAGGCCGUGUUUAGUUCCUUAUGAAAAAGGUUUCGCGACACUAUAGUAUUUUCGUUUUUUUUAAUUAAUGUCUAACCAUGGACUAACUAGGCUAUGUCUAUAUUUAAUAUUCCAUGCAUGCGUCAAAGAUUCGAUGUGACGGGAAAUCUUGAAAAAUUUUGGGUUUUUGGUAGGCCUUGUUUACUUCCACCCAAAAUUCAAAAACUUUUCAAAAUUCUCCGUCACAUCGAAUCUUUAGACGCAUACAUGGAGUAUUAAAUGUAAACGAAAAUAAAAACUAAUUGCACAGUUUGGUUGAAAUUUACGAGACGAAUCUUUUGAGCCUAGUUAGUCUAUAAUUGAACAAUAAUUAUUACAAACAAACGAAAGUGCUACAAUGUCACGAAAACAUUUCGGCAAAAAACUAAACAAAGCCUAAACAAGGACAAAGGGGUAAAGGUUCGGAUAGGGAGACGAGGGGUGGGACAGAAUUCGAAUCGAACCUGUGAAGGUGUGGGUUUGCACCAGCCACUCACCUCACACACGAAGCCGCCACGCUGGGCAGGAGGGCACUUCACGUCGCAAGGAGCUGCCGCCGGUGGGCCCCCACUAGAUGUAGGACGAAGCCAGAAAAAAAAUAGGAAGGGCUGAACAAAAAUAAUACAACGACUCAGGGCUUGUUUAGAUGCAAAAACUUUUUUGGAUUUUAACACUGUAGCACUUUUGUUUUUAUUAUUUGACAAACAUUGUCCAAUCAUGGAGUAACCAGGCUUAAAAGAUUCGUCUCGCAAUUUACAGACAAACUGUGUAAUUAGUUUUUAUUUUUAUCUACAUUUAAUACUCCAUGCAUGUGCCGUAAGAUUCUUGUAAAGUUUUGGGUGCAUCUAAACAAGGCCUUAACUCUACUAUGAUCCAUCACAAUAGACAAAUAUGAUAACCAAAAGUAGUUUUAUUAUAUUAAAAAUAUUGGUUAACGACGAAAUUCACAAAAUACAUCAUGAAAAAUAAAGGAUGCAGUUCAUUUAUACGGAAAGGCCAAAUUACGAAACUUAUAGGCGCGCUUGAUGUUGACAUAUAUCAAUCAUCCGAAGUAGCAAUCUAUACAAAUAAAUAUAUUUGAUUAGUCAUACAUAUAUGGACCUCCAAAUUAUGAAUUUAGAAGAGAAUAGAACAUACCACUAAUUUUUUAGGCAAUAACAUACUAGGAAAUUGAAAUUCACGCUCAAAGCAUAUGCUCUCUUUACUUGGUCUCUAAUUUCAGUUUCAUAAUCAUCAAUUGGUUUGCAUUUUCAAGGUCCGCAAUCAUAUGUGAUUGAAACUCUGCUCUAGGUUUCUUUGGUUGAGUUGUACUCUCAUUACUCAUUAGUAUGUGGAGUCGAUGAACCACUACCAUUAGAAUUUGAAAAGUAAUUGUGCAGAGUCACUGACUGAAGUCGACCGCCCUGCUGCUGGCACCCAGGACGGCGCUGUGGGUACGUGAGUCCCUUCUCUUGCUCUGAGGAAUUCCACAGCACCUAAACUCUAAAAAAUAUGAUGAAGUAGUGCUUGUUGAUCUAUCAAAUUAUCUUGACAAUUUUUUAAAUUAAAAAAAACUAUCUUGCCAGUCCUGGCAAAUCACCGAAAAUCAUAAGAUAACUGCCAUCUCAUAUUGGAUGAAUCUGAUUCAUAUACAAUGCUCCUUACAUCUCUGAGGACAUUUCCAGUGAAUUGUUCACCUAUUAAGCACACUACGAUGAAGGCAUCCAGACCGUGUUGCCUCGCGGAAACAGAUGGUCCAGAUCAUCCAGAUGACAGCUUUAUUCCUAAACCCUGAUGAAUGGUGGUUUUAUAUGCAGGCCUGGUGCAGGGAAGAUGAUGCCAAUGCUGUGCAGCUUAUUGUUGGAAAUAACAUUAGGCGUUUGUUUUGGCACCGGAUGACUUGAUUCCUCCAAACGCUCACAAGUCACUCCAGCGACAGCUUAGCCAUUGUCAAGGCUAGAACCUUCACCCCAUUCGCCAUGUCCUCCGGUGAUGCAUACUCCUCCGGCUUGUGGCUGUAACCUGAAAGGGACAGAAGGUUUCAGUAGCCAUUCAUUUGCAAGUAGUUGCUGAGGUAAAAUUGAAAUGUUUUUACUCCUACAUCACUAUAAUUGAAACGUUAUUGCUCCUACAUCACCUAAAGGAACACAAUAUUUCUAGGAUAUAUUUUUUAUUUAACACCUUCAAUUGUGAUAGGCAUGUAUGCUAUUAUUUUGAGAGAUUGAAAAUAAGAUGGAGCACAAACCUUUGUAACAGGGAAUGAAGAUCAUACCCAUUGGUGAUACUCUGCAGAUCAAAGACAUAAUUAGACAUGACAGUUGAUUAAUUGCUAGUACAAUGAUGCAAAUCAGAAAGAUAUGUAACCUAGAUUGCCAAAAAAAAGUUGGCAACUCCUACAUAACAUCUCAACACUAACAAGCUGAAUCUCUUAACAUUAAGCUGGCCUACAUUGGGGAAUCUCAAUUGUUUGCCUGUGAGUACAGUGUUCAUCACAAGUGUGUGUGUGUGUGUGUGUGUUUUGCAUAGAAGUGAACAAGAAUACUUAGAUCAUGAGAAAACUGAACUGCCAAACUAAGAUAUCAUAGUUAUUUGAACCAAUAUUUUCAAAAUUCCCCCUGGUUUGGAUUGCAAGAUCAACAAUCGUGAUCAAAUAUUUUUCAAAACUGAACUCUGCUUCCUCGUUGCUCCCUCCCACCUAUCUUCCACCUCCCAACGCGGGAGUCCACCUCCACCGCACCUCGCCACACAGUUGGCCAUCCCCUGCGCUCUCCUCUGUAUUCUGCAAUGAGGAAUGGAGCCACAGGUGCAAUUUGUUGCAUCCAAUUGCCAUGUUUGCGACUGUACCACCUCCUGAUGGUGCGCCCGCAACAGCCACUUCCCUGUUGCCUUGGCAACCCCUACACCAACUUCCUGGUGAGGCCCAAUAUUUGUACCCCUGCCUGUUGCCAACACUUUAUGGCUUCUACACUUCCAAGGCACAAGACAGUGCAGUGGAUGCCACAAUCAAGCUGAGGUGUGUUUGUAGGUUAUUCACAUUGCCAUCACCAACAAGAGAACGUUCUAGCAUUGCAAUAUGGCUCACUAGCCUCUACUCAGCUCAUCGUCAUGUUUUUGUCAAAUUUCUAUACUUUUUGGACGAAUUUUUUCUGUAAUCCAUUCCGUUGUGACAGGGAUGGGAUGAGAAGGAAUUCAUGAUCUGUUACUUGAAUAAGGUAGUCCCUAGGACAGUUGUAUGAUUGUUCUCAAACAGAAAAAGGAAACAAUUGCAAGAAACAUGGGUUCAAGCUAUCCUGAACUGAUAUAAACUUUUUCCAGUGAGAUAUAAAGUUGAAAUUACAAGACAAAUUCCAGAAGGAAUAACCAGAAUAGUGCGAUAGAUAGUUCAGAGAAGUAUGCCAAGUGUUUACUUUCUGCAUGAGUGUUGGAAUCGUAAUCUAGUAUUCUGAAUCUUUUGUGAUUGUUCAGUUCCAUACCGUCACUUAACUUGUUAUGUAUAAAAGAGCUACUCUAAUUCUAUUUCCUGUGAAGCCACAGCUUUCAACAGUUUGUGACUGGAAUUCUGUUUGAAAUGAUGGUGGCCCUGUCUUGGUUGGACAGUUGAGGGGUCAAUAAAAUCAGAAAAUAGAGCACUGACACAUUCCGAGGUAGUUCAUCUUCUAAAAAUUUAUCUUUCUUUCAUGAUGAAAGAAUCAGUAUUUAUUUUCCCAUUUUGUUAUGUUAACAUGGAGACCUAAAACAUCUAGUACUGUAGUACAUACAGAGAUUUCAACGCAGAAACUGACAGUUAUUUUUGAAAGGAAUAUUUAAUGAUAAUGUUCCAGUUUGAAAUAAAAACAAGAACAAUUCAGCAAUCGGAAACAUCAGAGCUGGGACCAGUAAUUCACCUGGCCAUGAAGAGUGAAUCGUGGUAAGCUCUGCUAAUCAUCUUUUUGUACUCCAGGUUCAACUGUUUUGCAGCAAAUUCCAUUGCAUCAACAACUGAUUUGUCAGAUAGAGCAGGUGGGUCCUGGUUGAUGAUCUUAAAUUCUGAAAGCUCUACUCCACGGUUCUUUGAAAUCUGUGUUGCAGACCGGCGAAUCUUCUCAAUGACAUCAUUCCUUCUCUUCUCAUCAAUAUCUCUUACAUCUGCAUCAAGGAUACCAUGACUUUAUUAGUUGGAAAAUCAUCAUAUUUUCCUGAGAACAAUCAUAUUUUGUUUAAAAGGAUGUAGGCUCAUACCAAUUUCUAGGUGUGAUUUGCUUGGGAUGCUAUUGAUUGCUCCUGGAUGUAACUGCAGAAUACCUGAAGAAGAAUAGUUUAGUCAAAUUAAUCCUGAGGUGACCAUAUCUUGACAGUCUGCUUUCAAAUGUUCAACUUUGCUUUUUUGAAAGAAUCUGUCUUCGUAUGCUGUUAAUAAUUAUCUCCACAAAUAUAUAUUUACAAUUUGAAAUAGGAGUCAAGUUGUCUAAUUGAGUAUCUAGCCUACAAUGGUAUAAAAUAAAACGUUAGAAAUUAUAAAAUCAUGCUUAACAGACUCUUCACUAGCUAAAGAGCAGAAUACCAAAGUUGCAUGUCUAUUGACUUGGCUAAAUAUGAUAUGUUUUCUUUGGCAUGGAGAGAAGAUAUAAUCCAACAAGAUGGCCACAGAUUAAAGUGCAGCAGGAAAACCACACACUUCAUGUGGAAAACAAUGUGCUGAGAUGGUCCAAAUGUAUUACAUGAUAUUAUGAUGUCACAAACAUGAUGGAUUCGAUGUAAAAAGCAAAAUAUGGUUUAUAAAACAUACCAACGGUGCCAACGGUAUCAAUUGAUCCUGAUUCCAGGACAUGUUUCUCGACUGCUAAUGCUAAUUCAGCUGCUGCCAGACCAGCAUCAUUUCUGUAGAAUACUCCUUUUACAAGAAGAUCCUUCACAAGAAUGUAAAUCACAAUAAAAUGAAUGAACAUGCUAACCUUGCAGGCAUAAGCACUGCUCCAGCAUGACCCCCAUUCCCUUCAAAGUCCACCUUAAGACUUGCAGGAGCAGCAAUAGCAGUAACAAUGCCAAUAGGGAUACCUAUUGUAAGAGAAGACUUGUAUACCAUCAAUUUGAAACCGCAAGCAUGUUAAUUUACUGGGAACCUACCUUCCUUUUCUAAGAUGGGACCCUGCUCAAUGUGCAGUUCUAUAAAAGCAGAGUAGCUGUCUUUCUUUAAAAAUACGCUAUGCAAGUCCUCUAGAUGCAAUUUAUAGCCAGCAGAUCCUGCAGCAUCCGAAAAUGACACAUUCUGAUUGUCAACAACAUUUCUGAGGGAUUGAGCUAGUUCUUCAAUCCCUGCCAUUAAGCGGCUGCAUGUUUUCAAAGGAUGAAAAAGAUGAGAAGCAACAAAUUAGAGCAAUGCAGCCAUUAGCUCAAGCGGAACUAAUCUUAUUGCUUAAUGGUCAACCUUCCCAAGCAGCUAAUUCCGAAUCGUGUAGGCUCCUCUGAUGUAAACAUGAUAACCUCCAAAGACCUUUUUGGAAGGAAAGCAGACCUGUAUGACACAUGCAGGCCAAACAGGUAAGGUUUGUCUCAAGAUGAAAACCAAAGUUAAGUCCAAUAUUCAUAUAGCCCAUAUCAUGACCUCAAAAUGUGUGACAACUGACAACAUAGGAAGUGAAUAAUACAGCUUGGUCAACCUCUUUUUUUAUCAAACAGCAAAAGCUUUGCUGGUUCUAUUGAUCAGGCAACAAUGUACUGAGUCUCUACAAGGAUCCAAAGUAAAUCAGUACAUUGUCUAAUAUUUACAUAGCCUGACAUUCCUCAACUCUUUUGUUAAAAUUCAGAGUGAUGUAAUGAUGCCAAUGUUGAAUAGAAAGGUAGUUCACCGGUUUCUGAUUAUGCUUUGAACUAAAUAUUUCAAGUCUAAAGCACAUGUCUAAUGUACAUGAGAAUGAGAUGAAGCACACAACUUUUCUUUUGCCAUUUUCAUUAAGUAUUAAUCAUUUAAUUGUAUGCUUCCCGAUAUUUGGUUGCAUCCCACAACUGGCAGAAGUGGGUCUUCAGUUGUCUACCAGACGGUUACAAGAAAGAACUAGUCAAUAAGCAGUUCUAUAAUUUCAUCAAAUUAACAACCCUAUAAUAGCUGAUUAAGCACAGUUCAUCUGAUUUCAAUUACAUCAGCCCUAGAAACAUGAUUAUAUAUAAGAUGUAUAAUGGUAAACAAACACUCAGGCCAGAAAAAGAGGGGAAAAACAACCACGUUACAUAUGGACAACACUACAACAUUAAAAGAAUGCAAUACAAAGGAUCAUCCUUGGUGCUCCAGGAAUGGUGAAAACACUUAUAGGCAGACAGAACUGUUACCUUUUCAGCAAACUAAUCGCCUCAAGAGCACCCAGAACUCCAACAACACCGUCAAAUUUUCCUGAGAAUGGAAUGGCAUCAACAUGAGAUCCAGUUGCAACUGCCCCUAGUUCAGGCUCAGAACCCUCCCUGCAGAAGGUUGCCAUGUUCAAUGGGCAUGAGAAUUCCACUACAUAGUAAAUUUAACAAAAUCAAGAGACAUUUCAGCGAGAUAUAUAUUAUUAGAGCAGAAUCCUUGUAUGCUUCCUAAAUCCAAGAAAUGAACCAAGAGCAGAGAAUCCGAGGGCUAUCAAAGGCCAACUCACCAGCGGCCAAAUAUGUUACCAACAGCAUCUUCCCGAACGGCAAGGCCAAGUUGAUUCAUUAUCCCUUUUAUAUACCUAGACAUCAUCAGAAGCACAAUCCAACAAUCAGCAAAGGGGGGCAUGGAUGUGUGUUAUAAUUGCAGCUCAACUGUGGCUAUAAAUAUCACAACAGAAAUAAGGAUGUCCACUUUGUCAAAUAAAUCAACUACUAUCUGAACCCAGAAUAAUGCAAACUGAAGUCGGUCGAUCAUUGCUGUGCACAUCAAAGGUCUCUCAAGCGUGACACAUUCAACGGCCUUCAGAGACUAAUGCCGAAUCGUUCUUUCGUUCACUCCCUUGCUCUCACCACAACGGAUAAUCUCAACUGGGUUACCUUCGAGCCUGCACAUCCUUGUCGGUGUACAGAACGCGGGUGACGGACGGCGCGGGCGAGUCGGAGAACGAGGCCAGCUCAUCAAUCUGAGAAAGAAAAAAAAGCACACGCCGUUGGAAACCAACAACACCUCACUUCACAGCCAUAGCCUGCACAUCACGAACGCACCUGCCGCUGGAGGCCCUCGGAGUCGACGUGGAAGUCGCUGGAAGGGCCGCCGUCGCCGUCGCCUGAGGCGGCGGCGAAGCCGGCGAACUGCUCCAUCGUCCGCCGCGCCGCCGCGUCAUCGUGGCCCGCGGCGGCGCUGAUGGUGCCGAGGAGGAACGCGAGGAGGACGAGGCGCCACGCGGCGUUCGGCUUCGACGGCAUGCUUCGUUCUUCGGCUGGCUGCUCUGUUGCUGGGUUCGAUGGGACAGACAGGGGACUAGGGGAGGGGGCUACUCCGUGGGGCUAGGGAGAUUUGAACGGCGGGCGGGGAGGUGGGAGUGGGAGACGACGCGACGGCACUACCACUGAUGCUGUUGGAGUGUUUGGUGGUGUCACCUGACUGCUGCGUGCUGACGAGGAAGACGACACGGCGGCGGUGGCUGCUUCCUCACGAUCACGAGCAAUAUCCUAUUUUAUUUUCCAAAAAGAAAAACAGAUUCACGAGUGGAGCUGCGGCGCGGGCUAGUCCGGAUUCUCUGCGGAUGAUCGCCUGCGUGUGCAACUGCAACCCUGUGCGUGAUGAUAUUAAUCUGGGAAUCCGAUGGAGCAGAGGAUCCUUCGGCCCCUCCAGGAUCCGGUUCCGUGGGACCCGCGUAUCAGUGUGUGGCCCAAUAACGGCCUGUGGAGAGAAACGCUAAGGGCACUCCCAAUGCAAAACUCUAUCAUAGAGUUUAAAACAAUUAAUUACAUAUUAUUUAUGGUAUUUUGCUGAUGUGGCAGCAUAUUUAUUAAAAAAAGAGGUAGAAAAAAUAAGACUCCAAGUCUUAUUUAGACUCCAAGUCCACAUUGUUCGAGGUAAUAAAUAACUUUAGACUCUAUCAUAGAGUUUGCAUUGUGAGUGCCCUAAGGCCUUGUUUAGUUCCCAAAAUUUUUCAAGAUUUUCUGUCACAUCGAAUCUUGCGACACAUGCAUAAAACAUUAAAUAUAGACGAAAACAAAAACUAAUUACACAGUUUGCCUGUAAAUCGUGAGACGAAUUUUUUAAUUCUAGUUAAUCUAUGAUUGGAUAAUAUUUACCACAAACAAACGAAAAUGCUACAGUAGAACCAGGCCUAAGAAGAGCCCAAGUAUUUUCGGCCCAUGGGCCGCACGCACGGCAGGACACGUAAACGCAAGGCCCCGCGGCCAGCUUAAAAUCAAAACCGAGCCGCACGAGCACACACUCGCGUUUCCGGACAAGUCCCGUGCUCUCCCGUCUCAAAACCCUCCCCUCCUCCUCCGGGCGGCGGUGGUGGCGGCGGCCGGGCGUCUUCUCCGGCAAGGUCUCCCCCUACUCACGAGGUUCGCGCUCACUCUUCCUCCUAACCCCUUCGCUUUUCAUCCGUACGCGGUCGCGUGCUCCCGUGGCAGCCCUAGGGUGCGGUGAAGAGCUCAGAGGCGAGCGACUAGGGUUUGAGUUCGCGCGCAGUAUCCUUGUGCUCGUGCGCUUAGUGCGGCCUGCUUGAUGGACGAGUAUGCGUCUGGCCGUUUGGAUCGAUUUGUGAGCGCCCGUUUGGGCGCUCGUGGUCUGAGCUCACUGCUCUGCUGCUGAUUUAGGGUUUACUGUCUGUGCUAGUUGUCGAGGCGUUCGGGUUUGCGCUGUUCCGUGAUUGGGAUAGGUGGAUCUGCGGGGUGAAUGUGUUUUGUGGUGUGCGGGCGACGAGCUCUAUCAAUUUGGGUACUAAAAUUGUGUGGUUGUUAGUUCAGCUGGUUUUGUGUGGUGCCUGUGCUGCCUUAGCCUUUUUCUCCCCCUCUUUCGACUUCUGUAGAGCUCAUAUGUACUAUGCAUCUUUGUAAUUAACUUGAGCUAGGUUGCUUGUUUGUUUCCAGAAAAUAUGGAUGGACCUGUUGAUGACCCUGUGGAGAACAACCUCACCGGAGGUCCUAGUAUCCUUGGCAAUGAGGAAGAAGCCAAUACUUAUGCUGAUGUGCAAGUCAAGGAAGAACCAGAAAAGCUCUAUGACGAGGAAUCCAAGGACCUAAUGCAAGAUGAGUUGGGUAACCAAGAGCAUGCGAACAUGAACAAUGAAGAUGUGGGAGGUCAGAACAAAGAGGACCAAGCUACCCCCACAGACCACGGUGUGGAAGCUGGGGUGAAGCAGCAGGAUGCUACAGUUCCUGAUGACAAGAAGUGGCCUGGAUGGCCUGGAGAGAGUGUUUUCCGUAUACUGGUUCCUACCACAAAGGUUGGUGCCGUCAUUGGGCGCAAAGGGGAUUUCAUCAAGAAAAUGUGUGAGGAAUCAAGAGCUCGCAUCAAGGUUCUUGAGGGACCACCAGCUGUGCCAGAAAGAGUGGUGAGUCUUUCACUCUCUUCUUUAACUGGUUGCAUUGCUAUUACAAAUGAUUUCUUGUUCAGUGUGACCAGUAAUAGCCCUCUCUAGGCAUGUUAGUGUUCAUGUGCGAAGAUGGCUUGUUGCCUACACCGAUAAGUAUGCUAUAAUGUAUUAAUGUUACUUUAAAAUACCUAGAUUAGACAUGUGUAUAGUUUGUAGCAUAUCUUUUAGACAUGUUGAAGAUUGAAUCAGCUAGGAAACGUUUCCAAGCAUAUAAAUUGCUGUUAUAUUUCCCUGACCACUGAUGAUAUGCAUUCUAUCAAUUGAUGCUUUGUGAACAUGGUUAUUUAUCGAUCUGCAAUAGUUUAGUCGUUAGUGUGGUGGGUAUUAUCUGGAAGUUCUUGAGUUGACUUUAACAAUGUAAACUGUUAUUUAGUCGUGAAAGCCUUGUUGAAUAUGGAAAACUUGCUGCAAGUUGUAGAAAUGAACAGGAACUAGUAAUUGAAAUUUUGUACUGUACAAUGUAAUUUGACAUACAUCUGCAGCUGCAGAUUAUUGCCUCCUUUCUGAAAUGCUCUUCUAAACAUUUUCUUAGAUGUUCAAGCUGUUUAGCUUAGCGAUCAGGUGCAUAUAGUGCUCCUGAUAAUUGGACUCGUCAUAUUAACUCCAGUGCAAUUUUAUAUUAAGAUGAGAUUUGAUCAUCCAAGUUACUACACAGAAAGUUGUAUACUAGUAACAAUGAGUAGCUGCCUAUAGAGAAUGGCUAUGUCUAUGUGCUUGGAAAAAAAUAGUUUAUAAAAAAACUGAACAUAGAUUUAAAGAUAAUAAGUGAAAUCCGUUUUAAAGUUUGCAGUGGAAAUAAUUAUGCAUGAUUUUGGAUCUUUUACAAUGAUCACAAAACUAUUGGAUGCAACCAAAUGAAAGGAAAUAGAAUCUCUCUUCUGUAAGAAGUAUGACUAUCAAUGACAAUCAGACAGAAAUAGUAGCUUUGCCAAAUUAUACAUCAUUUUAAAGAUAUAUAUUGUGUACGCUAGUGAGUUGUCAAUAAUGUUCGAUGUCUACAUGGAUCAAAUAGUAACUUUGACAAAUUAUACAUCAUUCUAAAGAUAUAUAUAUUGUGUACGCUAGUGAAUUAUCAAUAAUGUUCGAAGAUAUAUAUUGUGUACACUAGUGAAUUAUCAAUAAUGUUCGAUGUCUACAUGGAUCAAACAGUUAUGAUUGCAUACAUGCAUGACCUUCAUUCUAAAAUAAGAUUGGGUCAGUUAUCAAAUGGUACACUGAUUUUGACCAACUCAGUAGUUAUUUAUGUGAAUGCGGACUAAAAUAAAAUACUAUGACAUGGUUCUUUGGUUAACUGUGUAUUAUGAGGCCUGUUAACACAUAUUCUUGCUGCUAACCCUAAAAGUUAGUCCACAAAUAAAGGCACUCAAACUAACAAGGAACAGAUUAUCAGCAAAAUGGCUUCAAGCACAGAACAUAAUAGUUUUUUCAAAAAUAACAAAGUAAUCUUUGCAGGUUCUUACUGCUGUCUAAGGCCUCAAGUUGAGUCGUUUGUGUAUCCAAAUUCCAAAAUAGACGUACACUCAUGGUUACCAAAGUACAGUCUUGUGCUCCUCUGCUGCACAUGUGAUUUAAGUCUUUUGAAUAUUGGAUGAAGAUCCCUGUGAAGAAGCUGCAUAUAUUGUCGGGUAAUUCCAUGACCUGUUUGCUCUGACCAAAAAGGCAUCAGUUAAUUAAUAAUGGAAGACUAAAAUAUUGCACAGAACCUUGAUUUUAAGUCCUAAUCAUUUCCUAAUUAAUGCUCUAAUGCUUCUAUAAAGAAAUGAGAACUGCAAACAAAGAAUAUGAAUAUAUUUCUCAACUUGAUGCUUCCUUAUGGGGGAGUUGGUUUUGCUGAACCAAUAUUGUAACACAACAUUAUCAAUUGUUAAUGUCAUCAAACAAUACGCUGUACUGACUAAAUAGAUCUAUUGUUUUUGCUUUUGGAGAUUAAUAAUCGCAUAUAUGAUAAAAUGAACAUUCAAUUUGAGAGUAGAUCGCCUGUAUGGCUGUAUCCGAAAUUCCAUUAUACAUCCCAUAGAAGUAACAUUCUUGAUACAUGUACAAUAGUUAAGGAAAACUAUUGAUGCAGUUAAGGACAUGUCUGUUGCUUUAAUCAGGGGGCAUUGCAUCAGUUAUCUUGGUGAGUAACUGCAUGCAAAUAUGUAUGUUUGUCUGAGAAAUUGUAGUUGAAUCCCACCUACCGCAGGAUGGAAAUACUGUGCUUGUACCAUUAUUUCCUUUCAUAAGUCUUUGUGCAUGUUGCUAUAAACUAAUCUUUGUCUGCCUAACAUACUUUUGUUCCUACUUGCUGAUAUCUUUUGAUACUGCUUUGCUGUUUGAAGGUAAUGAUUUCAGCAAAGGAUGAACUAGACACAGUGCUACCUCCAGCUGUUGAUGGGCUGCUUAGAGUUCAUAAAAGGAUAACAGAUGGUUUAGAUGGUGAAACUGAUCAGCCUCAACGAGCUACUGUCACCGCUGGGCCCACAAGGCUACUGGUCCCAGCUUCCCAAGCUGGCAGCCUGAUUGGGAAGCAAGGAGCAACUAUUAAAUCAAUACAGGAUGCUUCAAAGUGUGUUCUCCGGAUUGUUGGUAAGGUUUACAUUUUUCCCUGCAUUGACUUUGUUACGGCAAGGCUUUAUGAUCUCAUGUCCUGGCAGUCCUGCUGAUAAUGCGGAUUUCUGUAUUUGCAAUUCCUUUUGAUAACCAAGGAUCAAUCCGUAGAUGGCAAAUGUGUGUAGGUUAUUUGGUCUAGGAGCAUUGUCUGCUUUUUUUCGCACAUAUUGAUUUGUGCACUUAGUUACGAGAUAUUUUUGUUUUGGUGAUCUUUGAUAAGCGGACUUGACAAGAUUGACCAAUUUAGUUCUGUUACAUUUCUGCAUGCAUGUCUCUGACAGAAGUCAUCCUUAGAAUUCCACUCUUCUGAAAUGAUAGAUGUUAUGUGGAGUAUGAUUUAAUUAACCACAUCCAAAUGGCAUUUGCCGCUCCCCUUUGCUUUAUAGGUUAUCUAAUCUUUUCUUUAUAUUUUUAGUAUUAUUUCUGGAUCAUGUUUGAUCAUUUGUACUUUCUACCCUUAUUUCUGCAAGUAAUUUCACUGGAAGCCCCACAUUGCAUAUUGUAUAUAUUUGCAUGGUACAUCAGCCAUUUCACUAAUGUACUAUUUUUCCAAAUCACAGAGAAUGUUCCACCUGUUGCAUUGAAUGAUGACAGAGUUGUAGAGAUACAGGGUGAACCUCUUGAUGCUCACAAAGCCGUGGAGCUGAUUGCAAGUCAUUUAAGAAAAUUUCUUGUUGACCGUAGUGUCCUCCCUUUGUUUGAAACACAGGCAAGUUGUAUUCUACUAUGCAAUAUAUUGGUUACUUACAUGAAGUAUUUGGUAAUCAUAUAAAACAUAAAUUUCCUUGACAGAUGAAAGUGCACAGUGUGCACAGAGAGCAACCUAUGCCUCCUCCACAGGCAUGGGGUCCCCCUCCACCCUCACCCUGGGGUCAUCCACCACCAAACCUUCCUCCUCCUGGUGGCCCAGGUUAUGGUGGGAACCCACAGUACAUGCCUCCACCUCCACGGCCACAAGAGAGCUAUUAUCCUCCGCCUGAUGUGCCCCCUGUAGAAAAGCAACCACACUAUGGAAUUUCUUCAUAUGGACGCGAUGCACCUCCGAGUGUUCCCCCAGGGAAUCAAAACCAAGCACAUGGGUCUUCUCAGGUUAGUUUCUACACAUUUGACUGUUAUUAAUAUGAUGAAUUAUUUGCAUGCCUAUCUCAUGUUCAUUUGUACUUAACUUAUUUUUUUUGUGAUUUUAUAUGACAGGUGACACACAGCAUGCAAGUUCCUCUUUCCUAUGCUGAUGCUGUGAUAGGAUCAGCCGGUGCCAGUAUCAGCUACAUCCGCAGGCAUAGUGGAGCAACUAUAAGUAUUCAAGAAGGUGCUCCUGGGGAGAUGACAGUGGAGAUAACAGGAAGUGCUUCACAAGUACAGACUGCUCAACAGCUAAUCAAGGUACUUUUCCUUCUUAUUAAACUGCAUCAGCAAUUUGGUUAACACAUAUGAUAUUGCUAUAAUCCAUUUCCGACUUUCUCAUAUCGUUGCACUUCACUAAAUCAAUGCCACCUCUCCAACCAAAGUAUACUCUGCCUCUAGCUGGAUGCUUCCUGGAUUGGUACAAUGCUUGUGGUAAUACACAACUAUCGCAUGAAUUGGACUAUAUGUACCAUAUGUUACAUAUAGUUGAUUGUGAAAAGACCUGGCAUCAUAUCUUGUUACUUAACCAGCAUAGAUGCAUCUUGUCAUUUUCCAAGGUCAAUAAUCUUCACAUGUCACUGGCUUAAUCUGCCAUCACGUCACUGGCUGCUAGUUACCAUGCUGUGCCCCUAUACUGGGAGUACUUAGCAUAGAUGACCUUUUCAUUUGGUUGGCAUGUUCUCUGUCCAUCGCACUCUUAUGUUUUCCAUUAUAUAACUAAUGAACAGUGAUAAUAUCCUCUUCCAGAACUUCAUGGCUGAAGCUUCCCCCCAGGGACCACCGGCUCCAGCUCCACCCGCUCAACCAGUGGACACAGGUUACAGCUCGUAUCCACCUUACGGUGGAGCAUCAUAUGGAUCUCCUCCUGGCGCCCCAGCUCCAGCUCCUCACAACGGCGGAAGCUAUGGCGCGUACCCACCGAGCUAUGGAUACUAAUCCGGAGCAGGAGCUGGAUUCAGACUUAGGGAAGGAGGGUUAUGUUAUGGGUUCGCUUGUCUGUUCAUCUUUUGAGAACUCAACCUCGUUAGGACUUCUGAACUUACUUUUGGUGUUGUAAGCUGCUUUCUUAUGCCACAUGCCAGUGCCGAUUCUUCUCUUGAUACUCUCUCUGCUCUAUGGUUGCUGAGUUUAUCUUUAACCCUGUAUUUUUAAUAUUCAAGAGAAAAACAAAAAAAAAUAUUAAGAACUCCAAUGUUAACUUUUCCCUACCUGUACGAGGAUUGAAAAAAUUUGCUAGCUUUGCUAGUGGUGUUGGCAUGUUGGCAUGUUGCCUGCCACUUGUCAGUCUGCCCUUUUAUGAGCGCAUCAAUAUGCGAGAACGUGUGAUGAGAUCAAUGCUAUUCGAGAACGUGUAAUGAGGAUUUAGUUCAAAAAAAUGUCAAACUAUUUUGGAAUGAUUGAAUAUAAAAUACCAAAAAAUUUAGUCAUAUUUAGUUUUAUUUAAAAUGCAGAAUUUAUUGCCAAAAUGAAGUCAAAAAUCAAAAUGAAGAAUAACUAUCUUUUUAUUAAAAAAUUUGCAUAGUGUUUAAUUUUAUUUUAUAAAAUAAUAAAUUAAAACCCAAAAGUUUUUGGAACACGAGGGGAACAACACCCCCGAAAUGACGGGCCUCCACAGUUGGCUGGGCUGUGGCCACACCCAGUCAGCUGCGGCCUGUAGGCAGCCAUUUUAAUGGUGACUUUUUGUUAGAGAAGCACAAAAACAUGUUCCCUACUUAGGUCUUGUCAAAAAUUAAAAACUUUUUAAGAAUCCUCGUCAUAUCAAAUCUUGCGGCACAUGCAUAAAACAUUAAAUAUAAAUGAAAAUAAAAACUAAUUGCACAGUUUAUUUAUAAAUUAUGAGAUAAAUCUUUUGAACCAAGUUAGUACAAUAGUUGUCAAAUAAAAACAAAAAUACUACAAUACCUGAAAAAAAAAUAGAAACUAAACAAGGCCUUAUUUUGACCACUUGGAAUAAUCAGUAGAGUAAUUUUUUUAAGAAACACUUGGAAAAGCUCUAGAAGUUAAGAUUCAAUACCCUGUUGCCAACCAUUUCAUCAUCUAGUCCGGAGAAAUUCGAGCUCUAGAGUGUUUAUUUAUUUUUCACUAACUCUUCUUAAAAAUCGAACUCCAAAUGGAUGAAACAUUUUUUAUCUCUGAUGUGCCUAUAAAUCUGUCAUGGAAUUCACGUGCUCUGUUUGGAGAUUAUUAUCAGGUGCUACAGUACAUCAAAGCGCUAUCAACGCGUCGAAGUGCAGGGCAGCUAUCAACGCGUGGACGGAUUUGAGUCAUUUUUCAUCUGGAUUUUUUCUACAAGUUUGCACGCAACGCUUGACUUGUGCGAAACUGCUACCGACCCCAAUUGACUUACCUUUUCAGUGGACUGUGGGCCCCAAGCUCAUACUUUGGCGGCACGUUAUUGGAAAACUUUAGUUUUGUUUAGUUUCCAAAAAGUUUUUUUAAAAAAAUAGAUUCUCUGUCACAUUAAAUCUUAUGGCACAUGCAUGAAAUAUUAAAUAUAGAUAAAAAUAAAACUAAUUACACAGUUUAUCUGUAAUUUAUGAGACGAAUCUUUUAAACCUAGUUAGUCCAUAAUUAGAUAAUAUUUGUCAAAUAUAAACGAAAAUACUACAAUGCCUGAAAUUCUAAAAUUUUGCCAACUGAACAAGGCCAAAGGGCUGCUAAGGACAACAAUUGUUUUUGUGAUAACAGUUUGUCUUCGCUAGCUGCUUCACCACUCACGCCUUGUUUCCUUCGUCCCAAAAUUCAAAAACUUUUUAAUAUUUCUUGUCAUAUCAAAUCUUAUGACACAAGCAUGGAGCACUAAAUAUAGAUAAAAACAAAAACUAAUUGCACAGUUUGUCUGUAAUUUAAGAGACGAAUCUUUUGAGCGUAAUUAGUCUAUAGUUGGACAAUAAUUGUCAACUACAAACAAAAGUGCUACAGUGUCAAAAUCCAAAAACUUUUCACAACUAAACAAGGCCUCAGUCCUAUAAUUAUAUAAAAGAAUAAAAGAUUCUCAUAUUUCUAAGAAAAAAAUUAUACACAAGUAAAAUAAACGCAUGGACCCUAUACUUUUUUUUUAUCGUGGUUGGAUAUAAUCAAGAACAACGAGGUACUUUAUUAUAUAUUUACAUGACAUAGAUUGAAUUUAUCAGCCGAAUCUGUCAGUCAUCCAGUAAUAUUUUUUUUUUCAUAAAAAAUCAGCCAUCAGUACUACCAUGAUUUAUCACCUAAACGAAUAGGACGGCUGAACUACUAUACAAAUUUCAUCUGGGUCGACGGACCCUGACACGCGUUGGCUCCAAUCAGCUGUGAUGGCUGCAGCUGUGUUGCAACUGGAACUACUAUACACCGCUUGGAGUUGGCGAGCAGCUACUGUUGCAUUGUGGUCGACAGUGGCAGUCGUUGCAUUUUAGGAGACGUAUUUUUUUUAUUUUUAGCUCAAAUUUGAAACAUAUUUCAAAUUUGAUCUGUUUAUGAAAAUAUUUUCAAAACACGGCCAUUUGGACCCGCCACCAUGUAUGGCAGGGUAAAUGCACAGAACCCCGCCAUGCAUGGCGGCGGGAUACUACUGCUGACGUGGCAUGGUUCAGAGGACACCUGCUGACGUGGCUAACACGUGGCGGGGUACCUGGCAAGGAGUACACCGCCACGCAUCAUGGCGGGAUGCAACCCCGCCGCGCAUCAUGGCGGGGUGCUCCCUGUCUGACAAAACAGCCCACCUCCUGCUUUCUUUGCGUUCCCUGGUGGCACUUUCGUUAAUUUGUGGUAAUUAUUGUCUGUAAAUUGCACUAAUUAUACAGUUUACCUGUAAAUCACCAGACGAAUAUUUUAAGCCUAGUUACUUUAUAAUUAGAAAAUUUUUAUUAAAUAAAAACGAAAUUGCUACAGUAUUAAAAUCUAAAAAGUUUUUGGAUCUAAACAUACCAUAGUGUGUAUGUGUGGAGAGAGAGGCUACGCUUGCAUGGGCAACAUCAGUAGUCUAGGGUGUUGGGCCUUGUUAAGUUCCAAAAAAUUUUGUAAAAUUUUUCAGAUUCUCCGUCACAUAAAAUCUUUAGAUGUAUAUUUCUAACUUCAAAUAAAUUUAUUCAAAAAUUAGAUUUAAAUAUCUAUCUAAUUAUACUAAUUUUAUAUUAUAAAUAUUUAAUCAAAAAAAUUUUAUAAGAAGCGAAAACGACAAAUAUUUAGGAAUAAAAAGGUAGCAGUACAACUAGACUACAGUGUGCUGCUCCAGGGCACAGCAGCGCAAGUGUGUUGUACUGUGCUAUCUCUUUAUUGUUAAAUAUUUGUCAUUUUCGCUUCUUAUAAAAUUUUUUUGAUUAAAUAUUUAUUAAAAAUAUUAAUAUUUAUAAUAUAAAAUUAGUAUCAUUAGAUAGAUAUUUAAAUCUAUUUUUUGAAUAAAUUUAUUUGAAGUUAAAAAUAUACGUCUAAAGAUUUUAUGUGACGGAGAAUCUGAAAAAUUUUGUAAAAUUUUUUAGGAACUAAACAAGGCCGAACACCCUAGACUACUGAUUGUUGCCCAUGGAGCGCAGCGUGCACACUAUGGCCUAGCCUUGUUUAGAUCAAAAACUUUUAAAAUUUUAACACUGUAGCAAUUUUGUUUUUAUUUAAUAAAAAUUAUCAACUAAGCUUAAAAGAUUCGUCUCGUAAUUUACAGGUAAACUGUAUAAUUAGUGCAAUUUACAGACAAUAAUUACCACAAAUUAACGAAAGUGCCACCAGGGAACACCGAGAAAGUAGGGGGUGGCCUGUUUUGUCAGGCUGGGAGCACCCGCGGCGGGGUUGCAUCCCGCCAUGAUGCGUGGCGGUAUAGAUGGCCAUGCAGCCCGUGGCCCGUUGGCCCGGCCCACGGCCCACGGCCCGGCAUUUUGGCCCGGCCCGAGCACGGCAUGGCCCAACAACUACCGGGUCGUGCCUGGGCCGUCACCGUGGCCCGUGGCACGGCUCAGGCAUGGCCCGACGGCCCGAUGUUUAAUGUCCCAGUAAAAAAUAUAGCUUUUUAAUUAAAAAAAGAAAAUGUAGGUCUGUUGGUCCAUCCAUCCAUCCUAAUUGGCCUGUUAAGAAAUGUAGCUUGCUAAUUCUAAACAAAAAAAGAAAAUAUAGGCCUGCUACUGGCCUGACACGACCUUGGCCCGGUGGCCCGCCGUGCCUUCGGGCCGGGCCGUGCCUGGGGCCAUACCCCCGGCACGAGGCACGGUGAUGGCACGGCCCGGCCGGCACGACGGCACGGCGCGGCCCGGGGCAGGCACGGCACGGCCCGAUGGCCAUCUAUAGUGGCGGGGUACUCUUUGCCACGUGUUAGCCACGUCAACAGGUGUCCCCUAAACCAUGCCAUGUCAGCAGUGGUACCCCGUCGCCAUGCAUGGCGGGGUUCUGUGCAUUUGCCCCGCCAUGCAUGGUGGCGGGUCCAAAUGGCCAAAAUAUUUUCAUAAGCGGGUCAAAUUUGAAAUAUGUUUCAAAUUUAGGCUAAAAAUAAAAAAAAACUCUAAAAUUUGCACCACUUGAUUUGUAUUCAAAGAGCCUCCGAGAUGAUACUGAUUUCUUUAAAAUAACAACAUAUUAUAAGAGAAAUUAAGAGUCAAAAUAGAUUUUGCUUGAAUUUUACCUAAUCGAAUACGCUUACCAUUUGGGGACAAAGAGAGCCAAAAACUCACUCAAAUCCGUCGUCCAUGAGUAGAUCAAUACAAACUAGAGUUGGUCCUUGGUACUUGCUUAAUUGUUUAUAUCAGUUGUCUGUUCAAAUGUCACAGCUAGCAAAAUAGGCCAACCGUUAAUCAUUAUGCUCCCUGAAAAAAAUUAUGUGAUGAAAGUACAGACACACAUAGGUGUAAAAGAAGACUUUUUAUGCUAAAUAUAUCAAAUGUUUGGUCAGACAUAAGCAGCUGUCGAUGUAUCCAACGCUCCAACCUGUGCAUGCUGCUAGGAUGUUCCAAUCGAUUUUGUUUCCGUUUUAGCUUAUUAGUGUCUUAAUCAUUAUUGACAGCCGACAGAUGGCAAGUUAGCCUGUUCUGUCGCUCAAUAAUGAGAGCCUUGACAAAGAAAUCAAGGCAUUUUUUUUUAAAAAAAAAGAAGUAGAAGCAGCUGCAUUUUGUAAGAUAUAAAAGUUUUUUACUCGAAAAAAAGAAAAGUUUACUUUUUUGAAAAAAUUAUAAUAUAAUAUAAUAAUAAGGAAAAAUAAAGUAGCUUCCCAUUAUGUCAUGUCCUUGCUUGGACGUCAGACAGUAGUGUACAAUGCUGGGCCAUUGCUUGAAGCUAAAUUAAAUCCCAUCCUUGACCUCCAGACAGUAGUGUACGAUGUCUGUCACUUUAAUUGCAGUUCAUGAAGCAGAUCUUGCACCAAGAUCACCCACCUUAAUUUCCCUGUACGAAAUUGUUAGAUCUCCCUAGAUUAGGGGGUGCUCGAUCUGUAUGGAUAAGACAAGAACUUCAAGUGUGGUUGACCAAGCAAUAAAUCGUCGGUUGGUGACGCAUUUUUGUCCAGUGAGCUGCUCCACUCCAAUAAUGCUAGCUUGUGCGUGAUUAUUAUGUCCGGAUCACUCCUUUGUAAGCGUCAGCUAACGUGUUCAAUUGUCAACCUCUUGUUAGUAGCAUUCAAAGCUAAGAACACACAUGACACUGGAAAUGCUAAUAAACUAUUUCCUGCCUACUUUUGUUCUCUUGGGCCCUCCUGAAUUUUCUUGACAAAAAUAUUACCAUGAUGACAAACCUAAAAAUAAAAUAAAAAAACGAUAAGUACAAAGUUUUAGUUAGAGCAUUCAUUCAUCUUCUAGAUGACCUCUCAAGAUUGCAGAGUGGCACAGAUGGAUGGGGAAAUCAUUAACACGUAAUGCUUUACACAAGAGCAAUAGUACUGGGGGUGGCAAAUCACACCAACAACAGCUUUGCACCUUUCCUUCUGGAAUGCUUACACCUGGAAAAUCCAAAUGGUCCUAGCUUGCAGCGGUCAGUACGGACCUCCUCCCUCUCUCCUUUUUUUUUUUGUCAACAAAAAGAGGUUUCAGAAAAGCAAAAAAGCAGCAUACACAGGCAAGUCAUGGCAAGCGAACUUGUGCACGCUAAAAGCCAACCCUGCCAUCCUAAUCCACCCUUUACAACAAUGCGCGGUUGUUCACUUCCUUUUGUCAAUCUUUGCUUUCAACCCUUCAGACUCUCAGCGACAAAGCUCACCGGUCGCUAUCAGACGCCGCAUUUUCCUUCCUGCACCAUCUUUCAAUCAUACUACAUGCCACAGCUCACAAGAAAGAUGAACAACUUGGCAGCAGUCCCCACAAUAGCAUCUGUAACAGCGUGUAGCUCAAGAAGAGGGGCCAAGCAGCUCAUCAAAUUCUCAAAUGGAUCCAUGUUCAUCGCUGCUGCAUUCGAAAUUCAAAGGCCUCGGAUCCUAACAUGACCAGCUAGGUCAUCCUUCAGCAAAGGCAUGGCCCAGGCGCUUCCUGAAUGGAGCGACAGUUUACUGAUCCUCUAGGUCUGGGCAGCCUGUGCUGGCAACUGGUUAUGGUUGUGCUCGCCUUCGUAUGUCACGAUUAGCAUCGCUGGGUCAUCUACGCAUCGCUCAACAUGCUUCCUUGCCGGGCAGCCCCUGACGCUGCUGCAUUUGUAGUAACCCCUGCAUUGGAUUGAAGUCAAAGAGAAUAUGAGAAUAUGUGAAAUUGGGGGGAACAAUCAGCCCCAUGUGCUUGCCUUCAUGGUAUAGCUACAUUUUCCUAUCAUCUCGGGCAGACAUUAAAGGUUGAUAUGGGGUAGGGGAAUGAGCGCAAUCAAGAUUAGGAUGUAGAUAGCCUAACAUGGCAUUCAAAUUCAUGUAGCAAUAAUAAUUUACCUACUUUAGGUCCCCCAUGAUAGAUCAUUGCUUUCUCAGUAAAUGGGCACAAAAAGAGUUGAACCCUGAGAUUAUCCACUAACUAAAUAUUUAAUUGCGCUAGCUACUAUGUUAUCGACAUGCCUUAGUUGCAGAAGCACUUGGGAGGAAGGAAAAGGUAAAGUGGAGAGGAGGAUCAACCAACAAUUAUUCUACAGAUAAAGGGGCACCCUGAGAGCCUGAUGCAGAUAUGCCACCUCUCAUGGUGCAACAAGGGGAAUAAUGCAUCAAUCAUUAUGACUGAAAAGGAUUUGAUACACAUUUUCAUGUUAGUUGAAUAUUUCUUGUUCAGUUCAUAUUAUACCUCGGGUGGGGGGAACCCUUAAUUGGCUUUUGCCCGUACUUGCGCCACGAGUACUCAUCAGGAGGUAUAUCAGCGAUUUUGUUGCUAAUGGCUGGCACUUUAAUUGAUCUCUUAAUCCGCAGUUUCCUGUCAAACAGAGCAAGCACGAUUCAAGGGAGUUAAUAUUGCACCCAACAAGACAUAACAACAAGCAUAAGAAUGGCCCUGAGAACACUAACUUACCUUCUCUUUGAGCAAUGGCACCUGCCGGUAGUGGCACACUUGCCUCUUCCAUCCUCCCCUCUACCCGUGCACCGCCGUUUGGGUGCGCGGUGGGCAUCAGCUGGGUCGCUCGCCACCGGGGUGCCAACCAAAUGGAAUGGCCGCUUCCCAUCCAAGCUAGCCAUGCUCCCAUCCAUGCUCAAGGACGACAUGAAUGAUCUCGCAGACGACAUCGUGCCAGCAGCGCCGCCACUGGGGCUGGGGCUCUCGAACUUGAGGCUGAUCCCACUGUUGCUCCUCUUGAACAUCUCGGCCUGCAGCUUCUGCCGCGACGGGGGCUGCUGGUGGAACGGGUACCUAUGCGCAACAUUCCCAAUCUGGAACUGCACAGAAAGCGGCUGGACCAGCUUGGGGGCUCCGAACGGAUGAGGGCCGCCACUCUUGCUGCUGGAGCAGGCCAAAUCCAGCCCUCGUGAGUCUGGCACACCGUUAAGCCGAGCUCGCAUUUGUGCGUAGCUAGUCGAUGGAGACGGAGCCGCCACCGCAGCAGCAGCAGCAGCGGUGCUGGGCAUCAUCUCCAGCGGGCUGCCGCCGCCACCACUGCCGCUCCCCAAGGGACUCUUCUGGUUCACGAGACCCAUAGGCCGGACUCGUCUGGAGAACCUGCCUCUAGCAUGGCCGCAGCCGCCGCCACCGCCACUGCCACUGCCGAGGAGGGCGGCUACUUUCCUGAACUUGGCGCAGGCUUCGGCCGUCUCUGAAGCUAUGCUCUUGAGCAGGGCCGGGUCCUGCUGCUGCGAGAGCAAGGCCAGCACCCGGUGGCAGCUCUCCACCGCGGCCCUGUUGGCCACCUCCACCUCCUCCAUGGCUGGCUGGACUGGAAGCCGACCGACCUGGAAUGGAGAAGCUAGCAGCGGCGGCCGCCGAGUGGACAAAGAAAGGAUUGUUCUUUCGUCCAGCCACGAACUCCUCUUCUUCCACCUCGGACGUACCUCAGGCUCCUGCCAGCGCUCACGGGCAGCAGCGUCUGCACAUCGGAACCAGAGAGCCCGCACGGAUUAAGCAGAUCUCCGGGGAAUCUCAAAAGGGCUCGGAAGCAAACUGCACAGGAACGAAAGAAACGGCCCAUCAGGAUUCAGGAAGGGUGGAUUAUUCCAAUCCUCGGCUCAUGGAAAGAGCACGGUACCGGAUUGCGCACCUGGACUGGAGGAGGAGGAGGAGGCAACACGCCGCGCGCAGCACGAGGCUCCGGCACACGGACAGGCGGCGGCGGGCCAAGAACGCACCGAACGAAUCCGCCCGCUCCAGAACCACAGGCACGGCGCGGGGGAGAACGGCCGGCGGCGGCGGCGCGGUCCGGCAGGGCCGGCGUGGAGGGGAUCGAGGAGGGAGGAUGGAUGAGAGCAGGAGCAGGAGCAGGAGCAGGAAGAGAGAGGAAUGGGGGGAAGCGCGCGGCGGAGGUAUAUGAGGGGCUAAUUUGCCGGAUCCGGAGGGGUGUUUUCGGGAAAGCGUCGCUUUCGGUUGGGACUCGGAGUCAACAAUGUCAAAGACAGCGGUCAGUGGGGACAUGGUCAUGCAUGGGUAGUACAAAGCUUGAAAAAGAAUACUACUAAAGAAAAAUCAUGCCUACGGUCUCGUAUGCAUUAAUUAAUUAUUAAUACAUGUGACUUUUAUUUUAAUUAUGGAGUAAUAAUAUAUUUGUAUUUUCAGAUCAGAUUAGAAAAAGAGAGAGGUAGCAAGAGGAACACCGCUGCGACCUUGAGAGGCACGGAACUGAAAUUGUUCGUCCUUGGAAUUACAGGGUGUUUUUUUUUUUUUUUGGUUGCCAGCUGAGGAGUCUACAGUCUAGUCAAGCCGGAGGCGCAGGUAGCCCACACAGGCUUGAAUUUAAAACGAGGCCGGCCCCGUCCGGCCCAGUAGUCCUCCACGGCGGCCAGUGGGACCGCUCUUCGCGGGGUCAGUGAAGGGCCCACCACCCCUGCGAGGAAAAGCUAAAAAAUAUAACCUCUCUUUGGGCUCGGCUUUUCAAAAAAAAUUUACAAAAUUUUUCAGAUUCCAUGUCAUAUCGAAUCUUGCGGAACAUGCACAGAACUUAAAUAUAGAUAAAAGAAAUAACUAAUUACACAAUUUACCUGUAAUUUGCGAGACGAAUCUUUUGAGGCUACUUAGUUCAUGAUUGGAUAAUAUUUGUCAAAUACAAACGAAAAUACUACCGUGUCCAUUUUACAAAAUUUUUACAACUAAACAAGGCUAAUUUUAAAAAGUGUUUGAAUUCUUCUUUGAGCGGCUUUGGCUGAUGUAGUGUCAUAUCAGCCGUACUAUAAGGUACUACGUUAACCACGAAGGAGGUAGAUUGAACUUCAUCAGUGGACUUUAUAAAAAAAAUAGAUAUAGAACAAGUUUUUUAUGAGGCAUCCAAAAAAUUUUCUAAUAGUUCUGAAAUUAGAAGUCCUAAAUUCUUAGAAAUGUCAUUGAAAAAGUGUUUUCCUAAAGAAAUGAUAAUUUUAUUUAUUUAUUUCUAAGAUCAUGCUUUUAUAUUGUAGUGCCUUGAUGAGAUUUUUUUGAAUGUUAUACGGUCCUCUUUAGAUGUUUAUUUGUUAAUAUAUACUUGUAUUUAUCUAUUACGGCUUAGACCACGUAGAAGUUCAACAGAUUUCUAUUGACAAUAUAUGUAUGCAUAACCACUUCAUACACAAUCCUAUUUAUUACUCACUUCGCCCUGAAGUAUCGAAAAUAUGAAUAGAUGUGUUAGUUUUUUUUAAGGCAAUACAUGUGUUAGUUAUACACACAUAAGCCUAGACAGAAAACUUGAAGCUCGUUACCACGUUCAGCUUGUAGCUGGUUUGGCUCAGCUAUACUCGUUAUCAUAAUGAGCUGAUUUUAGCUUAUUAGCUAUAACGAGCCAACUCGAGCCAGCUCACGAGCCAAACGAGCUACAAUUUUAGAGAAAAAGUCAUCAUAACUUAUAUUAGUUUUGUAUUAUUUCAUGUCUUACACCUUACAAAUAAUUGAAAUGUUAGAGCAUCUCCAACCAUUAUGCAUUUGAAGUUAUGUAUUUUAGGCAAAUUGCAAACCCCCAAAUGAAAAUGGCAAGGCUAAAAUCGGGUGAUCUCCAACCGUUAUGCAAAAUGCUAAGUCCAUCAUCUUUUUUUUCUCGGAAAUUUUGUUUCGCGGCACUCCUUCCCGCGCGGCCAAUCGAUCCCGCGCCGAACAGCCCGCCGUCGUCUCCCGUUCACCAUUGAUGAAGAAGGCGUACCUAGCCGGCGUUGAUGAGGAAGGCGUCGUAGAUUCGUCCUAUCGCGCGCUGCGUCGUCCUAUUGUGCGCUGCUUCGUCCAAACGCGCGCGCGAAGCUGGCGAAGGAGGAUGCGCGAUGCUUCUCUUAUCGCGCGAAGUGGUGGCGGCGCGAAGGGAAACCGCGCGAAGGGAAGAAAAAAGCCUGCGAGGUGGAACCGAGAAUCCCGUGAUCUCUAUUUGCAUAGCCGGACUCCUUUGGCAUAUAUGCCAAGUUUCUCUCUCCAAAUGCAUAGCUAUGUAAAAUGCAAAGUCCAAAUGCAUAAUGAUUGGAGCGGUUUUUUUUGGAGUUGUAUGCAUUUUGGUAAAUGCCAAGUCCAUUUGCAUAAUGGUUGGAGUUGCUCUUAGCUCGUAUGAAUAUUUGCUCGACUUAAGACUAUUGGAUAUAUCAUUCUUGUAUUAUUACUAUUUUUAAGCUUUAGAUAAAUGCAAAUAUUAUAUUUUGUGUAUUUUUUAUACUUGGCUCGAGUUUAACGAGCCAACUCAAGUUCAUAAUGACCCGAGUCAGGCUCGUUAUCUAGCCUUAUACACACAUGAACAGACAUUCAUUGUUGGAGGGGCGGAGCCAAGAUUUCGACAUAGAGCACAUUUAGACCUAAACAAUCAUGUAUAACGAGAUGCAUACUCCGUCCGUCAAACAUAAAAAUAUAAAUUAUCAAUAACUUUUAAAUUGUUAAGUUUAUAAAUGUAAAAACUAUCUAAAUAGAUUUAUCUUGAAAAAUAUUUUUAUAAAAAUAUACAUAUAAUUAAUUCUAAAAUAAUGUAGAUGACAUUAGAGACCAUUUCGCAUGGUCUCUCGCGGACCUCAGGUCCUAAACAGUAUAGAUGACUGUCGUGAUCGUUUGUAAGCUUAUAGAGCAAAAUCAGACGGUUUUAAAACGUUAGAGAAGUUAAAAGAACCCGUUUUUAUUUGUUUUCUGAAUUGGGGAAGUAAAUCGGACUUGGUGAAAAGCCAUGGCCAAAUAAAGUUUGGUCUUGUUUAGUUCCGAAAAGAUUUUGGAUUUUGGUAUUGUAGUAUUUUCGUUUUUAUUUGACAAAUAUUAUUUAAUCAUGGACUAACUAGGCUUCAAAGAUUCAUUUCGUGAUUUACAGUCAAACUGUGUGAUUAGUUUUUGUUUUCAUUUAUAUUUAGUGGUUUAUACAUAUACCGUAAGAUUCGACGUAACAGAAAAUCUUGAAAAAGUGAGGCUUUUCUUGGCUUUGACGGCGGGCGACGGUCGCAAAACACCGGCCGGUGGGUCCCUGUGCCUCGGCCUCCUCCUCCCUCGUGCAGAGCGCGUGCUCUCCCACCCGUCGUGCUGUCCUUAACAGUUUAACCUUUUUUUAAAACGAGUCAAUCUUUUUGUUUGGUCGGAUCGCAAUUCCUUUCAAGUUUCAAUAGAUUUUUGUUUUUUUGAGCAAGCUCAAGUUUCAAUAGAUAUACGUACACCCGUUCACAAACCCACACACACACACAAAAAAAAAACAGAAAAAGAAAGAUACGUACACAAAUGAGUUUGGGCUGUCCCUAUAAAAAAGAGUUUGGGGCUUUGGGCAUGCCAGCGAGCAAACAACACGAGUGGGACGGGUAGAAAUGGAUACCACCGUGGUGUGUAUCGCUAUUGGGCUGGCAAGGUUCGAGGCCCAAUAAUGGCCUAUUAUUUUGGGUCCAUUCUCUUCUCCACACAAGCUUACUGUGCCUUUUUCUUAUAUGAAAAAAGUCCACAUUAGCUCCUCAACUUUUAUAAAAGUCCGUUUUUCUUCCUAAACUCUAAAACUAGAUCAAAACACUUGCCGCAAUUUUUAAAACCAUUCAUCUUACCUCUCUAACCCUAUUACAAGCGGUUUUGAAGGCGGUUUUGUCUUUGUCUUUUUUAUUUAUUUUAGCUAAAUCUUAAAAAAAUCAUAAAAAAUCAUAAGAAAUAUAAAAUAGAAAAUCUAAUUUUAUUAGAAUUUACAUGAGUAGAUCUACACAGUGCACGCAUAGAACUACUCAUAUGGAGUCCAAUAAAAUUUAAUUUUCUAUUUUAUGAUUUACUAUAAUUUUUCAAAGUUUUAGCCGAAAUAAAUAAAAAAGGAAAAGAAAAAAUCGCCUUCAAAACCGCUUAUAACCAAGCCAGGAGGUAAGGUGAAUGGUUUUAAAAGUUGAGGGAGAUGUUUUGCCCGAUUUUGGAGUUCACACAAGAAAAGCGGACUUUCACGAAAGCUGAGCAAGGUAAUGUGAUCUUUUUCCUUCUUAUAUUGAUAGCAAGUCCUUGGUUCUGGGCCUAGGUGGAUGGGUUCUAAACACAAUAGGGGGGGACUCGAUUUUACCUUCUCCAAAUUUUGUAAAGUACAACUAAAGGUCAUGUUUUUUUAUUUCCUCUAACUUUCGAAACCAUUAGAUUUUGCUCCUUGGGUGGUUUUAAAAAUAGUUUUCGUUGAUAUAGAACCACAUCAACCACGAGUCCACGAGAGAAGUAAAUCAGACUAUAUCGAUAGUUCAAGGUCAAUUAGACUUUAUAAAAUAAAUUAUAGAAAUACUUUUCAAAAAGUUGUUUAAAUAUUUUUAUCAAAAAAGAAAAAUGGGAAAAAAGAAAUUGUCAAUUAAAAAUCAUAAAUCUAAUCGAAUUUAAUCUUAGACGAUUUUCCAUUGGAAAAUUGUUUUAACUCAAAAAUAAAUAAGAAACCAGUUUCAUAUUUUCCCAAAAUCAUGCUCUAUAUUAGGGUACCUUGUUAGAAUUAUUUGAAACUUAUAUAGUACCGUCUCCUUUUGGUUAUUUGUUAUAGUAGAUGGUCACGUUAUAUUUUAUUAUAACUAGUCCAGGCUGAAUCAGACCGCAUAGAACUGACUUCAGUAUCAACAAAUGUGUGGUUUAGUCAAUUCUUUUUUAUAUGAACACAUGUGUUCACUUAUACAUGCAUGCACACUUACAAUACGGACGCACACACAUCAUCACAUUUGAUCAUAGAUCUUGAGAUGGAAGAGAGUUUAUUUCACAAUAUUUCGUCAUAAUUAAUUAACUCGAUGUAGUGUUAUGUAAGGCGGCUGACGAGAGGCCACAUCGGCUAAAACUACUUUUGAAACCAUCCAAAGAAAAAUCUGGUCUACUCUUUUAAAAGUUAGGUCUUGUUUAGUUCGCAAAAAUUUUCGUUUUUGGCUACUGUAGCACUUUCGUUUUUAUUUGACAAAUAUUGUCCAAACAAGAAGUAACUAGGCUCAAAGGAUUCAUGUCACAAAUUACAGGUAAAUUGUGCAAUUAGUUUUUAUUUUCAUCUAUAUUUAAUGCUCCAUACAUGCGACCAAAAAUUCGAUAUGACAGAGAAUCUUGAAAAUUUUUGCGAACUAAACAAGGCCUAGAGUAGGCGAAAAAAACCCGGCUAUUGUUUCGGGAGGGAGAUGGGAACAAAUAAGUCAAAUAGCACCUUCUUUUUGACAGGAAUGCAUAAUUUCAUUAAUCAAAUGAACCAAUUAAAUUAAUCGCUGGACACCAAGUACAUAAUACAAUCUGGCACCGUCAAUAUGAAUUAUGCCAUCAGAAGGGCAAUAAACACCAGUGCAAAAGACAAAAGCGACCGAACACAUGCAAGCACGGGCAUCGUAGAUCACUCCUAGUCCAAGGUAGAGGUAGGUAACGAACACAGCAGGUACCCAGCUCUUGGGAACAAGCAAUACUUGUAUGGACAUGCAUGCAUAUGGAUAAGGUUUGUACAGCAUCCGGUCAGAGAGCAGGAAUAAUAAUACGCUUAUAGCCAAGCUAACGUUGAUGUAGAGAAAAGAAGAUAUGAGAGAUAUGAUAGCUUAGCUCUCAUGCAAGUGCUAAGCUGGACACGGAUAUAUAGGUAGUGGUGGGUCAAAAUAACAAGUGUUGUGAAGAGAAAUAAAAAAGAGAAAGUGUCUUAGAGAUAAAUAUGAGACAACUCUGUAUAACUUGGUUUUAAUUAUUUAGCUUAUAAUCAAGCACUUGGUUUUAUUACUGACCUUGCUCUCAUAUACAUAUGCCAUCCAUCGUGGAAGAAGGCGCAACAGCAUACGCGAUCCACGUGGCACUUGCUUGCACAACACAUGUAAAAUCUCUCAGGCUUAGCUUCAACUAUUUAAUACAAAUUAAUUCAUACUGUCUACGUACUAAGAUUAGUUAAUCCACCGGAGAAUGAGGUACGGUGCUGAUGGGAUCCACCGGAGAAUCUACGCCGUGUGCAGUACAUAAAAACCCAUUGUAUAGAGUAUAGACUAGCUACAAGUGGCUAGCAAUCACUCCAUUCUAAACUAUUAUAAUAUAUAUUGUUUUAGCUUUUCUAGAUAUAUACACACUGGUUUAAUUAUAGAUCAUAGCAAAAACUAUGUAUCUCUAGAAAGGUCAUAAUGACUUAUAAAUUAAGAACCAAGGGAGUAGCUAACCAUGUUGUGUACAAUACAAUUAGACAAUCCUUCAAAUCCCUGCCAAGGGGAAUCUCUACGGACAUGUCCCUUCGAUUUAGAGUUGUUGGUUUCCGAGGUCAUUUAUUUUCUCUAAGUUCCUUUCGAAAGCUGCAACGAGCCUUUUAUCCAAUACGGUCUUCAACUAGUUCCGACUCUGGCUCCAAUAGUGGGUUCGACAAAGAAGUCAGAUGUUGGUAUUUAUUAAUGCACACUAAGAUCUAUGAUUAUCCGCAAGCACACAGAUAAGAUACCGAUGUAGCACUUUACCAGGAUGACCCAGCUUUAAUAUCGAACCCAAAGGAAUGGAUGGAGGGAUCUUGAUCUUAGCUUAAUCCCUGAGCACAAUCAAAGGAUGAGACGCUAGAAGGUUGAGGGAGAGAACUAGGGUGGUCUAAUUCUACUUUUAGAGAGUUUUGUACUUACUGAUCUGCUUGGGAAUUACUAUGGAAGGUUGCAAACAUAGUGUGAAUCUACCACAUAACAAAAGGUCUCCUAAGAAUAUCACCUCUAGACGGGAGGUGGACUAUAUAAGACUCAACAAAGCUAUCACCUUCGUGAUCUACCACCGAUCCAGACUAUAGGGCGCAUCUAUGAGUAACCCGAGCCUAAGCACCGCGCUUACACUACAAAUUGUAUUUUAACCUAGUGCACUAGAUCAAAGUACUCAAAUGAAACUCAUAAACCAAAAGAACAAUAAACUUACUGACUAAUAGAAGUUGAUGACCGAAGAAAUCUCUGAUCCAAGCUCCUGAAGAACUCGAAUCCGCAGAUACAAGCUGAAGAAGGAGUAUCGACAGGCCCAGGGCUUCCUCUAGAUCUUCUCUCUCUCUCUCUCUCUCUCUCUCUCUCUCUCUCUCUUCUAGUUCUAGUUCUAAGACUAGAUCUAAACCUAACUAGAGGUAUACUAGUCUUCUUCUUGAUUGCUAGGCUCUAGAGAGGUUCUAGGGAACCCCUCUCUUGAUCUUGACUGGAGAUAAUGAAUUAAAGUCUUCAAGAUGUCUCAGCGGGUCUGCCUCUGCUUAUAUAGCCUAGUGGGAUGAAUUGUAGCCCUUGGAUCAAACCAACUUAAAACAACGGUCAAGAUACAUCGAAGAGGUCGAUUGGGAACCGUUGUGCGAAGCUAGAUGACAGGAGGGUCCCACCUGGGCCGACCGGCCCCACCUGGUAGGCUGGCCCGCCUAGCUCAGGGCUAGGUCGACUUCUCCUUUGCUGUGGUGUCUUCUAGAACUUUACCGUCAAUUCUUACGAAAUUCCAAUGUGAUUUGAUUUGGUUCCUUGACUCCUACUCUUUCUCAUCUUAUUUCUGAUUUAAUUAAUCCCUGAAAAAUCAUGAUUCACCAAAGCUGUGGAAUUGGUUAGAUUAGUCCCUAAAACUAUUGCUUGGUGAUGGUUCCGAUGUCUUCUAGAGUGUUCCAAAGCGUAUCCAAUGAGGACUCUCAUCGCGACUUCAAUUAUAAUGAAUGAUAUAUCCGUUUCGAUCAUCUCGACAAGCUCUUCGCAAUGGUGUGCUCUAGUUCAUCAUUUGAGAUGCUUUUAUGUAUAGAAUAUCAAAUAUCUAAAAACAAGUGAGAACACCAAAACUCGUGAAACUCAUUAGGUUAAAUCAAAUCAAAGGGCACUUUGGUUCAUUUUAGUUAGUUCUUGGGCCUUAGUUGAUGGUUUAUAAUUGGAGUUAAUUACUGUCAAUAUCAGAGGAGCCAUACUGUCAGAUAUAUGGGCCAGGGGUACCUGCAACGUCCGUAUAUGCGACCAUGUCUAGGCUAUUAGCCUAGCAAUAGUAAAGGAAGAGGCCCACGAAGGGCUGAGGCAAUCGAUGACCAACGUGGAGAUCAAGGCAAGCCAGAAAUAUCUAAGAUAGGCGUAUCUAGACGAUAGCUUGGAUUAUUAAUCUGUUGCCCAUUCUAUGUAACAAACUAAGAAUCCAAUCUGUUAGUCCGAUCGUCCUCAUUAUAACCCUACCCCCUUUGCCUAUAUAAAGGAGGGUAGGGACCUCGGGCUCAUGAUCAAACUUCUCUCAUUCUAAUCUACUACGUAGUUAGGAGCAACAACCCCUAUAAUUGAGCAUACGAAUACAAGAGCAACUGCAACACCAUAUAUUGGAGUAGGGUUUAGUGCGCACCGCGCUCAAAACCAGUAUAAAUCUUUGUGUCUUGUGUGCUACUAUAUUAUUCCGUCUACAUGAUCACUUUGCUAGGCAUUGUUGCUAGAUCUAAUUCAUCUGACACAUACCAAACACCUUUAGAGGAGAAGCCGUAUUUUAUGCUUGUAAAAGAGAAGCUAGAGUCAUUUUUUGUGUAGAAGCCAAAGCACAAUUUAUGGCUCCUCCCUUCGGCGGAACCCUAUAUAUCAAACAAGCACAAGUAGUUACACACAACUUUGUCAAGUUUGGUCCUUUUCAAAUAGUCUCAAGAUAUGUAAAUAGGCAACAAUCAAUUUUUUUGUGCAUUGCAAUGAGACGUUUGGCUUUGUUGCGUGAUUAUUUGGACGAUUUGUAGUUUGGAGAUUUAUAUACUAACUAUGUCAUGCAUUUCAAUUUAUUUGGUAAUCGAUCACCAUUUCUCAUAAGCCUGUCUUUUUCUUGUUGAAAGUGUGUUGCUCUAACUAGUAUGCAUGUGUAUGGGGUUUAGAGAUGUUUUUGAUGAUUGCGUUAUGCAUUCCAAGUCAUGUCGCUCUGCACCAUACUUGAACACAUAACUCUUGUGAUGCAUGAGAGAGAAUAACGGUGGACCAUGCACGGAAACACUUCAAUUCCAGUUCAUUUUGGAAUUGGACUUCAUAUUGUGUUUAGACACAUUAUUACUCUAACUCGUACAGAUAUGGAAGGAUCUUACUGGGAUGGUUGUGAGCAACGACCAUGAAUGACGAAUAAAGCUUACCCUCUUUAUUAAUAUUACAAUGAGCAGAUAGUUUUACAAUGCUAUAAAACAUCGAGGAUUGGAUAGGGUUGGUUGUGAGCAACGACCAUGAAUGACGAAUAAAGCUUACCCUCUUUAUUAAUAUUACAACGAGCAGAUAUAGAUUUACAACACAAUAAAACAUCGAGGAUUGGAUAGGGUUGGUUGUGAGCAACGACCAUGAAUGACGAAUAAAGCUUUCCCUCUUUAUUAAUAUUACAACGAGCGGAUAGAUUUCACAACGCAAUAAAACAUCGAGGAUUGGAUAGGGUUGUAUACUACUCCCUCCAAUACAAAUUCUAAAACAUUUUUGUUUUUUAAAUAUAUAGCUUUUCCUAUGCACAGAUAUACAGUCUCUCUGUUUGUGGGGAUUGGAUGCUGUUGUCUGCUCAUAUAAAUUUGAGUCAUAUAUCUAUCCGGCCGUGUAUGUGGAUAUGAUCAUACCCUGUUCCAGCAUACGCAUGUACAUGCUGACAUGAGCCUUGAUGCAAAGCAGCAGCUGUUUGCAAAUGGUAGGGCAGGCCGACCAGCCAGCUAUAUAUAUAUAGGGCAACUAUAUAUAGCAAGGACGAAACCUGCUGGGUCUUUGGGAAGCAGCAGCUAGCGCGCAUGUAUAUCUUUUACCUAGAGUCUAGAGAUAUUUGCAGCCAUAUGGUCGUCGUCUUCUAUACCUAGAUUUAGCCUACUGAUGUGGUAUAGCACUCCAUGCAUGUGGUAGUUUCCUGCAGGGCUCCAUGGAUGAUGAAUUGAUGAUCUGAUGGAUAUGGAUGUCUGUAGCGUUAGAUAUUUCAAGAACUACUACUGCCAUUUUAUGCAGCAGCAAGCAAAUCAAAGUGCCACCGAUCGAUCGAAUAGCCCAGAACAUGCACCGAUCCAAAGACCUCUGUCGUCAUCUGUACCGUCGUUGAAUAUUCUUCGCCACUCCGAACAUGAAUCCAUCCAAAGAUCCCUGUUAGUUGUCUGCACCGUCGUUGAAUAUUCUUCGCCUCUCUCCCCAUUAGAUAUAUGUAUGUAUGUAUGUACAGGUACGUGAGAACACAGACGACGCAGCACUAUGUACGUCGUACAUGUUAGAUUAGGAAGUAUUCCCAUAGCAGCAGACCGGACUGCAGGCUGCUAGCUUUUAUAUGGAGAGGACGACGAUGAAGAAUAAUGGCCAGGGUUCAGGAGGAGGCCGCUCAACGCUCUGCUACUCCAUCGUCGUCGAUCCCGGCGAGGCCAGCAGCACCGCCGGCUUUCAAGACUUCCUCGAGAUGUUCGGAGCUCGCCACUCCUCGUACGUCAUGACGGCCUAGCUAGCUAAUAACACUGUCUCCAAAGAAGCUAUAUCUAUCUGCGCAUGCAUAGUUGGUUUGGUGUGCAUCGAUAAAAAAAAGUUUAUCCAAUGUUCUCCACAUUGUUCCUCUCGAAUGCACACACAUUUGUGUAUAUAAUAUUUCUAGCUAAUAAACACACACAUUCAUCACAUAAAAUUACUCUAGGAAAAAGAUUAUAUAACUUUUUGAUGCAUGUUUAUCUCAACUCAAUCUAUGGGAUAUCGCAGCGGUGAUCUCUUUGAUUUGGUGCGGCAAGGAGGAGGAGACAGCAGCAUGGAGGUGCAACCUUGCCUCCGGUUGCCGUCGUCGCCGCUGGUCACCCUUCCGCCUUCGGAGGACGACAUGGCGGCGUGGCUCUACCCGAUUGUCAGCGGCCAAGAAACUGCUAUCGUCGCUGGCCAUGACGACCACCAGCCAAGCGACGACCCUGCCGCUGCCGGCGGACUCGCGGCGGUGGAUGAUGCUCCGGUGGAUCACAAGAGGGAGAAGGCUCCAAACAUGCAAGAGAAGUGCCGCAGUGGUGGUGCUGAGGUAUGUGUAUUUUAGGCUCUUUAUUUUUUGCUAUAUUUAUUGAUAGCCAUGAACAAUUAAGAAUAUAGAUUCAAUAUAAUAGGUGAAAGUUUUUAAGUUAGCGAGAAUAUAAGAGUUUUCUUUUUUUAUAUAAAAAAUUGCUCUCACCGUCCCAAAUUAUAAGUCAUUUCAAGAAUCUUAGAGAGUCAAACUAUCCUAAAUUUGAUCAAAUUUAUACGAUAAAAUAAUUAUUAUUAUGAUACCAACUAAGCAUCAUUAUAUUCGUCUUUAAUUAUAUUUUUAUAGUAUACUUACUUUAUGUUACAAAUCUUAGUAUUUCUUUCUAUAAUUUUAGUCAAACUUGAAAUAUUUUGACUCUCCAAGAUUCUUAGAAAUGACUUAUAAUUUGGAAUGGAGGGAGUACCUAUGAGUCCUUCAUUUUUUGAAAAAUACACUAACAAUUUUAUUUGUGUUAUUUUUUUUUUCCAAAAUAUGAAAUCAAACUACUAAUUUUUUUUAUAAUCUUCACCAUUGAAUUUAUAUAGUUUACUAACUAUGAGGUUUAUGGACUAUUUAUUCAGGUAUCUUUCCUUCAUUCAUAAUGUUUACUAAGUGUGUUUUAAGUGGUUAGGUAUUUUUUGUUCCAAUUUGUAUGGAAAUCAAUUUGAUUGAUUGUUUUGAAGAUAAGUUAUUAGUUCUCUAAUAGUUAUAUUAAGUAUGGACUCUUUGAUUUAAUUGAAGCCAUAUCUCUCCUCACAAGAUCGAGUAGUAUAUGUUUUCUUUUCUAGAUAAAUGUGAUAAUUACUAUUUUCUCAUGGUGAGCCAUGUUGUUUUUUUAAUCUACCAUAAUAAUAUGCACCCUCUAUUUCAAGUUAUAAUGCGUUUGGAUUUUCUAGGCACAUGGCUUUUUUGGUGCUAUACACUUAGGUAUAUAUUGUCAAUAUAUAGUUAAAGUAAUAUAGAAAAACUAAAACAUCCUAUAAAUUAGAACAAAGGGAGUAAUAGAUUAUGAGAUACUCCCUCCAUCCAGGAAAGAAUAGAAUUUUUGUUUUUCAAGAAGUUAAACAAUUUGAACUUUAACUAAAUUUAUAUAAAAAUCUACUAUCAUUCAUGAUAUAAAAUAAGUAUCAUUAAUUAGUUAUAGAAUAUUUUAUUAUCAUAAAUUUUGUUUGAAGAUAUAAAUGCUAAUAUUAUUUACUAUAAACUCGAUCAAAUUUGAGUUACUUUGACUACCAUGAAUCCUAUAAUUGUAUUCUUUUCUGAGCAGAUGGAGUACAAUGCAGCUUUUAAUUUAAAAGUCGAGCUACUUAAAACUUGCAAGAGCGCUAGACGCCUCACUUUCUCACGGACUGGAAGCCACUAUCACAUGCUAUCAGGAGAUGGAAACUUGUGACCAGUUCGUCGCAUGCUGUUACACACUGACCUGCAGAUCUAGUGGGUGGCGCUUGCCGUGCAGCAAUCGUUCUGCCCUGUCGUCCUUCGGCUGUCCUGCCAUUAUAUUCUUUUCGAUCAAAAAAAGGCACAUACAUAAGAGUCGAUACGUGCAAACGUAAAUACUAACUAGUAGUACUAAUACUAGGGAUACCACAGCAAACUCCUAUCAGCUUACAAACGAGACCUAAAGCAGUCGACGCAGCAAAACAGACGACACUGAGAACAAACCAGGCAGCUCGAUGAGAAACUACAGGCCGGAGGUCUUCACAGUAAGUAGAAUGGUUCACCAAAAGUGAAGUAGAAAGUAGAAACUCCACCCAAGCCCGGCCUGACGUGUGCAGACUGCCCGUCAAGCCUUGCUGUGUCUUCCGCCCAGAGCAGCUAGCACAUCAUGCUUGCUUCUGUAAAAGUGCCGCCAAAACGAAGUUUUUACGUACACAACUAAUAAUCUCAGUAUUCGAAUUAAUUAUUAGAUAAUUUGCGUGUUCGAUCGAUCGCUUGCCAUCUCUUGUUAGGAUUCCAAAAGACCGCAAAUUUGAUGAAAGGUCUGACGGAUCGUCAUGCGUUGUUCGUUGUUUGAAUAAGUCCUUGAGCAUCUAAUUAUAGAAUGUAGAGGCGCCUAACGCUAUUAGAGGCAGGCCAUGGAUUGCGGCAUGGCCCAGGUGGUUGGGAUGGCAACCACUGAUCACGAGUAUGCCGGGAUUAGCAGGUCAUUUUAUUUCCUUGUAACACAUCAUGUAUUUCCUUUAUAUAGUGAAUACAAUCAAUGGAAAACGCUGUCGCUUUACAGCAACCAACUCUCUGCGUUCGUGUGUGUGUUCAUCCUCAUCGGAUUUGUGUCAAUUGGUAUCAAAGCCUGGUUUCUUCACCGCCGCCAUGACAUCUCAGUCGCCAUCUAACAAGAAGCCGAUGGAUGAUGGCAGCGGCAGGAACGAGAUCAAGCCCUCGCGUUCGCCGCCGCGACGUCGUGGCCGUUCACACAGUCGCCGCCGCUCCAGCUCACGCGUCGUCGAGCGCGUCAUCGAGCGCUCGUCCGCGAACGUCGCCUGGCCGAUGCUCACGCGGACGAACUACCCGGAGUGGGCGCUGGUGAUGGAGGUCAACUUCCAGACUCUUCGGGUCUGGGACGCCGUCGAGCUCGGGAUUGACGAGGACGCCGAUGAAGAUGACUAUCAGCACGAUCGACAGGCCAUGGCGGGUCUCCUGCGCUCGGUUCCCUCCGAGAUGUGGGGAACGCUUGCUCGCAAGCGUACCGUCAAGGAGGCGUGGGACGCCGUCAAGGUGCUCCGUAUCGGCGACGACCGCGCGCGCGACGCCAGCGCGCAGCAGCUUCGCCACGAGUUCGCGGCGCUCGUCUUCAAGGAAGCCGAGACCGUCUCCGAGUUCGGGAUCCGCAUCACGUCACUCGCCACCAACCUCCGCAUCCUCGGCGACAAUAUCACGGACGCCGAGGUGGUAAAGAAACUUUUGCAGGUGGUUCCCGAUCGUCUGUCUCAAGCCGCCGUUUCCCUCGAGAUGUUUCUCGAUCUGAACAACACGUCGAUCGAGGACGUCAUAGGGCGGCUGCGCGUGUUCGAGGAACGCGGUAAGCCGAAGGAGAUCACGGAUGGUAUGGGGCGACUCCUACUCUGCGAGGAGGACUGGGAGGCGCGUCGCAAGAGCCGUCGCGAGCAGGAGAGCUCCGGUGGCAGCGGUGGCUCCAACAGUCGCGGGAAGAACCAUGGCCGCGGCCGUGGUCGAGGUGGCCAAGGCGCGACGCGCGACGAUCAUGACAGUCACGGCACGGGCGCUGCAUGGCAACCCUGGUGGUGGGAAGCCGCCGCCUAGCACGCCCUGCAAGAAAUGCGGCAACAAGGGUCAUUGGGCCCGAGACUGCCGUAGCAAGAAAAAGAAGGCCGCGGCCCAUGUGGCCCAGGCUGAAGAGGAGGAGGAACGGGCCUUGAUGUACAUCGCCGCUGAGACGGAGGUAAUCGCGUCGCCUGCUUCCUCUCCCCUAUCGCCGCCGCCGCCGCCCGCCGCCGAUGCACGCGCGCACGUCCACCUCGCCGAGCCCAAGGUCCUCUUUCAUCUCAGGAAGGAUGAGAAGGAGGCGGUGGGGCCCUGCCGCUGGGUCCUCGACACCGGAGCUACCAACCACAUGUCGGGAUCGCGGUCGGUCUUCGCCGAGCUGAACUCAGGCAUCACCGGCACCGUCCGAUUUGGCGACGGGUCGGUGGUAAACAUCGAGGGAAAGGGCACCGUCCUCUUCGCCUGCAAGAAUGGCGAGCACCGUCGACUGGAGGGCGUGUACUACAUCCCGCGGCUCACUACCAACAUUGUGAGCAUCGGGCAGUUGGAUGAGGACGGCUCCAAGGUCCUCAUCGAGUCCGGCAUUCUGCGUCUCUUCGACUUGCAACGACAACUGCUCGCCAAGGUGGAGCGUUCCUCGAGCCGGCUCUACUUCCUCGACAUGAACAUCGUCGCCCCGGUGUGUCUCACCGCGCGCGCCGGUGAUGUCACCUGGAGGUGGCAUGAGCGAUUCGGGCACAUCAACUUCCAGUCACUCAGGAAGCUGGGGCGCAAGGACAUGGUGCUCGGACUGCCCUCCAUCGACCACGUCGAGCAAGUCUGUGAAGACUGUGUGCUGGCAAAGCAGAAGCGAACGCCGUUCCCCAAGGCGGCUAAGUUUCGGGCUGCAGAACAGCAUGAGCUGGUCCACGGCGACCUCUGCGGCCCCAUCACGCCAACGACACCGGCCGGGAAUGCCUACUUCCUUCUACUCGUCGACGACAUGAGCCGCUACAUGUGGCUCACUCUCCUGCGUUCCAAGGCGGACGCACCGGCGGCGAUCAUGUCGUUCCAGGCCCGUGUCGAGCGCGAGACGGAAAAAAAGUUGAAGGUGCUACGCACGGACAACGGUGGUGAGUUCACCUCGGUUACGUUCGGUGAAUAUUGUGCAGGAGAGGGGAUACAACGCCACCAUUCGGCUCCAUACACGCCACAACAGAACGGCGUGGUGGAACGCCGAAAUCAGACGGUCGUGGCGACGGCGAGGAGCAUCUUGCGCGCACGGGGAGUGCCCGGCUACUUCUGGGGAGAGGCAGUGCACACCGCUGUCUUUCUCCUGAACCGGGCGUCCACGAGUGCGCUCACCGACAAGACACCGUACCAGGCGUGGUACGGCAAGAAGCCCCCAGUACACUUCCUCCGUGUGUUCGGCUGCGUGGCGUACAUCAAGAACGUGCGCCCACACCUUGGGAAGCUCGAUGAUCGCGGGCGCAAGGUGGUCUUCAUCGGGUACCAAGAUGGCUCCAAAGCCUACCGCUUCUACGACCCGGUGGACGAGCGCGUCCAUGUCUCGCGCGAUGCUGUCUUCGACGAAGGAGCGCGCUGGGAAUGGGGAGCAGCCUCGGACGUCACCGAGCCCCACCCCUUCGCCAUCGCGGAGGAGUACGAGCUGCGGCGCCACCAGCUUGAGGGACCGGCCCCUGAGCCCGUCUCUCCCAAACCGCGCACGCCGGCUCCAACAGCGUCGACGUCCUCCGGUCCGCGCACGACGUCACCAGGCGCCCAGAGCGCGCCAACAAUCUUGGGAGUGCCCUCAACACCACAAGGGGCCGGAGCUCACGUCGAGUUCGCGACACCACUCUCCACCGACCCGAACCUGGACGAUGAUGACGAUGAGGUGGUACACAGGUACCGCACCCUCGACAACAUCCUCGGCACAGACGCGUCGCCUGGGCUGGAGCAUCGCGACGCAGUUGAGGCCGAGCUCCACACUGUCAGCCACGCCGUGAGUGUGGAGGAGCCCAGGUCGAUCAAAGAAGCCGAGGGCGAUCCAAACUGGGUCGGCGCGAUGGAGGAGGAGAUGAAGUCGAUCCGCGACAACCAGACAUGGUCGCUGGUCGAGCUUCCCUAGGGGCACCGCGCCAUCGGAUUGAAGUGGGUGUACAAAGUCAAACACGAUGAAAAGGGCAACAUCGCCAAGUACAAGGCAUGCCUCGUCACGAAAGGCUAUGUGCAGCGGCCCGGCGUCGACUUUGAAGAAGUGUUCGCUCCAGUUGCACGACUCGAGUCAGUGCGGCUGGUGCUCGCCAUCGCUGCCCACUUCGGCUGGGGCGUCCACCACAUGGAUGUCAAGUCGGCAUUCUUGAACGGCGAGCUCCAAGAGGAGGUCUACGUCCAUCAACCCCCUGGCUUCAUCGACGACAAGCACAAGUACAAGGUGCUGCGCCUUCACAAGGCGCUCUACGGACUCCGUCAAGCGCCGAGAGCAUGGAACCAGAAGCUCGACGCCGAGCUGCUGGCGCUCGGGUUCACGCGCUGCGUCAACGAGCACGGGAUGUAUACCCGGGGCAGAGGUGCCGAGCGCCUGAUCGUGGGAGUCUAUGUCGAUGACCUCAUCAUCACGGGUGGUGAUGCCGACGCUGUCAAGAAGUUCAAGGCGCAGAUGCUGCGCACGUUCCGCAUGAGUGACCUCGGGCUCUUGUCCUACUAUCUUGGACUCGAGGUCACCCAGGGUGCUCAUGGCAUCACGCUGCGACAGAGUGCCUACGCCGCCAAAAUCCUUGACAAGGGCGGACUGACAGGGUGCAACGCAAGUGCCACACCCAUGGAGAUGAAAUUGAAGCUUCUAAAAGAGGGCACGACGCCGGCUGUUGACGCCACCGAGUACCGCAGCCUCAUCGGCAGCCUCAGGUACCUGUGUAACUCAAGGCCGGACCUAGCAUACGCUGUUGGGUACCUCAGCAGGUUCAUGGAAGCGCCACGACAGGAGCACCUCGCGGCAGUCAAGCGAGUCCUUCGGUAUGUGGCAGGUACGGUGCACUGGGGAGUGCACUAUCGUCCGGCUGGAAGAAGAGAAACAGCGCCCCAGCUAACAGGCUACUCCGACAGCGACUUAGCUGGGGACGUAAACGAUCGCAAGAGCACUGGCGGUCUCAUCUUCUUCAUGGCUGGUGGACCGAUUGCCUGGCAAUCGUCAAAGCAGAAAGUGGUCGCUCUAUCGUCCUGCGAGGCAGAGUACAUAGCGGCGGCCGGAGCAGCGUGCGAAGGAGUCUGGCUAGCACGUCUGCUGGCAGAGCUGAUCGGAGGUGCUGUUCGUGCACCGAAGCUCAUGGUGGACAACAAAUCCGCCAUCGCACUGAUGAAGAACCCUGUUCAUCACGACCGGAGUAAGCACAUUGAUGUAAAAUAUCACUUCAUCCGGGAGUGCUGGGACAGAAGGCUGAUUGAUAUAGAGUUCGUCGGCACUGAGCAUCAGCUGGGCGACAUCCUCACAAAGGCACUCGGUCGUUCUCGGUUUCAAGAGCUCCGUAGUGAAAUCGGCAUGAAAAAGUUAGGCUAGUGGCUCCAGGACUUAGGAGGAGAAUGUUUGAAUAAGUCCUUGAGCAUCUAAUUAUAGAAUGUAGAGGCGCCUAACGCCAUUAGAGGCAGGCCAUGGAUUGCGGCAUGGCCCAGGUGGUUGGGAUGGCAACCACUGAUCACGAGUAUGCCGGGAUUAGCAGGUCAUUUUAUUUCCUUGUAACACAUCAUGUAUUUCCUUUAUAUAGUGAAUACAAUCAAUGGAAAACGCUGUCGCUUUACAGCAACCAACUCUCUGCGUUCGUGUGUGUGUUCAUCCUCAUCGGAUUUGUGUCAUUCGUGUGAUAGGAUUCAACAGAAAACUACUACUCCUGUGGCAGCAGGAAGAAAGCGACAGGAGGAGCAAGGAGGUCUCAUCCUGCAGAAACACACAACCUGACAGAGAAGGUACUGAAGGAGUACGUGUGUAGAGCCCUUCAGUAAUAGUCCUGAAUCCUGAUCUGAUGCAUGCAUAUACCUUUCAGCUACCAGUUGAUCGAUUUGCCAAAAAGUUCUUUCAGCUACGUAGCAUGUCAUAUUUAUUUAUAUACAUCUGUAUAUAUUGCAGCGACGAAGGCGCAAGAUAGACGACAAGUUGAAGACCCUUCGACAGCUCGUUCCAGGGUGCGAUGACAAGGUCGUCGUCGCACUCCGCCAUUUUACAUAUAAAUCAACAUACACAUAGGCACUUAAUUAUUAUGAUCAAUGUCUGAUCUCUGUAUGUCUCUGCUCGAUCCCAUCCUGUGACAUUUCAGAGCAACCAAGCCUCAAUUCUGGACCAGACCAUCCAGCACAUCAAGUCACUGCAGCAACAAAUCCAGGUCCAACCUAAGGCAAUCUCGUUGGGGUGCGAUGCCAUCAAGCCACCAGCAGUUUACCCAGUCGUGCUGCCACAGGGCACGGCUGUCGCUGCCGCCGGCGAGCUGCUGCCGCCUGCAGCCGCGCUUCCUCCAGCGGUGCUGGCCAUGGCGGCGAGAGGGCAUGUCCGGCCAGGGUUGGCGCCCUUGCACCACCUCCGUCGUUGGUGCCUUUCGGUCCCUUUCUUCCAGUGGUGACUCAAUUUUGAAGACACAGGCAGCAGCUGCUGCGAUCAUAUAUGGACCUCAUGGUGUACCCGGCAGCGGCGCCUGCUGCAAAUGCAUAUGCAUGUAAGGGCAGCAGGUUCCAGAGACAGAACAAAUUUAGUUCCAGGAAACAAGUUAUAUGCAUUAUAUAUAUAUGUAUAAUAUCGAUUAACUAUAUGGAGAAAAAGCUACUAGUACCCAUCCAUCCAUGCACAUAUAUAUAUAUGCAAUGACACAAUGAGUACUGAACGAAUGUUGAUCGAUGUAUGUGUAUCGAUGUAUGUGUAUAUUGCAGAGGUGUACAUGUUGGCGCCUAAAUUAAUUAGACUCUAGGUCAAUUCGGUUCUAAAUAAGUCACUUUGAAUCUUUUGGUACAUAUAUUUUGUUAUCUAGACAUAUAUUAGAUGCGUAGCAAAAUCUACGUACCAAAUAGUCAAAACGACUUGUUUAUGAAUGACUUUGCAAAUUAUAUAUGCAUGGAAUAUGUUUUUCAGAUUUUUUACUAAGUUGAGGUGGGAAAAAUGGAAGAUUUUUAAUAAAGUACGUGGAUUCCGAUCUUUUCUUUGCAAACUUGAAACACAUAUCUCAAAAUCAUUGAGAGGUCUAAAAGGUCAUGGGCUCAUGGCUUCGACCUGAGACCUUGUGGCGGAGGUUUCCUCCCGUAAUGGGCCGUUGGGGUUCCACCUUGAUAUGGUUAUUUAUGGCUGAGUUUAGUGGUUUUGUUGUUUACUGUGGUACCACUGUAUGCUUAGUCUAGACAUAUCUCUUAUAAAUAAAUUUCACUAGCUAUUUCUCUUGUCAUACAAAGUAUCCACAUCAACAUUAACUAGAAUAUCCCACUAGCAUAUAGCAUAUUCAACUAUCUCGCUAUGCAAAGUGUCCACAUUAGCAUCCCUAACACAUCAAACUAAAAUGUCAUUAUAUCUUCUGUCGGCGUCUAGACUCGUGAUCUAGGCACUAACGAGUAUAAGUCUGCGUGACUGCCCAAAUUUGGAUGGUGAUGCAAGUGAGACACAGAGAGUUUAUACUGGUUCGGGCCCAGAAUGCCCUACGUCCAGUGUGGCUGUAGAUUUUGUAUAACCUUGCACCCAAAGGUGCUUGUAGUAGGGGGUACAAGCUGGUUGCGAGAGAGGGCUAAGUCCCAGGUCUCGGUUUGGUGGUGGAAAGAGUGCGGGCUGCUGCUCUGAGAAAGAGUGUUGUGUGCGUGUGUGUUUCUCUGAGCUCCCUCUAGCUAUGAGUCCUGGCUCCCCUUUUAUAGCCUCAAGGGGAGACAAAGAUUUACAUGAGUUGAUUUCCCUGGGUGGAACGGUGAAACCACAGUCCCGACCCUGUUGGAGCUGAUCCAUCUUGUCCUUGAGGGAUGGUUGACGGUAUGGCUGCCCCUGUAGAGGGUUACCGAGCCCUGUAGGGGUCGCGGGGGUCGGAUCGCCAGUACUGCUGCACAUCCUGUCAACAGUGGGAAAAGACCUCAAAUAGUGGUGCUGAUUAACCUUUCCCAGUCCCUUCCUACUGUGCGGCAGCGCGCUACAGUGAAAGGGGUAAGGAUGUAUAGUGACAGAGGUAAGGCCACAGUGACCAGGGUGGUUGGAAUAGUUAUCGCCUUGCCCUGCCGCGGUAUGGAAGCCGUUGCGUCUGUCAUGUCGUGGGUACGGGCGCCGUGCGGUGGAAGUCUUGCUGCCCAGGCGGAGUGGGGUCCGGCGCCCGAGCCUGGACGGGGUCGGGCGAGUCGGACCUUGCGUCCGAGGCCCUGAGGGAUCGGGCGAGUCGGAACUUGCGUCCGAGGCCCUGAGGGGUCGGGCGAGUCGGAACUUGCGUCCGAGGCCCUGAGGGGUCGGGCGAGUCGGAACUUGCGUCCGAUGUCCUGAGGGGUCGGGCGAGUCGGAACUUGCGUCCGAUGCCCUGAUGAUUGUGGUUAAUACGUUUCUUUGCGUUUUUUCAUUGCUCUGAUUUGGGUAUCCCUUAUUAUGGUACCCAACAUCUUCAUUCAAGCUAUUUAGAUUAACAAACUACAUUAUUUAUUAACACAUAUCGCUGCAUUACCAACACCAUAAUAGAAUUAUUUUUUGUUUAUCCAUGAAUAAGUUGAGUUUUCAUAUCAAAUUUGAGGUCAUAAAUGACAUCAUAAGUUAUGUUAGAAAAAUAUAUUUUAUUUUUUUCUCCACUAUAAGGAAAUUUAAUGAUAAAUUAAGAUUAGAGAUGUAUUUUUCUAACAUGCAUGGAUGCCACCAGCCUCAGUGGCCGGCGAGGUGAACAAGCCUAUAGCUACCAAGUGGCGAGUACUUGCAGAGUAGAGCCACCGCGGAUCCAUGCAUGUCUAUCUUGUUGAUCUCUCCAUGUUUAUCUACCUGAUGUCCCCUGACAUCUAUAUAUGUUUUCUCUCUCUCACCUAGCUACGAUAUAUAGUGUGUGCAUGGAUUGCACUAUUGCAGCUCAUCAUAUACGACGUAGCAUGUAGCAUAUACAUACAUACACUUACAUAUUAUACAUAUAGCCCUCUUUGGAAUACAGGAUUCAAGAAAUGCAGAAAUAGGAAAAAAUUAUAGGAAUAUGAUAGGAAUGUAUAUGCAAAACAUAUAUAGCAAUUUUAUUAGAAUGAGUGUUGACAUGAGUGUAGAAAAAACGUAGGAAACAACUGUGCGUAUGAGGGGUGUUUGGUAGGGCUCCCUCCUGAGGAGCUCCUCUGGAGGAGUCGAGGCUAUUUUGGAGUUGCUAGAAUUUGUGACUCUUUUAAAAUGGCUUCGGUUCUUCUAUUUUUCGUUAAAACAACUUUUUCUAUAAAAUGUUUGGUAGGACUACUCCGAAGAAGCUAGAGUCGGAGCCGUAAAAAAAUCUUACCAAACAGAUAUUUAAUCUAUACUGCAGGUACUGACUUCUUCACCGAGGUAAGCUACUUAAUUACAUGUGGCUAGUACUGCACUGAUCGUAUCCAAUCUCUAUCAUUUUGAUGUGUGGUCAUUCAGUGAAGUUCUCUCUCUGUUGUAUUUGGCUUGCCAUAUUUACCUCGAUCUCCUACGUGCGCGUGUUGAAAAAAUGAGGUGGGAAUGGAUGUUUUCUUUCCCAUGUUUCUCCUGUGAAAUGGUUUUCAAAAGAAUUUUUCUACACCUCAAUCUUGACAAUCACAUUUUGCCUUCAAUUUCUCUAAUAUUCCUAGUUAUAGAAAAAAUGGAUCACUUAUUCUCAAUUUGCUGGAGAUAUUCUUAUAUAUAUUCAAAAUAUUGAUGCACAGUCUCAGUUGCCUAGGUAAAAAAAAUUCUUCUUCACUACAGGAAACUGAGCUUUGCCGACUGCUAGAAUCCUUUGCCACCUGCCAAAGACAGGGCAAUCGGCAAACAUACUCUUUGCCGACUGCCUCUAAAAACAGUUGGCAAAGGACUCUUUGCCGACUGCCUAAAUGUCUUGAGCUGUCGGCCACUCUAAGCAGUCGGCAAAGACGUCCUUUGCCGACUGUCUGGCAGGUGGCAAAGAAAAGCUGGUGGCAAAGGUGGCUAGGGACAAACGGCGCCCAUCGCCGUCCCUUUUGCCGUCAGGCAGUCGGCAAAGAUGAAAUUUUUUAUUUUUAAAAUUUGAAUUUAGGUUUUAGACAUUCGACGUCGUCACUUACUCCAAAUUUUCUCAAACUUUUUUCAUAGCCUCCACAUGCAAUAAGAGUGAACCUUAAAAACUUUCGUGAUUUUGUGACCCUUUUUGCUAUAUUUCGUUAAUUAAAUUCUUUUAAUUGUGUUUUCCACCGCAGAAUCCUACUUUGAACUGCAGGUGCAUCAAAUAAUGAAACUUAGCCAUUUGAAAAAUGAUAUUCAUGUUGGAGAGUCUAUUUUAAGGUCGUGUCCAGAAACUCACCCAAAAUUUUGAUGUUCUUGUCCACGAAACAUGACCAUCCAAGUGUGGUAGAGGUGCUUUUUAAUUAUAUAAAAUUCAAACGAAGUCGAAAAAUUACGGAACUUGACGAGGUGUCAUGUUAUCACAUGUGAAGCCUAUGAUAAAAGUUUGAGGAAGUUUGGAGCAAGAUGCAAUGUCGAAUAUCCAAAACCCAGACAUCUGCACAUGUGAUCACAUGUGAACACAUGCGGAGAUGUGUGGGUUUUACACAUCUGAUGUCGCAACUUUCUCCAAAAUUUUUAAAAUUUUUAUUAUAGGCUCCACAUGUGAUAACAUGACACCUCAACAAGUUUCGUAAUUUUCUGACUUCGUUUGAAUUUUAUAUAAUUAAAAAGCACUUAUACCACACUUGAAUGGUCAUGUUCCAUGGACAAGAACUUCAAAAUUUUGGAUGAAUUUCUGAACAUGGACUCAAAAUAAACUCUCCAACAUGAAUAUCAUUUUUCUAAUGCCUAAGUUUCAUUAUUUCAUGCACCUGCAGUUCAAAGUUUGAUUAUGCGACGAAAAUUCAAUUAAAAGAAAUUAAUUAACGAAAUAUAGCAAAAAAUGUCACAAAAUUACGAAAUUUGUCGUGGUGUCCCAAAAUCACAUGUGGAGGCUAUAAAAAUUUUUGAGAACUGCUAUAUCUUUACCAUGUCCUUUUAAAACUGCCAGAAGUGGAAAUUGAUGCCAUAUAUGGAGAGCUGUUUUUAUCUAUAUUGUUAUUAUUCUAUACUAUUAUGACACUCUAGCAGUGAAGCCAUGAAUUGUCUCUUUCUGGUAAGUAGCAUAUCGGACUAGCAGUUCACAUCGUGUUUAUAACCUUACUACUGUGUUUGGAUGGUUGCUAAAGUAAGUUUCAUGCCUCUUGCAGUUUUUUAUUGUCUUGGAACAAUAUGACCGAAGAGAGCAACUUUAGAAAAGUGGCCUGGUGAUAAGGACCAAUAGGCCGUGUAAGUUGUCUCAUCUUAUCUCUUCCUUCUGGUGAUAAGGACCAAUAGGCAGCCAAUAUAAUUAUAGCUUCACAUGUCGAGCUUCCAAGUACUUGCAAGUUAUAGAUUUGUAGUGCAAUGGUUAAUGCUAGUUUUUUAAAGCCGGUUAAUUGCUAGUUGCAGUACGUUUAGUAGCGCAGUAGUUGCUACUAUUUUAGCUACUCAGAUUUCUUCUAUUUAGAUAAUAGAACUGUUGUUUGCUUAGAUUUGACGCUAAAAGCAUGCUAACUGCUUUUAGCAUGCUAUAUGAAUACUAGCUAUAUUCUUGAUUGCUUGUCACUAAUUGCUACCAUAAUCAGUUAAAUACUAGUUAUGUAGAGAUUCGGCUUCAGCAUGGAGGACAAAAUGUUUUUCAUUUUUAGACAAUUUAGUUUCCCUUCUAUAGUGUGCUAGAGCAAUGAACAAUAGGCUCUAAAUUUUUAGGCAAUUUAUUUUCUCUUCUAUAGUGUCCUGCCACUUGCCAUCGAUUUAUCCAACAUUGUUAACCUUUGCCUUGUUGAAUGUCAGUUAUGACCCAGCUCGUUUGAACAAUGGGAGUGAAGGAACUUUGAAUGUUUACCAGAAGUGACCUUAUGAUUUCAGAAACUACCAUCUCAUUUUGUGGUGAGUAUGAUUUGAUUUAGUCAAUACCACUUGUCGUCUUUCAUCCACGGAAAAAUUAAUACAACCAUAUACAUAAACUGUAGCAGUUCAUGCAUCGUCCGACCACCUGUAGCAAUUAUUUUGCUUGGAGCUUUUAGUAAACUUGCUUUUGUUUUCUACUAGGCUAUUUAUUUCUAUCAUCAGGACCCCAUACUUGGACCUACACCAUGUUUCUACCAUGUCUAUAAAUAAGGAGAAAUAUUCCAGUUAACUAAUGCCUAUUUGCAAUCUUAAUUUCAGAUAUUGGAUGAUCAAGAUGUCUUCUUUGCCAAUUUGCUAGGUGGCUGUCUUGGUUGAAUUGUCAAAUCUGCAACUCGAGCUAAGGGAGAUAUGGAGGUGCAGCGACAAAGGCAAGGCUGAUGCCUGUGCUUUGUCCAAUGUUACUCAUUUUAGUAAAUGUUUAGCUAGUACUCUCAGUUCUGUGGUUGUGCAAAGAGUUUUUUAUGUUGAUACCAAAUAUUUGGAGAAGAUUUGGGUAGAUGGGUGCCAAAAGUCUGCGUGCCUUGUGUACUUUGUUGUUAUGUUGAUGCAACACAAAGACAUAUUUGUAUUUAGUGGAUUCAUGUUGGACUACUAAUAAUAUAUAUAGUCAUGUACACAUGUUCCUAUUAAGUAUAUUAAAUAUAUUUUAAAUUGUAUAGAAAAAGUUAUUUUACCUGUCAAUAAAGGCAGUCAACAAAGAGUCCUUUGUCACCUGCCAAUAAAGGCAGUCGGCAAAAAGAAUCCUUUGCCACCGGCCAAUAAAGACAGUCGCCAAAGAAUUUCUGUUCUAAAAAAAUUAAAACAACUUUGCCACCUGCCCAAAAAAAUUAAGAAAAGCCUUUGCCGACUGUCGCGUGGUAGUCGGCAAACGGGAUGCGCUCCGUCAUCUCACAACGGCGUACGUCUCCUUUGCUGACUGCCAUGCUAACAGGUGGCAAAGGCUUUGCCGACUGCUUUUCACUUGGCAGGCGCCAAAGGUUUCUUUGCCGAUAAAUUUUUUGCAACGUGUUUUUUGUCGACUGCCACGUGUAAAGCAGUCCGCAAAACCUUUACCACCUGUUUUAGAGUCUUUGCCGACUGCUUUUGGCAGUCAGCAAAGAGGGGCAUUUCAGUAGUGCUUCGAAGAGGAUAAAUUAUACUGUGGCAAUUUAAUGAACUAUAAAUAAGAUUCUUCCUCCAUGGCGCAAGACGAUGCGAGCACAGGCGUGAUAUAGGUUCAAGUACUUGGAACGUACAACAGCUUCUAAGCGUCUAGAAUGUUCUUAUCCGGCGGCGCCGUCUACGUGUUUGUUCGGAUCUAUAUAUUGUUCUGCAUCAUCCCGUUUGAUUCGUUGCAUUUGGACCAUGUGACGAACUCGUGUACGCCCAAGACCAGCAGGAGGAGACGACCAGGAAAAUGUCUGCAGGGGCUGUACUACAGUCUCCUCCACUCUACAGAACCUUCGGUCGUCGUGCUGAUGCAUGCAGCAGCAAGGAGCAAUGCAAGCAGCCGGCCGUGGGACAUGUACACAAGUUGCUGAUGCAUAGUUAUCUGUCGAUAUAGGUUUUUUGUAGUUAAAAAAUUUGUUACCUUUUUUUUUCCUAAAUACUACCUAGCAGAUAAUUAUAGCAUAACUCUCAAAGCACAAUCAAACAAAUAGGAUUCUGACAGAUUUAGUAAAAAAGAAUCUUAGCAGCGGAUAAAUAUAACAAAACUCAUCAUAUAAUAAUACUCCUACUAUAGUUAAGUGAUGUACACAUUGUAUGUACAAUGAAAGCAAUUUUUUCGGUACAUACAUUGCUGAGUAUGUGUUAUCUCAUACAGGGCUACAAAGCAUAUUCUAUAUCGGUGCUAGCUAGAUGGGACAAAUAAGUUGUACUAUGGUGGGCGACAACGUAGCGUUCAAGGUCUAGUAUGAUAAGCAGCAGGAAGGACAAUCUCCAUACCAUUUAGCCCUCAGGGGGUGCAUCGCAGGAGGAAUUCUCUUGUUUGCAGCGGGCUUUAGGAAUGAACUACACACACUAGACCAGAUUCUGGCUUCCUGCAAGCUAGCCUCUGAGCAAUGGAGAUACAAGACUGUCGAGAAAGAAGAAACACUUAGCAGAUGUGCCACAUCUUUAUGAUGGCAAGACGUACAAGGACUAGGCUGAAGUUUAUGCAACCAAAACCCCCCUAUCCUCUGUAAUCUUUUAUGUUGAUCAUCUUCUAUGUGAUCUUGUAUUUGUAAUUGUAAAUGCCCUGUGAAGAUCUUUUGGAAAGGGCCAAUUAAUAUGAAACCAGGUGGGGAACGACUUCCCCGUUGACAGUCAAAAAAAAGAUACGCGAGGUUGUUUGGAGACUUUUAAUUGGGAAAUCAGUUUGGGGAAUGCGUGUGCUACUGCUACGGAGUACUCGGCGUGGUGGACUAGCAUGCAAAGCUCCUGCAGGUCUCCUUGUUUAUUUCUGCAAAGCCUAACAAGAGGUGGAGGUGGGCCCAAUCAUGGAGGAGGCAAGUGGACUGGUCCGGCUAAUGAGAAACUGGAAGUGCUCCCUAGUAAAGAGAGAUUGCAAUCAAGUUGCUAACGCAUUAGCUUUAUUAGCUAGACAAUGUAAACAUUCUGCGACUUGGUCAGGACGAGCGCCUGCGUGUGCCUGGUCCUUCCUUAGAGUCGAUUGUAAUUUGCCGGAGACUAGCUAAUAAAGUUUUCUCUCUUUGCUCGCAAAAAAAAAAACAAGAGGUGGCGAUUAGCAAAGCAAGGAGCUGGCGGGUCCUGCAGACCAAGCAGAUUCUGAAGGUGGGUGAUGGGCAGCUGCAGAGAGCCCGCUUGCAUCUACCUUCAACCUGUUUCAUUCCUGGUUAGAGAAAAAGUGGAUCACUUAUUCUCAAUUUAGUGGGUCGCUCUUAUAUAUGUAUAUAUCUAAAAUAUUGAUGUAUUUCAUGCAUAGUCUCAGUUGCCUAGAUAAAAGGAAGUUCCUUCUUGCGAAGAGGAUAAACCAUGUCAAUCUAAUGAACUAUAUAUGAUUCCUCCUCCGUGAUGCAAGAUGCGAGCACAGGCACGAUAUACUCUCUUCAUCUCAAAUUAUAAAACAUUUUAAAAAUCUUAGAGAGUCAAAGAAUCUUAAAUUUGACUAAAUUUAUAUGAUAAAAUAAUAAUAUUCAGAAUACCAACUAAGUAUCAUUAUAUUCUUUAUUAAUUAUAUUUUUAUAGUAUACCUAUUUAAUGUUAUAAAUCUUUAUAUUUUUUUAUAAUUUUAGUCAAACUUAAGAUAUUUCGACUCUCUAAUAUUUUUAAAAUGUCUUAUAAUUUGAAGUAGAGGGAAUAGGUUCUAAUGAACUAAAUUAGAUACCUCCUCAUGGCGCAAGAUGAGAGCAUACGCACGAUAUAUAUAUAUAUAUAUAUAUAUAUAUAUAUAUAUAUAUAUAUAUAUAUAUAUAUAUAUAUAUAUAUAUAUAUAUAUAUAUAUAUAUAUAUAUUGCAUGUAGUAUGCACGUACGAUAGAUGCACCUCCCCAAGCACCAUGGUCUCAUCUUCUUCUCUACCUCUAGGUAGCUUCCAUCCGCCGUCAAUGUCUGUAGCUAGCUACCGCGCGCGGAGGAGCCGUGGACAUCUGAAACUGUUGCUGCUGUGCUGGCCGCCGGCUCGUGCUACUACAAGACAAAUGCUGCUAUAUAUAUAUAUAUAGCUGGAGAUAAGGCUAGCUCGUCAUGGCGCACACUUCGUUGAUUCACCCGUUUACCGGCCGGUGAACGCGGGUAAAUCCAGAGCAGAAAUAAUCACUCUUUUACAACAACCGAACCGAUCGCGCGCUAUAAAUAUGUACGUACGUGUACACAUGCAUGUACGUGACGCACAGCAGGCAUUGCACUCUUGCACCAUAUAUACUGGAGAGACAUUAUUAUAGGCGCUCUCUGUGGGUUGGGUUAGUACUCCUCGCCUUGCCCGGCCGUAUGGAGACCAUCAUGACGAUGAGCUGCCAGGACCUCGUCGGCGGCGGUGGCGCACAAGACUUCCUCGGCUUGUUCGGUGAUCGCCACUCCUCGUCGUACGUGUGCGGCCAGCACCCCACCACUCGUCAUGCAUUUAUCUACGCUAGCCGCGCGUGUUACAACGACUACGUGUUCUAGCUGACAUCAAAUUCUUCUCUUGGCUGAAAGCCUGAAACUGUUGUGCCUUAAUAAUCGCGCAUAGAUCGAUGUUGGAGGAAAAAAAAAUGCAAGAUUACUUGCGCUUAAUUAUAUGAUGACUUGUGCCUUAAUAAUCGCGCGCAGUGAUGAUCUCUUUGAGCUGGUAUGGCGACGAGCCGCCGGCGGCGGCGGCGGCGGCGGCCGUGGCAGCAUGGAGGGGCAGCCCAGCCUUGUCGUCGCGGCCUUGUCGUCGCAGCCAGCCGCGGCGGCGGUACCCGUACCCGAGAGACUGGCAUCACCGCCAGCGCCCCCUUCCGAGGACGAGAUGGCGUCGUGGCUCUUCCCGAUCGUCUGCGGCGCCGGCGAGGAGGUCGCUGGCGGCGGUGAUGCCGUCGUCGUUGCCGGCCGGCGCGCUUGGGUGGUGGAUGAUGAUCAGAUGGUGCCGUCAGGGAAGGGGCUGGAAUCGUCGUCGGAUCACAAGCUACAGGUGAGUGCGUGGUGACGACGGAAGGGAAGAAGUCCUCCGUGUUGGUGUCUUCAGAUAGUGCCUGACAGAUAAGUUUCAGUAUCCUCCCUCCUGCGUCGUUUUGAUAGCUGUUUGCGUCGUCUCUUCUGACAGGAGAAGAGGAAAACAUCAUCAACAGGACGAGGAAAGCGGUCUCAUCACCACGCUGAAGCGCACAGCCUGACAGAGAAGGUGCCUAUCUGUGCUGUGUGUCGAUGAUAUCAGUGUGUGUAUAUAUCAACUUAAUAUCAACUUAAUUUGCUCUGUAAUAAAUUAACUACUGUUGCUUAAUUUAACUUUCACUCACGUAGCAUGCUGCAUGCAUGUGUGCAUGUUGCAUUUACUAAUUUGCAAUUUUGCAUAUAUGCAGAGAAGACGGUUGAAGAUAAAGGAGAAGUUGAAGACCCUGCAACAGCUCGUUCCAGGAUGCCCCAACAACGUAAGAACACUACUACGACAAGUAAAUAGAUAAUAUGAAUAUGAUCCUCUCAAUCUCAGUCUCAGUCACCAACACAGUAAUACUUAUGUUGAUCGAGCGGGACAACCUUGACUGAUGAUAGUAAUUAAUAACAAGGGAUAUAUAUGCCCCUUGUGACGACUUUCAUCGAUCACGAUCAGAGUUUUUACUAAACACUAGACACCACAAAUUGUACUCUACUUUGGUCAUAAUAGAAUGGUACGUAGUAUAUGAUGUCUACUCUAUAACAUUUUAGAGCAACCAAGCUUCAACUCUGGACCAAACCAUCCGGUACAUCAAGUCACUGCAACAGCACAUUCUUCAGGUCUGAACUCUGAACAAUGAACGCGCAUAACUUUGAUUUUUCGUCAGUUAUCAACAGCAAGUGCAGGCGUACCGUCAGACGACUCCAGUAUAUACAAACAUGAUGAUUACACCAUUCGACCAUCAAGAACUUCUAGAUUUUUUUUUAAAAUAAAACAAAAGGAACUUGAAACUUGUUAAGAUUAAGCUGAUUUGUGCAACUAGAUCGUAUAUGUAAUACCAUAAUAUCACUCAUCUAUUUAGGCUUAAUGCUUGCAGGCAAUGUCUGGAAUGAAGCCAACAUCAGUGGCAGUGUGCCCCGUCGUGCAACAAGCCCCCUGCCUACCAUGCUGGCAAGGCGGCACAUCGGUGCAGAGGGAUGGCUCUUGGGCGCUCCCCAGCUAUAGUUCCGUUUUGCCCCCAUGUUUCCAUGGGUUCACCUUCACCGCCAUGCAGUCAUGAUGUUUAGAUCUUGUUUAGACGCAAAAUCUUUUUGAAUUUUGAUACGCUGUAACACUUUCAUUUGUAUUUGACAAACAUUGUUCAAUUAUGAACUAACUAGACUUAAAAGAUUUGUCUCGCAAUUUACAGAUAAAUUAUGCAAUUAGUUAUUUUUUAUCUAUACUUAAUGUUCCACACAUGUACCGUAACAUUCGAUGUGAUGGAGAAUCUUAUAAACUUUUGAAUUUUUGAUGGCAUGUAAAUAGGCCCCUUAGCCAAACAGGAGAUGACCCGCAAUGCAAGUGUCUCUGGACUACAAGUGGUGGAUGCGACAAGUCCAGUGAAUCACUACCGGAGAGCCGGCCUUUGCCGUGUGCCCGCUUGUUUGCCGUGAGCAACACACGGCAAAGCUCGGGUUUGCCGUGUGCCUAGCCCACGCACACGGCAAACACCAGGCACAUGGUAUACCUGACAUUUGCCGUGUGUUGCACACGUCAAACACCAGACACACGGCGAACUCAAACCUUUGUCGUGAGCAACACACGACAAAACCAGGGCACACGGCAAAAGCUAACCCCACGCUAACGCCCACCCCCAGCCGUCAACGUUUGCCGUGUGUGGCCGUUAGACAUGAAAAACAUCUAGGCUCCUAAUGAGUUUCGGUGAUUAAUGACAAUGUUGAUUACUAUGACUAACGCGUGUUUUGCAGAGGCAAAGUCAUUAGUGUUAGGUCAUGGUAAUGGUGAUCGAUGGACUAGAUCAUUCAUGCCGAUUUAAUGGUCGGUUUUCAAAGGAUGGUUGGACAUCGUCGGGACGAGACUAGGUCUAAGUGCCAUAUGGUGAAGAAGGGCACUUAGAGUAGUUUAGGACUUUGUUUUCCUUUGACCGUACUAUUAAGAGAGACAUUGAAUGGGUAGCUUGACCUAGGCAAGGCUUUAGGUUUAGAUGUGGUGCACACAUGGUAAACCUAGCACUAGGCAACUCUGAGAAAGUCCUUAGAUCGAGAGGAACAAACUUCGUUUUGGAAAGAUCGAGUUUCGACGAAGUUUGGGUGCCUAAGUAGGCACCGGACGCUGCACCGAACGCUAUGUGAGUACGUCCGGUGAGGUUGACUUGAGUCAGAGUGACUGGGUGCCUAGGGUUAGGCACCGGACGCUCGCACCGGACUCGUCGGGGAGCGUCCGGUCCCAUAACCAGAGAGGUCUGCAGUUGACUAGGGCACUGGAUACUAGCACCGGACUCACCGAGGAGCGUCCGGUCCCAUACCUAGGGAGAGUGUAAGUUUCCCCUCACACCGGACGAUGGCACCGGACCCACUGAGGAUGCGUCUGGUACUCUAUCAGAGGCAGUACAGUUAGCCGUUAAUGUGUCACUAGACGCUCUGUGCAGUGCGUCCAGAGCAACAUUAUGUGCGCCCGGUGCUCCUGUUUCAGUGAAAAAUGGUUGGCCGGCACUUGGACUUGAUGGGGAGUAUUUAUACUCCUCUACCUCGUCCAUGGGAGGUCUCUUGCCCAUUUGAUCAGUUAAGAAUUACCUUGUGGUGCAAGAGCGAAACAAGAGCUUAGAGAGGAUUGAGAAUUGAGAGAUUUCUCGAGUGAAUCCUUCUCUAGUUGAGUUCCAAGAGUUAAGUGUGCAUUCACCACUCUCUAGUGCCUUGUUUGGGUCAAGUGAGAGUUCUUUGCUUGUUACUAUUGGUGAUCGCCACCACCUAGACGGUUCGGUGGUGAUUGGAGGCAUGAAGACCGUCCGGAGUUCUUGUGGGUGGCUCUUGUCAAGCUUGUGAGCGGUUUUGGGCGAUUCACCGCGACGGAGUGUUUGAAAGCCCUAGUUUGGUUUUGGAUAAUUGAUGAAACCCUAGUACUAACCUCUAUACUAAGAGUGUGUAGACUUAAUGAGGUUGGUACAUGCCAAGUGAUGGAGCAAGUGAUGAUCAUGGUGAUGACCACAAGAUGAUCAAGUGCUCAACUUGGAAAAGAAGAAAGAGAAAAACAAAACCCUAUGGAGAUCAUGGCAAAGGUAUUGCUUAGGGUUUUGGUUUUGGUGAUCAAGACACCAUAGAGGGUGUGAUCACAUUUAGGAUAGAUAGCUGUACUAUUAAGAGGGGUAAUCUCGUUGUGAAAACGAUUGUCUAAGUGCCACUAGGUGAUUUGAUUCCUUGCAUAUGCAUUAGGACCUAGUGAACUAUUUAAGUAACCCUUGAAAAAUGUUUUUGAAAUAUGCUAACACACGUGCACAAGUGUUGAGACACUUUGGUGUUGGCACAUGAAAGCAAGGGAAGAAGUUGAGGAUCAUUUCGUGCAGCGCUUUCAAGCCGGACGCGUCCGGUAUGAGGUCGGAUGUGUCCGAGUUGAGGCACCGGACUCAGGAACAGUUUUCUCCUAGAGUCCGGUGUGUUUCGUCCGAUGAGUUCGCUUUCUCGGUGAAGCUCUCUGAGUUUGCGUCAGGUGCACACCGGACGCGUCCGAGUUAGCGUCCGGUGCAAGUUCUUCGUGCGAAGCUCCCUGAGUUUUCGUCCGGUGUGUGCGUCCGGUGUGGCGACCGGUGUUGGCUCAAGUUUGCGAACCUUCCUGAGUUUUCGUCCUGUCGCUCGUGAGACCGUCCGGUGCGUGAAAAAGCUAGAGUCCGGUGCCCUGUCAGUGUCAGAGGCAACGACUACUUUCUAACGGUCAGGAGCACCGGACGCUGGUCUGGCUCACAUCGGACGCGUCCAGUGUGAACUAGGACGCGUCCGGUGUGGACGCAGACAGUGGGGUAAACUGCCAACGGCUAGUUGAAGCUUGGGACUUCUAUUUAUAUGCCUUGGCCGGUUCAUGCUCAGUCUCUUGACUCUCUAACUUGUUGAUACAUCUUGUGAGCAUACUCCCACACAUCCCACUCACCUUGUUCAAGUUUUGUUCAUCCAAAGUGAGAUUGGGAGAGAUCCUAGUUGCAUUUGCUUAGAGUUUGAGCAUCUAGUGGCACUAGUGAUCGUUGAGCAGCGAGUUUGCUUGUUACCCUUGGUGGUUGCCGCCACCUAGACGGCUUGGAGCUGCGGAGGAGCUUUGGCACGAGUUGGUGAUUGUUCGUGGCCAUCUCCCGGUGAUUGUGAGGGGUUUGUGCCUACCUCGACGGAGAGCCAAAGGCAACAUUAGUGGAUUGCUCGUGUCUUUGAGCUACCUCACUUGUGGGUAGGUUCUUGUAGUGUAGUGAGGACGAGGUUCGUGCUACACCUCCUAGCCACCGAACCAAAAAGUGUUGGUUGACACAACGUGGACAUAGCGUGCCGGCAAGCACGUGAACCUCGGGAGAAAAAUUGUUUGUCUCCAUUGUGUUUGUUCAUUGGAUUUCUCCCGAUGAUUGGACUUCAUAUUAUUGAUUGGUUCAUCCCCUCUACGCGGCGGUAUAAAGAUCAAACCAUCUCUCUUACAUUACCUCAAACUAGUGUAAUUAGUUUAGUUGUUUACUUUGCCUUGUGUAGUAUAGUUCACUAGUGUAACUUGUAGAGACUUAGUUCUUGUGUGCAUAGUGAUCAUAGCUACUAGAAUUGUUGGGUAGGUGGCUUGCAAACACCCCUUUAGAGCUAGAGCAAAAAGCUUCGCUUUGUUAUUUACUAACCUCUUGCUCUAGUGAGUUUGUAGAUUUUUUAAAUAGGUUAUUCACCCCCCUCUAGCCAAUAGGACCUUUCAGUGUUGAAGAAUCAGCCCGUAGAGAGCACUUGGUCCUUGCGUGGGGAGCAAGACCCUUGCGCGGGUGCUUCAACGAGGACUAGUGGGGAGUGGCGACUCUCUGGUACCAUGGCAAAACAUCACCGCGUUUCUCUUGCUCUACUCUUUUACUUUCUAGCAUUUAUAUUCUUAGAAUUGCUAUGCUAGAAUAGGAUUGGAACUAGGUUGCAAAACUUUUAUCCGGAAACUUUUAUCCGGUAGCUCUCUAGAACACACUAGGCACAAGGGGUUGAAUUGGAGCAUAUAGGUUGCUUAAAUUUUUAGAGAAGCCCAAUUCACCCCCUCUUGGGCAUCUUGAUCCUUUCAAGGCAUACGACAAAGCCUGGGUUUGCCGUGUGCUUGAGGCUGGCACACGGCAAACACAAACUUUGUCGUGUGCCAGGGGUGCAACACACGACAAACAAUUUAUCUUUUCUUCAAAUUUGGUCCUCCAAAUUUUUUCUUCUCUACACACUCACCAUUUGUAACUCUAUACUCAAAUUUCAUAAAAUUUGAAACAUGUUUGCUAUAUUUUUGCAAUUAACAUCAUUUAUUUUCAUUUUUCCGGAUGCGGUCAAAUUUGAACUAUGAGUUAGUGAAAUAGUUAGAAAAAAAUAUCGGAAAAAUGAUAUUCAUGUUACCCAACCCUGUUUGAGAACACACAUUCGAAACAUAAAUGACUUUCGAAUGCCGUGGUUAGGAGACACGACGCCGAAAAUGGGUACUUUUCAAAAAUUCUAAUAAAUGCUAUUUUAUUCUGUAAUUCCUAAAACUUGUACAUAUAUCAUGUUAUCAUACAUAGAGGCCAUAGAAAAAGUUUGGAAAGAUUUCAAACAAGUUGUCAUGUAGGAUGUGUAGAAACCGGACAAUCUUCGGAGAAGUUUCACACAAUUAUAAGUGAAGGAGUAUGAGUUGGAGUAGGAUUCGACUUUCAUAUUUGAGUUUGAUUUCGAAACAUAGGUUGUGUCGUGUUCAAAUUUGGGAAUUUUUCGGAAUCGUUUGCUAUUUCUUCAUUAUUUGCAGUAUUUUAAAUGAAAAUUUUGAAUUUUGAAUUUUUUAAAUAACCUCAGAUGGAAAAACUCUCUAAAUAAACUUUGUAGAUCUCAAAAAGUUAUGAAACUUUGUAGUUGACAAUUUUUUGUUUUGGAAUCAUCUUGUCAUGUAAAAACUACGUUUGAAUUUCUCAAAUUUGAAAUUCAAAUUUUGUAAACGACCUCAGAUGGAGAAACUCUCUAAAUGAAAAUUAUAGAUCCCAAAAAGUUAUAAAACUUUGUAGUUGAUAACUUUUUGAAUUAAAAUCAUUUAGGAUCUCAAAUAAUUAAUUUACAUAUAAUUUGGUAUAAUAUUUGAGGAACCGAAAUGCAAUAUAAACACAAGUUAUAGUGUGGUGCAGUGGUUAAGAGCAGCACGCGAGAGAGGUCACGAGUUCAAAUCCCCUGGGCCGCAAAGAUGCAAAUGCCAAACUUGGGAAGGGGGUUUGCCGUGUGCCCAACCCUGACACACGGCAAACAUUGAGACUUUGCCGUGUGCCUGCAUGGUGACACACGGCAAACCCUGCCGUCAAGCUGUCCGUGUGUCAAGAUUGACUCACGGCAAAGUUUUGUCGUGUGCCAACAUUUGGCCAUGAGUAAAAGUAAGGUUCACCGUGGGAGAGUUUGCCGUGUGUUCUUCGCCGUGAGCAACACACGGCAAAGCCUUCACCGUGUGCAAUUUGAGCUUUGCCGUGUGCGCCAGGCAUACGGCGAACCCCUCCCAUCCGGUAGUGAAUGGAACUAUAAGUGAAUGCGACAAGUCCAGAGGGAGAUCAAUUUUUGUUAUUUUUUAUUGUAGUCAAACCAUGAGUUAUAGUUGUUAUUGCUUGUUGCACAUUUGUUUGAAGUACUAGUGAGCGCUAAUUGGAGCAGCAGGUCUUACAGAUGAGAUGACUUGGUUGUAUUAUGAUAAUAUUAUAACUAUAAAUGUAUGCAUUAUAUUUGUGGUUAUAGAUUGGAUGAGUUCUUAAUUAUGUGUUUAUGUGUGAUUUGAAUUAAAAAUAUUGUUGUAAUUAAAUACAAAUAUAAAAUAAUAUUUGAAUUCAAAUAUAAAUCUAUGCGAAAGAUUUGAAUGGAAUACUGUUAAUCUUUUCCUACAGUUUUAACUUCUAGGGAAAGAUUUCUAAGAAAAUUACCUUUCAAGGAUUAGAUGCUGCCAGCUGAGGAAGUUUCCCUAGAGGAUACACCCCUAAGAAAAGAAUUUUUUCCUGCGGUUUUCACCAAAACCGCAGGGGAUGUCUUCCUUUUCCGUCGAAUUCCUCUCUAAGGGUCUUUUCUUAGGAAAUACCCUAGGGAAACAGUUUCUCUACGGUUUUUGAGCCUUUCCUUAGGAUAAUAAACUCUAGGGAAACUUGUUCAUUCUUUUUUUUUUUGAAACUGAAACUUGUUCAUUCUAGUAGACCCAUGAUGCCAUACAUUGAGAUUUGUUUUUGUACAAUAUGUAAUAAAACUCUUGCAAUCCACCCUGUGUUGUCAGUGCUUUUGAUGCCGUUUCCUUCCUGAAGGCACUGCUAGGAUUUUCCAGCCCCACUGUUGCACUCUUGUCGCCAUUGUGGUGCUCCAAGGUGUGUUGUUGUUGGUGCUCCUAACACGUCAAAUUUGCUAGUUGUAUUCAGUGGUGUUCAACAACGCAUCAAAGUUUGUUAGUUGUGCUUGGUAUUAGUUGCCAUAGAAAAUUGUUUUCCCUGUUGGUUCUUGGGUUGAGGUGCUCUGAGUUGCUUUAGUUUUUAGCCAAAUGUUAGUGCGGUUGAGUUUUUACUAGUUGGGCCCUUACGACUAAGUUUAGAGUGAGCAAAUAUUACGACGUGAAGUUGUUAGUUAUUCAACCAGCCGGUGUGGUGGAAUUGUGCAUGAUGAGUUGCGACGGUCUAGUUUUCACUAAAAUCAGUAUUCAUCAGCUCAGCAUCAGCAAGAGACAGAAUCAAACAUUGCUUGCUUCUUCUCUUAUAUGAUAUAUGCUAGCAAAAGCCCUGCUGAUUUCUCAAAAAAAAAAAAAAAGGUGCAGGGAGCGCCGAUGCUGCAGUAUCCAGCAGUUGCUGCUGCUCCUAGCAGUGUGUGCCUCCAGAACCGGUUGUCAGUGCAGCCGACGCUAGAAAGUAUAAGCGUGUCCAGGUAUGUAUAAAUAAAUCCAUAAACAAGUAAGGAUUUCAUGAUAAGUAAGAGCAUGUGUGAUUACUACUAUAGAAAAUGUUUUUAGAUGUGUCUUUGAAGGACCGAAAUAAUGAUCACACAGGGGAGACGAAUGGGAGCCGAUUUAAAUUCUUGACCGAUUAUAAUUCAACACGAAUUGCCAAGGGCAUAUACGUCAAAUAGUGAUAUGUUGAUCCUAGAAACAGUUAGGAAUUUUUCAAAGCAGCAUGGAAGCAAAAGUACAAUUCACAAAAUUCUCAAGGACUUGCUGUAAACUAUGACUGACCAGCUCACAAAAAUUCAGCAGCAAAGAGCAGAUACAUGUUGACUUGAUCAUGCAAUAGGAAUAAACUAAUUCUUUAAAUUACUUGAAUAGUGUAUUGAUUAUUGCAUGAAAGUGACACUUCAGUACUUCACAAAUUUAAGGCAUGCUGCUGCAUUAUCCGACUUGCACAAACAGCAUAGUAUUCAGAAACUGAAACACUGAAUAUUUGCUACCACCGAGUGACCGAACUGGCUUUCUGAAAACUGAACCAUAUUGCAAUACAAAAUUUCACUUACUGACGUCAGCCUGUAGCUACUACUGAGAACUGAAAAUUGCAGUGUAUCCCUCCCAACAAAAAUUGUCUCUGCAGAAAACUAGAGUAGACCGAUCUGCAAAAAAAAUGAAACUUUCCAACGAAAAUUACUGAACUGACACAACGCACAGACAGACAGACUGAACUGAAGAACUGAUGCAACAAAGAGAUCACAAUCAGACUGAGUUCAAGAAAAUAAGAAAGAAAAGGACUGAGGUGAUGUUGAAAUUCUGAACUAUAUUGCAGUUGAUGAGCCACUACGUACUCUGAAAAACACAACUACACAGUAUUUGGACUGCCAAUGGAGCAGCACACACAAUCACCAUGUAUGAUCUGGAUCAAUACCAACUGAACUAAAAAUUGAAUCACAACCUCACAUCAUCUUAGUGACACCAAACCAAACUGAAGCAUAGAAGGAAAUUGAAGCUUUUCCACGAAAUUCAGAAAAUCAGGAAAACCUAAGAGGAGGGAAAUUUAAGGAAAACUCGUAAUCAAAAGUGCUUGUGAAGGAUUCAAUCCAUUGGACCAAAAUACCUUCUAACAUGUCCUAGUAUUGACUUUCCCAAAAAAUCUGCCCCAAAUCACAGUAAAAAAGCGAAGAACAAAAUUCCACAUAAAUAGCUUGUGACAAUUCAAAAAAAAGGAAAAAAAAUGCAACAACAGAGAACGAAAUUUACUUGGAUUCAAAGCAAUGAAGACAUGGAUUGCAUCACAAUAUCAUGUAUGAAAGCAUGGCUAACCACCUCCCCUUCAUCCUCACUAAAAAGUGAAGAAAUUAGAACAAGAGGUGCCCAACUCUCUCUCUCUCUCUCUCUCGAUCUCUUUCUCCUUAAGCACUUGCCUAAGCCUAUAUAUAGAAAUGAAAUUAGGAUGGUAAGAUACCACUAACGACACCAGCCACAUCUUAUAUAUAGUGACACUAUUGAUUACUAAAUCACCCCUACUAUAGAUACACACCUGAGGGGCAAAACCGUCCAACUCUUCCCUCGUGCAUCCGACUAUCCCGAUGUCUUCAUGACCUUGCUUUACCUCAACGCAUGCUUCGUGAUGCCACCACUUGUCCUCUGAUAUACCAAUAUACCAGCUUGUCUUUGACCUAUGGACAACCAAGUGCUCGCGCGCCUGUCUUGACUUUGGUCAACAUCAUCUUCAUCACCACCCUUCGCUUCCUUGUUGACGUGCUACUGCUAGCCAUCCACGGUCCAUCUGCUAGCCCUUGGUGCCUCGAUCCAAGCCUUUGUGUCUCCCGGUCCAUCACAUACGGGCUCCUAUUUGAGCUUGUCUAUUGUAGUGAACCGUCCCACACUCAACACCGUGCUCAUCUAUGAGCCAAGAGAUAUGUUGCCCACACAACUCACGUCUCGGUUAGUCCCUACACACUUAACCAAAGAUUUGAUUAUCUCUUUUAUAAUCACUCUCACCACUUACACAUCGACACCUCAACUAUGUGUUCACAGUCUUGUUUUUUUUUUCUAGGUGUGGUUGGAUAAAAACCCACCUCUAAAAAAUGGUUCUAAGACAUACCCCCAUUUUCAAGAAAUUAAUACCUAUAUCUCUAAAAAUCUAUUUCUAGAGGUGGUUUCAAACCUACCCCUAAAAAUUUCUGGCGGCCCAAUGGGCAGAGGCGACUGCUUCUAAAAAUCAGAUUUGACCAUGGGUGAAAAAUCAUCUUUGAAGUAGCAGAUGUUUCUGGUGAUCUAAGGCCUUUUUUAGAUCCAAAAAGUUUUUUUUUAUUUUGACACUAUAGCACAUUCGUUUUUAUUUGACAAAUAU
rnacentral:lncRNA from 1 species